rnacentral:lncRNA from 1 species
CAAGCAGAUAACCUUAUUCACACAUAUAUAGAUAAGUCGAUAUCUUCUUUUGAAAUCACACAUAGCAGAUAACCAAACGAGGGAAUAAGAAAUCACAGCAUCCGAAACUGAAGCAGACAAUACUUGAUAAUUGUUUUAGCGACAGCUUCUUUAGAUUAGGAAGCACCAUCUCCUUCUCAACGUUGACAGGUGAAACAUGAUCAUCCUGCCCAAACACUCCCAAUAAUUGAGACGCUUUUUUUACUCUAAGUAUUUGGAGCUAUGGGAGACCUGAAGCCAUGGUAACUGGGAAGAGGCUCUUCAACAUGUUACAUUCUCUAAUCUCAAUUUCACACAAAUUGGGAAAGCAUAAAGAUUGGAGAUGAUCUCCUAACAAUAUCUGGUCGUUUUCAUCAUCAUCCUUAGCAAUGAUUUGCUUGAAUUCCUCAUAGGACAAUAUCUUUAGAACUUUCAGUUGGACUAGACUGACAAUCAUGCUGCAUGUGAAUACCAGUGUCAGUCUCUUACACUCAACCACCUUCAAAGUAGUCAAUUUGCUCAGCACGAGACCCUUCCAUAUACACCUCAUGUCAGGCAGGGAUUCCAAGCAUAAUUUUUCCAAAUUUGUCAACCCUUGCAUCAAAAGAAAACAAGGAUACCAAAUUUAUAAAACAUUCUUACUUACAAAAACUUGUAGGUCUAGUGUUACCAAUCCUUGUCUUGGGCUUAUACAUGUUCCAUUGGUCCAUAAAUAUAUUUGCUAAGCUAUCAACAUAAUUUGUUUGGGACAAAUCCUCAUCUAGUUAUAAUAGACUCACACCUGACUGCUUAAAAUCACUAGUUAUUGUAGGAUUGACUACAUCAAAAUUGAUUGGUUUUUUGUUUUCAAAGAGAUUUAAACUUUUGAUGCAGACGAAAGCUAAAAACACAAUAAUCAAAGAAAACAAAAAAAAAAUAUAAGCAAAAGGGACUAUAGAUGUAAACCCUCAAAUUCACAAGUUUAUUUUCUCUAAAAUAAUAACAAUGAAGUUUGUUUUCUUAGAAUGUUUACAAAUCCUUAAAUAUGUCAGGAACCUUACCUCCACUAGGAAACAAAAACAAAAAUACAAAAUUACAAAGAAAAGAUGCAUAAAAUCCAAAACAAGCAAGAAAUAAAAAAAAUAACAAGGAAAAUCACAGAAACUAUUAAAACUAUAGGCCUAAACAAAAUUUUUGAUAUCUAAAGAUUUGAUGGUCCACGUAAAAAUUUAAGUAUGAUCCAAUAGUCGAAUAAGAAAUUGUAACUCUUUUGAGUUGUUAUUCUAGUCUGACGUAUUUUUUCUCUUUUUUUCACUAUAAAUGAAGUUUGACCAUCAUUGUCAUAUAGUUUGACUUAGUUGUAUCGGUUUUUAAUCAGAUCAACUUUAUAUAAAUCAGAUCAACUUUAUAUAUUAUGAGUUUACAUUUACUAAUUUUAAAAAAAUGCUCACAAGUCCAUUGUUCACACCUCAAAUUCGUAACUGCAGCGAUUCAUAGGCAACGAAACCAGUUAGAGACUAGAGAGUAAACAUGCUAUUAAAGUUUGCAAGUAAGGGUUUAGAUUAGAUUAUUUGUUGUCUUGUUUCAAAUAUUAGAUCAGUCUCAACUCAUUAAAUAAACUAGUGGUGCAUUGAUCCUUGCAUUAAUUGUUCAUUAACAAACAAUUGUUAAUAUGAAACUUAUGAUGUAUUAAUAACGCAUACAACAAUGAGGCAGUUAAGUUUCUUCGAUAAAAUAAAAUCAUUUAAAAAAUAAAAAUAAGCUAGUAUGUUUGUUACAUAACUAAAAAAAAAAUUGAUUUUUUUAAAUUGAUUUUUUUAAAAAUCAUUUUAAUAGACUAAUAUUAAAAAUAAAUUUUAAAAAAUAAAAAAUAUAUUAUUUUGAUAUAUUUUCAAGGAAAAAACAUUAUGAAAAGAAAUUGUUAAUGUUUGUUAAAACAUUAUUGUUAAUAUUUCUUACUAAAUAUAUAAUGACAUGUGAUUGGAAUAAUGUAUGUGAACUUGUACACAACUUAAUAAAUGAGAAAACUAAGGUAGCCGGUCACAUGUGAUUGGAAUAAUGUAUGUGAACUUGUACACAACAUUAUUGUGGGCUUAAUGGACCACAUACAAGUUUGCCCUGUAUUUUAAGUGAAGUUUUGCAGAUUUUUGAAAGUUUUUUUUUUUCAAAUUGAAUUUUUUUUUUUUUUUUUUUGUGGUUACCAUAUCAGACAAAGUAGAGGUUGAUUUCAACAAGCAUGAAAAACCAAAUUCAUUAUGAGAUAUAUAGCCUCAAGAUUAUCACAUCAUAAAGAAGAGUAGAGGUUCAAAUCCCUAAAUCUAUAAAUAAAUAAAAAAUGAACUAACCAAUUUUAUCUCGAAACAACAUUGAUCGUGGUCAACCGUGUGACUUGUUCCGCCCCCGUCCCGGGUUCGACCCUCUAUGUGCACGCCUGUCACCCCCGCGGUGCCUUACCUGCCCCUGGGCUUGCAGGAUGUCCAGUGGGCCGUGGGGAAUAGUCGUGGUGCGCGCAAGCUGGCCCGGACACCCCACGUGAAUCAAAAAAAAAAAAAAAAAAACAUUGACACUAACUUAAUGCUGAGCCUUGGUACAAAUUAAGUCAGCACUUCCAUGCCUUGUGAUCUUGACAAAAAUAUUUUUGGUCCUUUUAGUUUAGAAAUGAAACUUUUCAGUACAAAGCUUUAUUUUACCUCUAUAUAUAGUUUCUGAGUUUGAGAAAAGAAAGAAAGAUUUGUUGAAAAACUACAAAGGAGAGAUAAAAUUAGUCAAUUUAGAUUUGGGUUGAUUUUCUAAUUUUAAAUCAAUUAAAUGUUUAUUUAAAAUAUUUAUAUAUCUAACUUUUCAAUAAAGGAGCAAUUUUUCAUUACAUUCAGCACAAUAUUUAUUUCACUAACCUGUACGAAGAUGACACGAGUUAAAAUAAUUGUUUAAACACACACUAUAUAUAUUGUGCAUAUAACUGUCUUGUAUUCACAUUAUUAGAUCAGUGUAUGCACACAACAUUUGAUAUUUUUAACUGUUAUGAAUAAUCUGUAUAUUAUGUGUCGCACGUGAGCGACGUCGCGGCGAUCGUCCACCCAAAACAAAUGUAAUAAUAUGGGGGAUAUAUAUCUGGUCAAUGUAGGGAGACAAGGAAUUCGUUGUCUCUUAGCAGUGAAAAAUGGUGUGGGAGUCGCCACCUAGUAUUUUGGUCACUAGGAACCCUAACUGGUCUCAGAGAUCGGGUACGGGGACUGGUUGCGUAAAGGGAAGGUAUUAGCACCCCAAAUACGCCCUACCUAAGGUAAGCUGCAUCGUUUAAUUGUCUGAUAAAAUUUAAGGUGUUUUCAUUGUGUUUCCUAGUUGUUGGUCCGUCUAUGGUUCAAGAAAAGUCCUCCUUAAUAAGGAGGUCCUUAUCUUAUCGGGUAAAACCUAACCGUUCUAGCGUCUAUGUAAAAAAACAUAUUUUUAAUUUCAGGAAUACGUUUUACGUAUAAAUUCGUAAUCCCAUAUACUAACAGAGGACAAAAAGAUUUUUUAGAAUUUUUGGAAUAUUGGCCUAGUUCUCAUGGCUUGAAUAAACUGGUUAUUAAAGCCAAAAUGCAUGCUAAUACAUAUAUUGUUUUGAAAUUUCUUUUGUUGUGUGAAAAUAUGAUGUUAUAAUAUUUAUAUAUAUAUAUUGGAGAGACUAGGCCGUAUUUUAAAACAAAAACAUUUUUUAAAUAUGUAUUUUGUACGUUUUGACGCAAAUCGGGUAUUUUAAUACUGGGUUUGUAUCCUUGCAGUAUAAAAAUACAACCAAAUAUUAAUCUACUUUGAUAAAGCAAAUGCAGAAAAAUCAACAAUAUUUUCAAAGAUAUUUUAGAAAAUUUUUGAAAGCAAAAGACAUUUUUUAUUUUGAAAAUCUUUGAUGUUUUGAUGAAAACCGGGUAUGUUAAUACCGGAUUUGUAUCUUUACAGUAUAAAAUACCAACCAAUAUUAAUCAAAAUACAGUAAUAAAAUUACAGAAAAUCACAUAUUUUUGAAAUAAUUUUUGAAGAAUUUUUGUAAUUUUUUCAUAUAUAUAUAUAUCUAUAUAAAUAAUACAAAAUAUAAUAUAUAUAAUAUAAUAUAUAAUAUUAAAUGGGCUGGGCUGGUCCGGCCCAACCGACUGGGCCGGACUCAGCCCAAAAUUGUUGGGCCGAUCUCGGCCCAAAAUGGGUUGGGCCGAUCUCGGCCCAAAACAAAAAACACAUUAUCUUCUGGGCCAGACCCGGCCUAGAAGACAGGGCUGGGCCAGGAUCCGCCUGGCCCAAGCCAAAACGGGGCGGGGGGGGGAAUUAUUUUCCCCCCACCCCUGCAUGCAGAACGCUACUCGUUCUGCAUGCAGGGAACGAAACGAGAAAAUAAACGCUCUCCUAGAAACCGCAGAAAAGUUACCUGGCGCGGAGGCGAAAGCGGUGGCUGGCUGCGUUUCUGGCGGUUCUGUGGUGGAGGCUGGUAGCGGUGUCGCUGCUCCCUGGCGGCGACUCCAAGCAGCGGCGCUGCUGUCUCAAGCGGCGGAAAGAGGGAUUCUUCCUCUUUCCUUCUCCUCUGUUUCCUUCCCUUUUCUUCUCCUUCUUUGGUUUUCUUUCCCCCUGUUUUCCCUUCUUUCGGUUCUCUUCUCCCUCUCCCCUUUCUCUCUCUUUCGGUUUUUUCCGUUCCUCUCUCUCUCCUCUGUUUUUCGUUUUCUCCUUCUUCCCCCGUCUGUUCUCCUCCCUCUUUUUCUUCUACUGUCGUGUUGGUUGUUAUUUAUAGAGCCAAGUGAGUGGCUUUUCGCUGUGGAGCAUGGGGAGCAGCCGGCCGGUCGGCCAUUGGGCGCGACUGCCAACGCUCGGCCCCCCUCCCCGGCUUUCUGGCAGGUGCGCGGUGGGUGGUCGGCCAUUGUGUUCGGUCGGUGGGCUCCAGGCGAGAGAGAGGGGCCGGCAAAAAUUUCAAAAAAAAGCACCAUUUUUCCCUUCUUCCCCGCUGCAUGUUCGGGGGGGAAGAAGAAAGAUGAACAGUGUCGUUCAAAACGACACCGUUCUGCCCUUUUCCCUUUUUUUUUUUUUUUUGAAUGGAUGAAACGACGUCGUUUUGGAUAAAACGCGCCGUUUCAUUUAAAUCCUACAAGACGCCAAAACGCGUCAAUUUGCAAAGCAGCCCUCAAUUAUCUUUUGUCCCUUCAAUUGCAUCCCUGCCGAAUUUGAACCCCGUCCCUAUAUUUGGCCGCGUUUUUCACUUUGGUCCUUGGCCUUUGAAUUAUGCAAUUGAGCCCUUAAUUGAUCAAUAAACUUCCAAUUUCUUCAAUUAGGCCCCUGAAUCAAUUAAUUCCAGCCCCUAUACUUACGCACCUUCUUCAAUUUGGUCCUUGGUUUCGGAUUCCUUCAAUUAAGUCCCCAAUUGGCCCUUAAACUUCAAUAUUUAUGCAAUUAAGCCCCUGAUUUGACCUAAUAAAUUCCUAAAAAAUAUAUUUUGGCCCCAGAACUUAAAUUUCUUCUAAUUAAAGCCCAAAUUGACUUAAAAAUCAAUUUUUCUUGCAAUCAAAUCCCCUAUAAAUUCAUUUAAAAAUCAAAUUAAGUCCAUAAACAUCUAAAUUUGGGCUUUUCUCCUCAAAUUUGAAAUUUUCCUUGUCAACAGGGCUCUCCUCCUUCAAGAAUAUAUUAUCAAAAAUUCCAUCUUUGUUUUUUUAACCUUAUUGACCAAUUUUCCAACCAUUUUCUGAGCGCUUCUGCCUCCUGUUAUUUUUCUAACCUCCUUUGGCUAUAUAUUUUUAUAUAUAUUUUGUGGGGACCCAAAAAUGGGUUACAACAUUAUGAAUGCUUAGUCUUAACCUAAAUACAAAUAAAGUAUAUAUAGGUCAAACUGAAAGUACUAUUCUACCCUUGAUAAAUAAGACUACAUAAAUAUUAUUUAACAUCUCCCCUCAAACUCACGAUGCGGCAGCUACAAGCAUCGAGAGUUUGCCAGCCAAAAAACGAAAACGAGAGAUGGAAUGCGCCUUGGUAAAGAAAUCUGCAAUCUGCAAGGAAGAAGGAACAAAAGGCAAAGCAAUGGUGCCAUGUUUGAGAUGAUGACGAGUAAGAUGACAAUCGAUCUCAAUGUGCUUAGUGCGUUCAUGAAAAACCGAGUUAUGAGCAAUCUGAAUAGAACUCUGGUUGUCACAAUACAUAGGAGUAGGAUGAGAAAAGGAAAUUCCCAUAUCAGCAAGUAACCAACGUAACCAAACAAUCUCUUUGGUAGUAGAUGCCAUGACACGAUAUUCUGCUUCGGUGGAUGAUUGAGAAACAAUAGAUUGUUUCUUGUUCUGCCAAGAAAUAAGAGAAUCACCUAAAAAGAUAUAGAACCCGGUAACAGACUUGCGAUCUGUGGGAUCACUACCAUGAUCAGCAUUAGAGUAUACACGCAACUCCAAGGAAGAGGUGGAUGAAAGUAAAAGACUCUGAAAAACUGUACCCCGAAGAUAUCGCAAAAUACGAAGAACAGCUGCCCAGUGAACAGUAGUAGGAGAAGCAACAAACUGACUAACAACAUGAACAACAUAUGCAAUAUCUGGACGAGUAAUGGUGAGAUAUACCAAACUCCCAACAAUAGUGCGGUAUAAAGUAGGAUCUAUCAAAGGUAAAUCAUCAGAAGAAGAGUACCUUGUGUUAACCUCAAUAGGAGUAUCUACAGUCUUGUUAUCAGUAAGUCUAACCCGCUCAAGAAUAUCUGCAACAUAUUUCGACUGAGAAAGAAGGUAACCUCUAGGUGAGUAUGCUACCUCAAUACCCAGGAAAUAUUAAAGAUAACCCAAAUCCUUCAUUUCAAAUCGUCUAGCCAACUCUGUCUUCAAAACUGAAAUACCAUCAAUAUCAUCACCAGUAAUAAUCAUGUCAUCAACAUAUAAAGACAGAAUGAUACGACCUGCAUCAGUGCACUUAAUAAAAAUAGCAGAAUCAUGACUACUAGAAACAAAGCCACGAGACGAGAUCACAAUAGAAAAUUUCUCAAACCAAGCACGAGGUGCUUGUUUGAGACCAUAUAAUGCUUUCUUAAGCUUACAAACAUAUCCAGAGUCAUGUGAAAUACCAGGAGGGGGUGCCAUAUAAACUUCUUCUUGAAGAUCUCCAUUCAAGAAUGCAUUUUUAACAUCAAGCUGAGAAAUAUGCCACUGACGAAUCGAAGCUACGACAAUAAGAGUAUGAAUAGUAGUCAUUUUUGCAACCGGGGCAAAUGUCUCCUCAUAGUCCAUACCAUACUGUUGAGAGUAUCCUUUUACAACCAGCCUAGCUUUGUAUCGCUCAAUAGACCCAUCAGAAUUAGUCUUGAUCUUAUACACCCAACGACAACCAACAACACUCUUACCAGGAGGUAGAGGAACCAGAUCCCAAGUAUUUGUCUUAUGCAAAGCAGAAAGUUCCUCAUCCAUAGCUUGCUGCCAAAGCGGAUCAAGAAUUGCCUCUUUAUAGGAAGAGGGCUCAAAGAGACAAUGAAUAGAAGCUAAAAAGGAAGUAAAUGAUGAAGAAUAACAAGAAUAAGCAAAAUCUGGUAGUUUUGUGGACUUACGAAUGCGGAUGGACUGACUUGGAGGUGGAUCCACAAUCUCAGAUGAAGCUUGAGGGGAUGUAGAUGAGAAUGGAGCUUCAGGUGUGCCAGAGAGUAAAGUACCAGUACCUGCAGAGUUAUGAGUACAAAUUGAUCGAACAUAGGGAGAGGUAUCAUUACCAGAAUCCUUAGAAAAAGGAUCUAUAUAAAUAAGAUCAGAUUUUGUCAGGCUAUGAGUAGUGGAUGAAAUAGAAAAGAAAGGUAUAUGCUUAAGGAAGACAACAUGACGAGACACAUAAAGUUUCUGAGUUAUUGGAUCAAAUCAACGAUACCCCUUUUUACCUUCACCAUAACCCAGAAAGACACAAAUAACGGAUUGAGAGGAUAGCUUACUGCGUUCUACAUGAGGAAGAAGAACGAAACAAGUACAACCAAAGACUCUAAAUGAGGAAUAAUCAGGGACAUACCCAUAUAACUUUUCAAAAGGAGAUAGACCCGAACUUGACCUAUAUAUACUUUAUUUGUAUUUAGGUUAAGACUAAACAUUCAUAAUAUACAGAUUAUUCAGAAUUCUAGCCUCCUUUCUCUAUUUGAUCUCAAUUAAUUUAACAUUAACCAUUCACAUACAUUAAAUAAAACCCAUGGAAACAGGACACAAACGUCGACUGCAACUGCAACAUUAUACUAAUGAGUGUAUUUUCUGAAGUCGAAAGAGUGCUACCCAAUCUAGGUUCAAGUGGGAUGAUGAAUUGAAGAGCAGUUGUUAUUUGACACUGCAAUUAGAUGGCUCAUAUUUGAUUUAUGGAGCUAUGAUAAGGGAUUCGUGCUUGUAUCACAUAUAACAAUAUUUACAUAGUAACAAGCACUAUUAAAGAUGCUACACUAGUAAUUGCUUUAUCAAAUAUUUUAUGUUUUUUUUUUUGAAAUAUUGUUAUAGACAUAGAAUCAUCUAGAUUAUGUGACAUUCUAUAUUGAUUUUGUGAUAUUUUAAUCACUAAAAGUAUGGGUUUCAGAGAAAAAAAACCAAACAAAAAAUUGAAAAAAUUAAAAAUUUUCAAACCAACCCAAUCCAACAUAUUGAUCAGUUUUGGUCUGGUCUGGUUCAAAUAUUUUUUAGCUGAAACAAUUAAUAACCAUUUUCAAAAGGUAACUAUUGACAAGCCUUUCACCGAAACCAUGUUCAUUUAUCCUGAAUCAAUCCAAAUCAGGUUCAGGUUUGAAAGGUUCGGAUAAUCACUUAGACGUCUUCGGUUCUAAUUUUAGGCCUUGUCACUUAGUCAUCCCUUAUCCUAACUUUUUAUUUCCUAAUAAAAUCUCACGGUUUUUCAUCUAUGUUCAAAGGAAAAGUUGACCUUGCAAAUGGUGCUCUAAGGAACCAAGUCAUCCUAGAACUAAUCAUCCACCUAAUCUCAUCAACUCCUUGUUGCACAAACAGCUUGUCUCACUUAAAGGGGAUUUUAAUGAUGAACAAACACCAACUCCUUGUUGCUCAAAUACAUAUGCUCAUUUAAACACAAUUUUGCAUUACCUAGAACUGACAAGGCCUAAAAUUCCUGACAUAUAAUUUUGUUUUAAAGGAACUUCAGGAUUUCUAUAUAGGAUGCUUGACCUCAUUAAAGAAAAACUGAGGACAUCCAUAACAUAAAUUAUCUUCCUUGCCCCAAAGUCAGCACAGAAAAACCCUGUUCAAUAUAAAGGUUCUGAAUGUUUUUCCUAAAUUUCAUGAGCUGGCAUUCAACACAUCAAACUCCCAAUUUAGCAUUCUUAUGCAAACUACAACUGCAAAAGGCUUGUACAUGUAGGGGAGGUAGGAAGAGCUGCAAAGAAUUGUGGCAUCUAUUGUUAUGCUGUUCAGAGUUUCUAUCUCAUCAUCCAAUCUGCCAAAAAUAUAAGAGAUCAUGUGCAUCAUCAAAAGCCCCAGCCGCUAUAUGAACAAAGCACCUAAAAAAUUAAUCACCUAGCUAAUCUAAUUCAGGAAAAUUCGGUCAAAAUCUCCUACAAUGAAACGAGUUAUUGGAAUGCAUAGAUAGGAAAUUCAGGUAAACACACACACAUACACACACACACCUGAUCAUAAAUUUCCUAAAGAAAUUCUGAAUCGUAACAUUGGUAAACAAAGAGUGACAAUAUCAUCACAUUAAAAAUGCAUUUCACUCAAAACAAAUAACAGCUCAAGAAAAAAAAUUGCAAGAAGCCAAUAGAGAAUAAAGUAAGCAGUCCAUAAACAAGAGACAGAGAGACAUUGUUCCAAUAGAGAAAAGUAAUUAAAACCCAACAACUAAAACUGAGAAAGAAUCAAACCAGGGAGUAACUAAUCCUUUUAAAGCAUUCCAAGAAUGGCAACCAAAUGUAACAUAAUCAACCUGCAAAAACAAACACAAAAAGAAUUAGAAGAAGAAAUCCCAUUAGUUAAUAAGUUAAAACAGCAGCAGCAGCAAAAAGACUAAAAUUUUAGUUAUUUGGACUUGAGAAAAAGCACUGAACCUGUGUGAAAAUGCCAUGAAAGGGGUGCUAAGAAACCAGGAACAUAAAAACUUGUAAAAGGGUCUUUUUACAAAGCAAGAAAGAAGCUAGGAAGCAAGGAAGCAUGCCAGCCUACCCUCACGAACUCUGUUUGUUAGGCCAUGUUUGUUUCCCGGAAUUCACUUUCCGGGAAACCAUUUUCCAAACUUUCCUGUGUUUGUUUGCCAUUAGAAAAAUUGAUCAACGGAAAACACUUUCCGGUCAACGGAAAACACUUUUCAAUCAACGAAAACACUUUCCCAUCAAAGAAAAAAUUGGUUUGGUUUUUCAGGAAAGUGUUUUCCCUUUUGGCUGUGUUUGUUUUCCGGAAAGUGGUUUCCGGGAAACCACUUUCCAAACUUUCUUGUGUUUGUUUGUCAUUAGAAAAGUUGGUCAACGGAAAACACUUUUCGGAAGUUGUGAAAAAUUUAGAAAUGUCAUUAUUUGUUGAUUAUAUCAAAUUUAAUCCUCAAACUUUUGAUUGCUAUAUAUAAUUUGUUUUGAAUAUUUAUUUUUCAAUUCCAUUUCUUAAAAUUUAAUUUUUAUAUUAAUUUUGCUCCUUAUUUUUAUAAUUGUUAUUUGCUUUUUCCUUAUCAUUUUUUUAUUGAAAUUUUUUAUCUGUCAAAUUUGGUCCUCAUUCUUUUGAUUGUUACUUAGUUUAUUUGAAAUAAUUUAUGAAAUGUUAAUUAUUAUUAUUUUAAUUUCUUCACCUUUCAUUUUUUUAAAAUUUUUAGAUUUGAUUUCUAUUAUUUUGAUUAUUAUUUAUUUUAUUUGAGAUAAUUUAUGAAAUUGUAUUUUUUUUCAAUUUCAUUCUCAUUCAACUUUUUAAUUUGUAAGAUUUGUUCCUCAUUAUUUUAAUAAACUUGAGAAAAUAAAACAUUAAUAAGUUAUUUUCCAGCUCAUUUUCCAUGACAUAACCAAACACUGGAAAAUGUUUUCCAACUUAUUUUUCAUUACACUACCAAACAUCAGAAAAUACUUUCCCGGAAUUCAUUUUCCCGGAAUUCACUUUCCAAAAUGAAACUACUUUCCAGCAAACAAACGGGGCCUUAAUUGUUUUUUCUCCUUUCAAGUAAAAAAAAAAAAAAAAAACAAAGAGCACCAAGAAAAUCUAAUCAGAAAUAUUUUUUUUUUAGUCUGAAAUAUUUUAUGUUGUUGUCUUGGAGAGAUGCAGAUACCGAGGAACAGUUGUGGGGCCACCAUUGGUGAGCAGUGAUACAGUGGCAAGUACGUGAAGUAACGCAUAUUACAGUGCGCAAUGAUAGAGUGAGUCUGGGUGGACAAACUUUUGGUGGUACACGUGGUGCGUAAUGAUUUGACGGCUAUGGAGAGAAGUUACAUGAGGGAAAUAAGAUGAAAAAAGUGGCCUCUCUAGAUUUUGGAAAUGUUCUCUGAAGAAAGAAAGAAAAUAAUCUCAAGGGUGGACAAAAAUGGGGUAAUAUCAGAUUUGGAACAUAAUCUUGGUUGGUGAAGAAUAACAUAAUCUGAAGAGAAAUCUAGGGCAAGCCAGUGAGAUUUGAGCUUAGAUUUUGGACCAAUUUAUAGGUGGAUGAUACCAUCAUGGAUGAUGUCUAGCUGAUAAAUGUUUAGUUACUAGCAAUUCUAUCAUAAGUUAUCAGAUUCUGUGUGUGUGAGGCUGCCAUAAAUUUCUUUCUUCUAUGAUGGAUAAAAAACGCUAAGCAAUGAACCAUUUUGUCAACCUAGUAAAAAAGGUAUUAUGGUAUUAUAGACUUAAAUUCAUAGAUAAUUAAGUAAAUUUCUUGAGGAAAAGCAAAAUUUAACUAUAGAUAAUCAAAGUGAAAAAAAAACACCUCAAAAAAAGAUGGUAGUUUCAAGAUUAAAGCCAAAAAUUCACUUUGAUUCUCAUACUUUUCAGAUAAUGACUUUUUGGUCCCUUAAGUUUUCUCACAUUUUAUUUUUGAUCCACAACUUCAUUUUUCUAUAUUCUCAUUCCCUAAUUUGAUAGAGGAGACAAAAUGUUAUUGGAUUACAAUGUUAGAGAGAGUCUCUGUAACAGCCUCAACAUUUGUAUUCAAAACAAAGAGUAAGGACAUGAUGAUUCAAAUAAGAUUAUGGAAUUUUUUUUUGUAAUCAAUAAAAAAUUCAGCAGAGUUUUUUUUAUAUUUUUAGAUACUAAAUUAUCGACUUUUCAUCUACAAUCCUCAAUUAUCAAAUUUCUUACUCAUCCUAUCAUCCAGAACUUCCUCCUCUCAUUACAUCACAACUUCUCAAUAAUCAAAUGCACAUAUGUCUAAAUAAUUCAAUAUCCCACAUUUACAUGGAUGCAAUCCAAAGAAUUAUUCUACAAAUUAUAAUUGAAGUACAUUACAUAAUUCAAAGAUUUACAAAUAAGGACCAUUAACGAAAUUAUAAUCGAAAUAAGUAUAUAAUUAAAGAAGAAAUUCAUAAUUAAGAUUAUACUACACAAAAGAGCUUUCGAUAAACUGUUGACACAUUAUAUUACAUAACAAAAUGAUAAAUUCAUUCAUUACAAAAAGAUACCCAACAAAAUAUAAGAAAAUUAAUCUAUUGUUCAGCCCGAUAAGGGGAUGUACCUGAAAAUUGAUUUAAUACAAAAAUUUAAUUAGACAGAUGAAAAAAAGAUAUCCUGCUUUCUUUCUUUCUUCCUUUUUUUUUUAAAAAAAAAUUAGUCAAAAGAUCAUUAAAUUAACUUGCUCAUGUAGUAUUAUAUAUAUAUAUAUAUAUAUAUAUAUAUAUAUAUAUAUAUAUAUAUAUAUAUCAAUUAAAUUUCAGAAUAAUCUAUGAGUUUGAGUUUGUUUUCUUUUUCUUUUUUAAUAUCAACCAAAAAUAUAAUUAUUCAUAUCACUCAAUUAACCCGACAUUACUUUCACUAAUAGAUGAUUAAUUUUCCACCAGUCUAUUCAACAAACACUAUUGUCAUCAAUCCAAAAAUUAGUUUAACGUUUCAUCCAUUCAUCAGGUACAAAUCCCAUUAACUAGGAAAAUUAAUUCUUCAUCUUGCCUAUUUGCCAGGGCACUAAUUCCAUUAAAUCAGGAAUUAGUUCAACGAUUUACCCAUUCACUAGGGUACUAAUCCCAUUAACCAAAGACUUAAUUCCUCAUCAUGCCCAUUCACCGGGACAUUAAUCCCAUUAAUUCAGGAAUUAGUUCAACGAUUUGUCUAUUCACCAGGGUUCUAAUCCCAUUAACUAGAGAAUUAAUUCCUUAUCACGCCCAUUCACCAAGGCAUUAAUCCCAUUAGUUCAAGAAUUAAUUCAUCACAUCGCAUAUCUUAUUUUCUAAAGUAAACAAUAUAAUAAUUUCAUAUUUAUCAACCAUAAUUAAUCAAAUAAAAAUACAUAUUGACCAAUAAUAAAUUCAGGUACCGUGUAAUUACCUGAUGACUAAGCUCGAGCUGAAAUUUCCUGCUGUGGUGUCGGCCUGGCAGCCUCUCUUGAAUUGACAAGUAUAUCAUAUCAUUAUUCUACUUUCCAUAUUGAAACACUCAAUAAAUAAAAUCAUUCCAAUUAUCCUUUUAUUUGCCAAAAUAAAAUCAUUUUGUAAAUUUCCUUCCUAUUCUUUCAAUUUCCACAUUGUAACACAAUUCAUUUCAUCAUUCAAAUCAAUAUAUAUAUUCUUUAAAUUUAUUUAUUUAAUUUUUACCGUAAUUUAAAUCAAAGAAAAACAUAAAAAAAUUUCAUGAUCUAUUCACUCUUUAACAUUAAUAUCAUCUCUUUCUUACACAAUCUCAUCAUCUUAUCAAAACUCUUAAAUUUUUAUUUUUCUUAUUAUUAUUUUUCCAAAAAUCCCUUCUUCAAGAACACCUAAAAUUUUGCUUUAAUUACCAUAAUUUCUUACCUUCCCUACUCACUUCAAUAAUCUUAACACAAUUUCACAAUCAAUUGUAAUUUUCUCUAAAAUAUAUCAUGAACCCUAAUUCCUCAUUUCACAAAGUUCAAUCAAUUUAAAGCAUAAAUUCUUCGAGAAUCUUAUUUAAAAGUGUGAGGACAUCUUACCAAGCAAUAACCAAAGCUUUAACACUUUUAAAUUGAGAAAUUUUCCUUGCUUGAAUUUGUUUUUCCUCUCCUGGCCGAAUGCUUAAAAAGCAAGUUUUUUUUUUUGUUUCCUUAUAGCACACUCACUUGCACUCAUAUAUAUAUAUAUAUAACUCUUUUUUUAAAUACCUUCCACAUCCCUCAAUUUUUUCUUUCCCCCUACACAUAUAUAAUUACUUAACUUUUUAAAAAUACCUUUUAUAUUCCUUAAUAGUAAAUUUUAUGAUUUUUGGGUAAAAUUUCUUGAAUCCUAAUGCCUGUUUAUACCAAAUUUUAUCCAGGUUAUUUCAAAUUUCACUCAGUUACUCGUUAGUAUUUUCAGUUUCAUGAAAUUCAUUUCCAUAAAAAUUUUAUUCAUAUUUUCAUGUUUAUUUAUUUAUAUUUAUUUUUUAUAUAUAUUUUAACACCCGAACAAAACAUUUCAAUUCAGAUUCUCGAAUAUAUCAUCAUUCUUAUAAUUUAAUUUAUCACUUUUCCUCAUUUUUCGUAAUCUUGACUUUUAUUAAUAUCAAUAAUAUUACCCGGGGUUUUACAAUCUCAGUUGGCACUGAUUUUUGCCAUAAAAAAUGGUUGAUUUUAAUGAUUUUUUUUAAUAUCUAUAUGUUUUUUUUAUAUUUUAUAUGAAUAAACUUUAUUUUCAUGAUGUGUUUAUAAAAAUAAGAAUUAUUUGUUCUUGGUAAGAAAAAGUGACCUUUAAGAUUAAAAAGAAGGAGAAAAGUGACCUUUAAGAUUAAAAGUAUCUGCUCGAAAAAACCAUUCAACAUAAGAUUGCUCUGCUAGGAAAACAUGAUAUCAGUAUCAAACUUUUGAACAAAGAGUUCAGCAUCAAGUCUCAGUCAUCUUGAGAUUUGAAUGCCCAAACAUAUUCAGAUGCUCAUAAAAUAACAUUUUUAAUAAUGCAUUAUGCAAUAGAAACAGAACAUCAAACAAAGAGUUCAGCAUCUUACGCAUGAAAGUCCACACAUUAAACCAAAAGAAACACAAAUGGCCAAGCAAACAUACGCCCUUACUUCUGGAGGCUUGUACGAUAAUGGGCAAGCAACAUUAUUUUUUUGACUAUUAAGCAUCACCAUCACCAUCACCAUCACCAUCACCAUCUUCCUCUUCCUCUACUUCUUCUUCUGUCCACCCAUUAUCUCGGGUCCACUCUCUAUUAAUGCUUGAAUCUUCAGCUACUUCAGAUACCUGUAAACCAAUCAAGAAAAGAGAAAUUCAUAAAAAAAUUACAAAGAAAAGAGAAAAUUAGCGAAAGCCAUUCAACAUAAGAUUGCUCUGCUAGGGAAACAUGAUAUCAGUAUCAAACUUUUGAACAAAGAGUUCAGCAUCAAGUCUCAGUCAUCUGGAGAUUUGAAUGCCCAAAUAUAUUCACAUGCUCAUACAAUAACAUUUUUAAAAAUGCAUUAUGCAUUAGAAACAGAACAUCAAACUGCAGAGAAAACAUGCUGAUGCAGAAAAUACUCAAGUCGUAGAAAGGAGAAUGCAUGAAAGUCCACACAUUAAACAUUAUGCCUUUCUUUUUGAAGGUUCACACACUUCAAAAGAAACACAAAUGGGCAAGCAAUAUACGCCCUUACUUCUGGAGGCUUGUAAGAUAAUAAUGGGCAAGCAACAUUAUUUUUUUGAGGUUCGCACAGUAAUGACUAAAUACACAACAUUACAUUACUCCUGUGCUGUCAACAAUUCUUCUAACUUCUUCAGCAAACACAUAGAUAGAUAAGUCGAAAUCUUCUAUGGUAAAUAAGACUGUCACAAUGUGAAGCCAAUUUGUAUCCCGUUGCCAAUGGAACAGGAGGAAUUAUUUCCCACCAAUCUAAAACAUAUUCGCAGCACCAACCUUGAAAUCAUGUAAGAGCUAACCACCAUUCAACAUGAGAUUGUUCUGCUAGGAAAACAUGAUAUCAAACUUUUGAACAAAUAGUACACCAUCAAGUCCAAAUAUAUUCACAGCUCAAAGACAUGAGUCUCCAUCUUCUUUCCACCCCAUAUUUCUGGUCCACUCUCUAUUAAUGCUUGAAUCUUCAGCUACUUCAGGUACCUGUAAACCAAUUCAAGCAUGGCAUGCUCAUUUAACUUGUAAAUCUUAUUAUUGAGAGAAACAAGAAACAAACACACUAAAAGAGAGGCAAGAAAUCAAGUCAAAUCAGCAGCACCUCUGAUUGAGCAUUCAUUGAACCAUCUGGUGUAGUAGCAAAUUUUGUGGUCAGCUUUGGACAUUGAUGGACCUUCAACUUCUCCAAACGAGGGAAUAAGAAAUAAUCACACCAUCUGAAACUAAAACAGACAAUACUUGAUAAUUGUUCUAGCGACAACUCCUUUAGAUUAGGAAGCACUAUCUCCUUCUCAACGUUGAUAGGUGAAGCUUGACCAUCCUGCCCAGGAGACUCUGGAAUUAUUUCCCUUUCACCAUCCUCUUCUCUGAUAAUAUGCUUCAAUUGACCGCAUUUACUUAUGUAAAGUCUUUGUAGCUUUGGCAGACUUCGAGCGAGGGACGGUGUGAAGAUAAAUGUCAGUUUGUUGAGAGACUCCAAAUUCAGACGAUUAAGACUUUGGAGGCUGACAUGUCUAGAUGGCCCCUUCCAUAUACANNNNNNNNNNNNNNNNNNNNNNNNNNNNNNNNNNNNNNNNNNNNNNNNNNNNNNNNNNNNNNNNNNNNNNNNNNNNNNNNNNNNNNNNNNNNNNNNNNNNAAUACCUCUUCCAAUGAUUUACAGCUGUCAACAAUCACCUCCUUUAGAUUGUUCAAAGCUCGGAGCAAUUUUGCUGGAAACGGAGUGCGAACAUCCCCACAAUCGUCUACUCGUACAAAUUUUAAUCUUUGUAAGAAGCCGUUUUGCUGCCCAUGGACGGCCAUCUUAUCAGAGAACAAUAUUAUAUUUUUUCACUCUCAUAAAAACAAUUUAUAUGAUGUAUAAAUAGGAGAAAAAAAUAGAAAAAACAGGAUUAAAUACUUUUUUUUUGUCUUAAUUAGAGAUAAGUUGAAUAAUAAUUAGAUUUUUGCGAAAAAAGGUUAAUACAACUCCUAAUAAUUAGUUUCAUGUAAAAAAUAAAAAUAAAAAUAGUAGCUAAAAUUUUUAUUUUAGUUAUAAAGUUAAUAAAUUUUUAAAGAUAUUUUAAUUGAAUUAAAUAUUUGAACACAAAAGUUAUAUAUUAAAUCUAACAGAUAUUAUGAUUUCUAUGAUUAAUUUUUGGUAUUAAUAACGCAAACAACAAUGAGGCAGUUAAUUUUCUUAUAUUUAUAUAUGUUUAGAUAAAAAAACAAAUCAUAAAAAAAAAAAAUAAGCUACUAUGUUUGUUAUAUAAUUAAAAAAAAAAUUCAAACUUGGAUUUCCUAGCAUUUAUCAAUUACUUUACUUUUAGAAAUUGGGAGGAAGAAAGAAUAAAUUAUCGCAAUUGACAAUUUAAAUUAGUGGAGAAAUAUAAAUUACGUACUUGUAGCUGUGCCAACCAAUUACCCACUUCUUCGUGGCCUUCAAUGGUUAAGUCUAUGAUGCCAUCUCUGUUAUGAGACAAAGAGACUGGGAAGACAUAUUCCAGUUUACCACAGUGAGAUAUGCGGAGAGUUUUUAAUUUUGGGAAGCGAGGAGACUCUGGAAUUAUUUCCCUUUCACCAUCCUCUUCUCUGAUAAUAUGCUUCAAUUCACCACAAUCACUUACCUGAAGUCUUUUUAGCUGUGGUAGACUUUGAAGAGUUAGAGACACGGAGACAGGGAAGACAUAUUCCAGUUUACCACAGCCUUCUAUGAUGAUAGUUUUUAAUUUUGGGAAGCAAGGAGACUCUGGAAUUAUUUCCCUUUCACCAUCCUCUUCUCUGAUAAUAUGCUUCAAUUCACCGGAUUCACUUAUGCAAAGGGUUUCUAGCUUUGGCAGACUUUGAGCAAGGGACGGUGUGAAGAUAAAUGUCAUUUUGUCGAGAGAAUCCAAAUGCAGAUGAGCAAGACUGUGGAGGCUGACAUGUCUGGUGGGCCCCUUCCAUAUGCAUUUGAGCUCAGGUAACCGGUACAGCUUUAACUCUGUUAAAGAUGACAGCAACGGCAGCUCCUUCUCCUCACCCAAUUCAAAUACCUCUUCCACUGAUUUGCAGUCCUCAAUUUCCACCCUCCUUAGAUUUUUUAAACCUUGCUGCAAUCUUGCUGGAAACAGAGUGAAAACAUCCCCACAAUCCCUCACUUCUACAAAUUCUAAUUUAUGUAAAAACAAUUGCUCAAAUGUCUUCGCAUUUAAGGAUGUACCACCCAAAAUUAAUCUUGUGGAGGUUGGGUAUCCAUUAGAAUAAUAUUUAGUAGUAUUCCCUAACAUUAAAUCAUAUUUGAGCAAGCUGGGAAAAACAAAAUCUCUGGGAAUGCAUUCAACCUUCGGUAUCCUCAAUGAUAAUACGGCUAACUGAGACAACGAAUUUAGUUCUGUUAGGCUUGCAUUCAUUCCUCCUGUGCUGUCACAUCCAACAUCAUCCCAUCCCUUAAAGCUGUCUUUCCCGAUCAACAAUUCUUCUAACUUCUUCAACCUUCAAAUCAAAUUCACAGGGAUCCUUCUUAGACUUCGACAACCUGUCACAUCCAACAACCUUAACUCCUUGAGCUCUCCUAUUUCAUCAGGUAAUUCUUCAAUGGAUAAGCACAUUAUAAAAACAAGAAUCUUAAGUCUCUGCAGCUUUCUCAACCAAAUGAGGUCCUUGCAUCCACACCUGAUCAACACCAACGAUUGAAGUUUCGUUAAGAGUUCAAGUGAUUGCAAUGACAAACACUCUCCCUCCAGAGACAAAACUUCAAUUUCUUUCAUCCCUUCAAAAAACCUCUGAGGAACAUUCAUACCAUCAUCCAGUUCUAAUAAUAGAACUUUGAGCCGUGGACAUACCAAUCCUUCAGGAAGUUCGGUUAGUUUAUUGCCCAUUAACGAAAUUGUUGUACAAGCUUCAAAGCUUUUGAUACUCAUUGGCCAUUCCUUCAACCCAAUGCCAGCCUUUACCAUGAAUCCAUAUUCUUCUGAUGAUGCUAUCUGAAUAGCAAAGUCACGAACCAAGUCAUGCAUUCUCACAUGUUCUUCAGUUUCAGUGCCCAACAGCAUGCAACAAUCUUUGAGGUUUUCGAUUGCCACGGAAACUCGUUUCCUUGCAUCUUCAAUGGGCUCCGUAUCUUGAUGUAACCCACAGCCAACUGCAUAUCUCGUCAAGUCCUCGAUUGGAAUGUCAUAAUCUUCUGGAAAUAAACAGCAUAGCACGAAACAUGACUUGGUUUCCUCGUACUUCAAAUAAUCAUAGCUCAACUUAAGACAUGUGUAAGCAUUAUUUUGUUCGUCAAUUUGUUCCAUGCGCACAAAUUGAGAUUCUUUGAGCUGUUUAGACGCUACUUCCCACUGAACUCGUGAUUUACCUCUUAGAGCCCUUCCCACUGUCACAAGUGCUAUAGGCAAGCCUUGGCAUUCUCUCGCAACCUCCCUUGCCACUGUGUUCAAGGUAGAGUCCCCAUCACGUAAACCUGCAUUGAUUCUGAAUAAAUCCCAUGCUUCAUCUUCAGGUAAGACUCUUAAAAGCACUUUUUGCUGGCACUCCAUAGAAAAACAUAUGCCUUGAACACGAGUUGUUAGAAGAAUUUUACAACCCCUGUGAUCAUCACCAAAUGGGAUCCCUAUCUCUUUCAAGUCAAUAUGUUUCCAAACAUCAUCUAGGAUUAUAAGCAUCUUCUUUCCCUGCAGUCUCUGCCAUAAUUCACUUGCUCUACCUUCUUUACUCGUUUUUUCAAAUUUCAGAUGUAAACUAUCUGCCAUUCGAUCCUGGAUGCCUAUGACAUUUGGAUUCUGGGACACCGUAGCCAUCAAAACUUCAGGAAAAAGCUGCGACUCUUUGGCUCUCCUGCCUACUUCUUUCACCAGGGUUGUUUUACCCACCCCUCCCAUGCCGUACAGUCCGAUCAUAUUGACGUUGUCAUCUUUGAGAGCUUUCAUGAUCUGUUCCAAAGCUUCUUUUGACGAUUCUGAGGGUGUGAAUUCCUUUGAUGUUAGAAAUUCUAUGGGCUGAGGAGGAGCUUUUUGGGCCACUGUUUUAAACUUUUCGCUACUUUCUCCAAGUUUUCUGAAAGUCUUCGACUUCUUGGCCAGUGCCUUGCUUAACUUGAAUUGUCGCAUNNNNNNNNNNNNNNNNNNNNNNNNNNNNNNNNNNNNNNNNNNNNNNNNNNNNNNNNNNNNNNNNNNNNNNNNNNNNNNNNNNNNNNNNNNNNNNNNNNNNNNNNNNNNNNNNNNNNNNNNNNNNNNNNNNNNNNNNNNNNNNNNNNNNNNNNNNNNNNNNNNNNNNUUUGCCGAAACCAGGUUCUCCUUUCGUUCUUUGAAUUCUUCAACAAAAUUGUAGAAACAGAACAUGCAACGGAACAGCCUUCCUACUGGUUCCACCAUGAGUUCUGCUAGCAUAGCUAUAAUGGAUCCACCAGCACUUUCGAGAGCCAUUUUCCACAGGUCUGAAAAUCAAAGAAAUAAGGAUACAGAACGUGAGAGUGAGUCACUACAAGUAAAAGAGGCUUAAAGAGAAUGGGAAUAGGAAUUUCAUUACCUUAAUUUGGGAAAAUAUGUGCGAAAAGCACUGGUAUUGAGUGUUCAAUGAAAUAGCGGGAGGAAGAAGAGGAGAAGGCCUUUAGCUCUGUAUGGAAUCCAGCUUCAAAAGCAACAAGGCAAGGUACAAGUAUAACAAUAAAAUAGUUUACAUGGAUUCUAACGGACUCUUGUGAGUUAAAGCAUUAGUUCCCUUUAAAAAUGCAUUUUGAUGACAUAAUUAAGAUAAUAUAGAGACAGUGACAAACAAAUAAAAAAAUGUGUAAAAGAACUCACCUAGCAAAGAAAGAAACGAAUGAAAGGUUCAGGAUAAUCACUUAGACGCCUCCAUGGAUGAUACCAGCUCGCUUCCAACAACAAAUAUAAUUAACCUAAGCUAUGAUCGGUCAAAGUUUUUUUUAGUUUUCUUUUUUUUUUUAAAAAAAAAAAGAUCAACAAGAGAAAAUUAAGACUUGCAGGAACGAACUCAACAAAGAAUGAAACUAAAAGAACCAUGUUUUUUAUGAUGAUCAUCUCCGUGUCACCCACUUGGGUAAUAUGAUUGACCCGAGUGUGUGACAUCCAGAGUGCGGUUACUUUUUUCAUCCCUCUUUUUUGGUUUUAUUUUAUUUCAGUUCUUCAAGUCUUUUUCUUUUGCUAUUUCAUCGAGUUGCUUUGCUCUUGAGUUGUUGUGCUUGCCCUCAAGUAUGCAUUAUGCUAGGAAUUAUAAUUACAUAUUAUAAUUACAAAUUUCAGUUUUUUAAAAAACAAAAAAAAUAUGAGAAAGGACCAAUAUUACAAUGUGAGCAAAUGAAAGGAGAAUUUUAAAUUUUCUUGUGACAUGGUGACCAAGUAAUCCAAGGAACCAAUAGAUUAUCGCCACUUGUUCAACCUUAUCUGCACAUUAAGAUAGGGGUAGAAAGUAGGAAAGAAAAAUCAUAAUCCUAGAUUUUAUUGUGACAUGGAGAUAAAGGUAAUCUCAAAAGCUAAUAGAUGGUCCUUUAUCUACCCUUAGGAAAAGAUAGAAAGUAGGAGAGAAAAGUCAUAAUCUUAGAUUUUAUUGUGAUAUGGAGAGUUUCUCUCAACUCAUUUUUAGACCUCAACUGAUGAAGAUGGUGUGUAUUUUUUUUUAAAUCAAGUGCAUGUGUUUGUUGAAAAAUUGAUAAAAAUAAAGGAGAAAGAAAUAUUUUUUUCGAACCCUGUUUGAGGUGUUUUCUACUCUUUAUAUCCUCCUCCUUUGAUGCCAAAAGCAUCAGGUUUCUUAGGCUAAUAAGGAGUCUUCAUAUAAAUCCCUCAUAAUUUGCAUUUGUUUUUUUAAAAAACUGAUUAUGCUGCUGUCGUAAUUUUUUAUUCCAACUUAGGCUCUAAUUCUGACUUGGUUUCGUAUGAUAUUUGACCAUCCUACCUAUUUUUAUCACUCAUGACAUGUUGAAGAAUUGACCUAUACCUUUAUUGGGUCCUAGGGGUCAUUGUUCUUAGGGUAGACUCUCAGUCAGAUUUGGAUGCUUGGCAUUGUCAGAUCAAGAAAACCUUUUUGACCAACCAGAUUCCUGUCAGAUUCUGUUAUCUAAAACGAUUUUAUCUCACUUCAAAUCCUUCAUCAAAGUUGUAGUCUGGGACAAGUAGAUGAAUUUGAGCUUUUGAAUUGCUUGAUUUGAAGAUAUUCCUGUUUGAAAUCUAGCAUGAAAGCAUAAAAUCCUGCCGCGAGAAGGUUUCCAGUCGAGUUUGGUUGCAAUUCUGUUAUUCAAAAGGAAUUUAUCUCAUUUUUAUCUUUCAUGAAAGUUGUAGCUCUACAAGUGUAGAUGAAUUUGGGACUUUUCAAUCGCUUGAUUUUGAUAUCAAAAGCUCAUAAUAUUCUCGUUUGAAUAUCUAACGUGAAAGCAGAGAAUUCUGUCGCGAGAAGGAUCUUGACCCGAGUUUUGCACUAAAGACUCUAUUUCCAUCACAAAAAUUAUUGAUUUGUUCUUAGGUCAUACUCUCAGUCAUAUCGCGAUGCUCGACGUUGUCAGUUUCUGAAUUAGAUCAGGAGACCCUUUUUGACCAACCAGAUUACUGCCAGAUUCUGUUCUCUAAAACAAUUUUAUCUCACUUCGAAUCCUUCAUCAAAGUUGUAGUCCUGGACGUGUAGAUGAAUUUGGGCUUUUGAAUCGCUUCAUUUCAAUAUCAAAAGCUCAAGAUAUUCUCAUUUGAAUAUCUAAUGUGAAAGUAGAGAAUCCUGCCGCGAAAAGGGUUUAUCCCAAGUUCGCAGGUCUUAUUUGAAGGAUUUUUUUGGACCAAGGACUAAAUUGAAAAGUGCUAAAAUGAGGGAUUUAAUUGAAGAAGGAUAUUGGAAGCUGGAGAGGGGGGCUGGAUCAUCAUAAAUGACGGGAUUUCUACCACACCGAAUAAGGAAAAUAAGACUUUGCAGCAUGCACCGUUACCCAUCUGAUUUCUUUUCUUUUUCUUUGCAAAUUUCUUGCUGGUUUCCACGUUUCUCUUGCUGGAUUGGAGAGCUCCAGGCCAUGUUUUUAUUGCCUCAUUUCAAAGGAAACAGCUGGUGUCUCAUGAUCCCAGAUUUGGAAGGAAAGAAAGGAGUCGCACUAUCCUCUAAAAUACUGGAAAGAAAUCAGAUAUGAUCACAGAAUCAGAAUCAAAAUAUUUUGGUUUCCUAUUUCUACUCACCCGAGAUUACACCCUAGAGUUAAUGUAAUAUUUGUUUUCUAAAUAGAGCUGCGUUUUAGGUUAUAAGCCUCCUCUACUGGGAGAAGAAAGGGAUGAAAAAAAAGAAGGGAAGCAGGACAGAAAAGAGGGAGAACAGGAGAGGAGAAAAGGGGCCAAAUCUAAACCCUCUCUAGAGGAGCGCCACCCCCCCCCCCCACUGGCUUCUGUUUUGGCUCCCAGAACAGGCCACAACGCAGAAAAGGGGGGGGGGAGGCCUUUUCUUUCAUCCUUUGGUUACUGUGAAGACUUUACUGAACGGGGAAAGAAAAGAAAAGGAAAGGAGGAGCAGAGGAAAAAACAAGAAAAGAAAGACAAGAAAAAACAUAAGAGAGGCAGGGAGUAGGAGAGAAAAAAACAGAGAACGAGGGAGUUUCUUUCCUUCAUCCUUGCGUUGUUGGGAGAUCAGGAAGGCAAGCAGUAUAAGAGAAGAAGGAGAAGAAAAAGCAAGAAAAACGAGAAAAGAAAGAGAAACCAUAAACAAGCAGAGACUGCCUUUUCGGUCUUGCUUUCAUUUUUCUGCAUAUAACAUCUGCAGAACAGGGAAGGAGAAAGUGCAGGAACCAGGGAGAGAGGGUGACGAAGACGCAGAGAAAAGAAAAAAUCAGAAAACAGACGCAAAUAUAGAACAAGAGGAAAAGGUUUGAAACAGAUGAAACAGACCGAUCAACCAUCACGCUUUCAACGUCAAGGCAGCUUCUUCGCUUCCGUUCCUAGGUCUGUUCUCUUCACCUCUCGCACCAUGCAUUUUUUUGCUUUGUGUUUGCAUUGUUCAAGUGAAUUUUAACUCACUUGAAUAGUAACGUGGUCUCUUUGCAUGCAUUUUACUUUGUUCAUUGAGAGGAUUGCGCCCUUUUUUUUGUGUCCAGCCGGGUCACUUGCAGCCAGACCUACUAUUUUUUUCUUUUAAAAAAAUAAAAGAAAGAGAAAGAGAUUUAUGAUUUUCUGGCAUAUUUAUUUAAGGUCUGAAUUUUUUUUAUGUUGUAAAAAAUAUCAAUCUCGUAUUUAGAAUACCCGGUUUUCGACGCAAUGUGACAAAUAUACAUAUAUAUCAAAAAUGUUUUCUUGUGUGUUGCAUACGGCCAAUACCCUAACAUGUUUUGAACGUUCUUUUUUAUACAAAAAAUAUUGGAAGUUUCAAAAAUGUGUCGCAUGGAUUUCUUAAACACAACAAAAAUUAUUUUCUUGCAUUUCUGGAUUUUACAACAUGUUUGUAAAACUCCAAAGGGUAUUGGCCAAUAUUCCAAAAAAAUAAAAAAUCUUAUUUUGGAGGGAAUUAAUCUAUUGUUCACCAUUAAUGUUUGGAUAAAGAAAUCUCAAAGGGAUGAAUAUCCAAAAUAUUAUUGGAAAUAACUUGUUAUUAUUCACUGUUAAUAUUUGGAUAAAGAAAUCUUAAGUGGAAAAUAUCCAAAAUAAUUUUCUAGAAAGAAUAAGUCAUCACACAUCCUUGAAAAAAGCCUUGAUUAUAAUCGAGGACAUUUUAAUUUUUUACUCCACGGUUUAUGAGCCGUGAGAGUUUAAAACACUAAGGCAAAAAUAAGCUUUUAAAGCGCCCUAAAUUUCUAAAUUUUUGUCCCUCCUCCUUGCGAUUUACGAGUUGCAAACUCUUAAAAUACUAAGGGAAAAUGAGCUUUUAAAGCACAUGGAAUCUCCUUGGAUUUCUAUCUUAAUAAAUUUAGUUGAAUCAAACCUAGAAAAACUGAUGGGAUUAGAAAAACACCAACACCAUAGCAAUUAUAAAGCAAACCAAACACCAAGCAGCUUACCUUAGGUAGGGCGUACUAGGGGUGUUAAUACCUUCCCUUUACGCAACCAGUCUCUUGCCUUAGAAUCUCUAAAAGACCAGUUAGGGUUCCUAGUGACUAAAAUAUUAGGUGGCGACUCUUUUUUCCACACAAAAAAAACCGAAAUCAAUCAAGGGUCGUCGCAAUGGUGUGACAAACAUCAUCAUUACCCAUCAACAUAACUCCUCCAUCGAACUCUUUAAGUCUUGAGAACAAGUGUUUGUUGUGGCACAUGUGAUAGGAAAAUCUAAAAUUAAAAACCCAUUCACUGGAAUGGUUUUAUGGUGAUGAGACCAUGAAUGAAGAGUCUUGUUCAUCUUCAUCUCAUGCAAUAUUCAUAGUUGGUUCAUCCUUUUUUGUUGUCCUUGUUGCUUUUAUUUGGACAAUCUUUCUUCUAGUGUCCUUCUAUCUUAAAUAAAUAGCAGACAUGCUUGGGUCCUCUUUUUUUUCCCUUUGUGAGUGUACAACGCACAGUGGUAGGCAACCUAUAUUUCUUUUAUUAUUAAGCAAACAAUAAUUCACCUAAUGGUUGGAUCAUCUAAAACUUGCUAUUAUAACGAUAGCUGGAAAAAUAUAGGGUUGGUAUAAUAAUUUAAUUUUUAAUUCAUUGACAUCUAAAAAUACUAUAAAUUUUUUUUAUAAACCACUUACCAGCUCCAAAACAUCCUUAAACCAUUCAAAAGACAAAAAAAAAAAAAACUAAAUCAAAAAAAUCUAAAAGAACUUGAAUCUAUUUUUUUCAGGUAAGAUGAAUGACAGAGAACACUUAAAUGUAACUUUUCUCCUCGAAAGAAACCCGUUUAUACAAAGAAUGAUUUUUUCAUGGUCAUAAUCUUGGCAAUCAAAAACUUUUUUAUUUUAUCAUCAUUUUUCAAUGUUUCUCUUUCUCUCAUCUCUCAAACCAGAGAUCAAGAUUAACAUCCAAUCCCCAAAUUAGAAGGGAUCAAAAUGUAACUUUGACAAAACCAAAACAUAAAAUUUAACAAAAAAACCUAGACUCUUUUAUUCUUCUUCCAUUUGGUUUCUUAACUUUUAAUUUUGUAAAAAUAAUAAAAUCACAUAAAUUUCAAUAAAAUUAAAAAUCAAUUUAAUGACAAGAAGUUUUGUCAAGAAUAUAAUAGUCUCGUGAAAAAGCAAGAAAGAACAAAUUAUAAAGAUUGAUUCCAAUGAACACAAUGUGAAACAAUUAAAUAAAACAUUGAAGAGCAUUCAAAAAGAAAACAUUGUUUAGCCCAAUUCACAAAUUCCACUAAAGAUUCCACCUUUCUCACCUUUGAUUUCUGUGUCGCCGGUCUCCGUCUUAUUUGGUUUUGGUAUCUGUCAUUGUUUUUUUUUUUUUUUUUUUUUUGGGGGGGGGGGGGGGGGGGGGGGGGAAAAAAAUUUUUAGCGGGGGAAAAAGAAAAAUAUUUGCCGCCUAUUACUUUGUAAUAAAUAAAUUAAUUCUCAAAAAAUAGUAAAUUAAACUUGCCUUCAAUUAGGAUUUGUGUUCUUCAAUUUUGAACCUUUUCUUUUAAUCCCACAAGUAGUAUUUUGCUAUUUAGUUUACUACUACAUUAUAUUUAUAUUUAGUUUCAAGUUUUUCUUAAAAAAAUCUUAAUAUAUUUUUGUGUUCUUUUCUAUAUUCUACUUUUUACAACUUUUUCUUUAAAAAAACAUUAUUUUCUACUUUUUUAAGUUUUUCUUUAAAAAAUAAUAUUUUUUUAUCAAAUCUUAAACAAUUCAUUCAUAUUUGAAUUCAUAUAUUUAUAAGAAUUUAAUUUUUGUAAUUGAUUUUUAAAUCUCAUUCCAAAUUUAUAGUGUAAAGAUUAAACUGAAUUGGUUAGGUUGAUAAACUAGCACGAAAUCCAGAAAUGGAUAAUGCUCGUAAGCCCAACACAAAGCAAUACCCAAUGGAGUCCAGCUAAAGAAGUAGAAAGGGCCGAAGGGAAUCUUUUUAUUAGGAAGCUGCUACAUUUUCAAACAAGAAGUAGAACCCUUCGGUUAUAGUCGUCAAGAAACAGAAUAACAACAAUGGACGAAGUUCAAGAAAGAGAGAAAAAAGACGAAUUCGAUGCAUCAGAGAUUGAAUACGUUAGCUAUGGUGGUGAGCAUCACCUACCAUUAAUCAUGAAUCUUGUCGAUCAAGAACUUAGUGAGCCUUACUCCAUCUUCACCUACCGUUACUUUGUUUAUCUUUGGCCACAACUUUCUUUCUUGGUAAGUGUGAUUCUUUUCUUCUUUUAUGUUGUUGGGAUUUUUUUUUUGGUGUUGUAACUGUGUUUUUGUUGGUGGGUUUUCAAUUUCAGGCCUUUCACAAAGGCAAAUGUGUAGGGACUGUUGUAUGUAAGAUGGGGGAUCAUCGGAAUUCAACUUUUAGAGGUUACAUUGCUAUGUUAGUUGUCAUCAAACCUUAUCGAGGAAGAGGCAUUGGUAAUGGCUUCUUCUUUUUUUCAUAUUGGGAUUUUGUGCACAGUUUUAGGUUGUGUUGGAUUAUAUAUGUGAAUCCUGGAUUGGUUUUUAAUGUACUAUAGAUCUAUUGGAAACAAGAAAGGAAAGGGGGUGAGGGUUUUCAAGAAAUUGGACGUGCAUUGAUAACAUUAAUGGUAGAAAUAUGGAUGUUUGGAAUGAUUAUGUGUAUAAUAAACUGGCUGCAUUUGAUUUGAACUCAAGGUCCAUUCUUUGUUUUCCUACACUUGGGAUGGCAUUUACAAAGGAUUGGAUGUGGGCUUUGAUAGUUUUUAGGCUUUGUGUUGAUAUAUCAUGUUUUUCUUGUUAAUUGUGUUGUGUAUGGGUACGUUGUAAUUUCCAGUGAAAUUCUCUCCAGACUGCAGCUACUGAACUUGUUACCAGAUCUAUUCAAGUGAUGAUGGAAUCGGGAUGUGAAGAGGUUUGUCGAGUUUUAGUUGUUGUACCUUUUGGUUUGUACUCAUCUAAAUGGAGCAUUAUUCAUACAACUAUAUCACAAAGGAAGUACGGAUUUUUUAUCCUCAAGCUUUAGUUGUACUUUCCAUGGUACCAAAUGAGCAUAUAGGAGAGUAGAAAUAACUACAUUUCCUAAGCAUUACCACCAAACGUUGGAGCUCUGUUUGGGGCUUGAAACAGCAUGGGAAACAAAGGAGAAUUAUGAAACUGCUUAAGUGGUUACCUUCACUGCCAAUUAUAGGAGAGUUGAAAUAGUUUUCCUUUCUACUCCAUUGUGCUCUUUGAUCUCAAACCAAAGAGAAAAAUAAGCUUUCCUCUCGAGUUUGACUGGCACCUUGGCAUGUGUGUAAAUGGUGAUGCCGUAUCUUUUAUUCACACCUCCAAAAACCUUUUCUUCUGAAAUUUCUUGGUGUUUGUGCAUUACUCUGUAGUAACACCAUGUCUCUUAGACACUUCAUGCUUCAUGUGUUAUUUCAAUUCUAUCUCUCCUCUUAGUUACCUCAUGCUGCAUGUGUUAUUUCAAUUCCAUCUCUCCUCUUGCUUUAAUCUUUAUUAGGGUUAAGUGAGCCAGUCCUUGGAGGUAUCCCUGCACAUGGAUAGUAGUCCAUGCAAACAAUGAAUUAUGUUGUUAAUGUGCUGCCAGUUUAUGCUCCCUGCUAGAAGUCCAAAAUAUUACAUGUCAUGUGUGAUGAUUUUGACUUGCAUUGACUGAUUGCACCUACGUGACCAAUUUAGGACUUGCAGCUGAUAUAUUGAUAUGGUUAAAUUGAACUGUCCCAGAAAUUUUCAUUUCAUUAUCUCGAGGUUGAAAUUGUGAGAAAAAAAAAUUAAAAGAAUGAUUCCAUGGAAAAAAAAAAAAAAAAAAACGAGAUCAAUGGAAAUUUACUGCUGAGAAAGGAAUAUGGUUUCAUUCAAUGUAAACGCAACUCCAUGCUUUGCUGCAGUAUCAUAGUUCUGAACGAACUUAAAUAUUGUCCCAAGAAGCCAAUAAUUUGUGAGGCCUUGGCUUUGCUGAUAUUCCUUGUGUUUUUGAAUGAUGCGUUAAUUCUAUUUCUAGUUAUUUCACCUUGAUGCAUGAAUUUGCUCUCAUUUCUCAUAUCAGGCAAAGAACAUAGAAUGAAAAGGUGGGAGAGAAUAUAGAAUCCGAAUAAACUGCUAUGACUUUAAUGUAGGAUAUCAGAACAGCUCAAAUGAACUGCAUGAUUAUUUGACUGUUUUUCCACCUUAACUGGUGAUAAGUGGUCCACUCUGGAACACAAGCAUGCCACAUUAAAGAAUAUGGUCCAUUAAAUAACUAACUACAUUCCCCCCUAUUUGCUUAUGAUUUAGCAUAUCCCAACUUUAUAUUUAUGUAUUCAAGCAUAUCACUUUCUUAACUACAUUGUUGUUGAUCUUUUAUUGUGUUGUGUUUUUCUCUUUCCUCUUCGAAGGUAACAUUGGAAGCAGAAGUUACAAAUAAAGGAGCACUUGCACUAUAUGGCCGUCUUGGUUUUAUUAGAGCAAAACGACUCUUUCACUAUUACUUGAAUGGAGUUGAUGCCUUUCGUCUGAAGCUGCUAUUCCCCCAACCAGAGUUAUACCCCUCUUUGCCUAUGAUGGCUGAUAGAGACGAUACACACGAGCAUGAUGAUUGCUAGCCAAUGGAUGAGCUUUCUGAGCUCCGAGCUCCACAGAGGCUUGGAACUAGUGGGCUUUCUACCAUUCAUUACACAGUCUCUGCGAGCUACAAGGAUGGUUUGAUAUUUGAUCUUUAGAGAGGCAGCACAGCCUCGUAACCUACACAGGGAUUCGCACAAAUGUGGGUUCUUGGUCAUGUCAUCUUUGUUCACUGAAGUCGAUGUACAUGUUUUAUUGGCCUUGUCUAAUAGAAAUGUAUCAACAUACGAGGCCGAAGCUCACAUACUGUAAUACUUGCACAUUAUAGAUGUGGCAGCUAUGACGAAAACAGCCAAUCUCUCUCUGUUCACUCUCAAAAUAUUUGAUUGAGGCGAAGAUCAAGUCUAAAAGACCAAAAAUGCUUCAGCAAUGGUUUGGUACAAAGGGUAUGAUGGUGACUUGAGACAAUAGUGGGUUACUUACCAUAACAGCCAAUGAAACACAGUCAAACCAAGAAAAUCCCAAAUGUUAAAAUAAUAUCCAUGCGUCUCUCUCUAAUGGCUGCAGGAUAUAUAACAUUUGAUUUGCGUUGUAUGGUAGGUGGGUUGCUCAAUUGAGUCAGCUGCAUGCCUAUUCUAGUCAAAAGGCUUAAGAAAGUAGCAAUACUAUUUUAAAAGUGUUUUGUUGCUACGACUUCUUGGAGGUUGCAGCACCAAUCAAAAUGUUUUUAAAAACCAUAUUCUAAUGUGUAGUUGUGUUAAUUUACAAGCACCCGCAUUGUUAAUUUGUUUGAAUUUGGUGUGUUGAAGAAAUGUCUUCAAUUUGUUAAUAUUCUCCCAAGUUUAUAUGCUCUCUAUCAUUUUAAUAACCAGAAUUAUUUUGAUAAUUAAGCAACCAAGCAUUUACGAUAUGAUGAUAUGAGUCAAUGAACACUGCACCUCUUCAGUUAAGUUGAUCUAAUUGGCAUUGUCUAAUAGAAAUGCGUCAACAUAUUAGACCUAAUACAUGUAACAUAUUAUGAAAAGUUAAAAUUAAAAUUACAUUACUGUUUUUACUGUAGCCAAUUUAAUGUUCACCCUCUCAUUUCAUUGUGGAUUUCAGUAGUAAUAUAUUUGAAAAGUUUCAAUUUAAUCUUUAAAUUUUUAUUUUGCAUAAUUGAGCUCUUUUCAGCUCAAAUUGAAUGCCAAUUUAUAUUUUUUUGGGGUGAGGGUUGAAUUAAAAGAAAGAGGGCUUAAGUGAAAAAUAAAAGUAACAUAGGUGACGGCUGUGCAAUUAUUNNNNNNNNNNNNNNNNNNNNNNNNNNNNNNNNNNNNNNNNNNNNNNNNNNNNNNNNNNNNNNNNNNNNNNNNNNNNNNNNNNNNNNNNNNNNNNNNNNNNGUUCAUUAUAGUCCCUUAUUUUUUAGCUUUGAAAGAUUUUUUUGUUUCGGAUUGAUUAUGAGUUUUAAGGUGUUUUCUUUUUUUUGUGUUUUUUAAGGCUAUAAAUUGGUUAAACAAGAAUCCAGAGUGUUUCCUAAAUAUUUUAGGUUAAAAAUAAGUUGAAAUAGGUUUUUUGGUUGAAAAAAUAAGAACCCUAUUCAAAAAAUAUUUUUUGCAUUUAUGUUUUGAUUAAUACUUAUUCUUUGCGAUUUUUUUAUUUAUUUAGUUUUUUUAAAUAACAAUUAUUUUUAAAUUAUAUUAAAUAUUAAAAAUAAAUUAAAUUUUUAUUAAUAAUAAAUAUAAAUAUUUAUGUGAAUAUAAUAAAAUCAAGUAUAAAAACAGACGAUAGAUGAUGUGAGAACUCAAUCCCAUUCCAUUUCAGAAUCAAAAUGGGGAAUAUUUCCCGGCUCAAAGGUGCAAGAAAGUUGUUCGCUGAGGCUGUGGCAUGUGUAUAUUGAAUUCUUUGUUUCGAACAGAUCCAUUAUCCCGCUUGACCAACUGAGAGAUGAUUAAUAAACAAGAGAAAAGGACUAAUCAAUGGUUUAAUUUUCAAUUUCGAACAACAUAGUACAUGCAUUGCAAAAGUCAUGAUUUUUACCAAGAGAAUUUUGAUCUUUCUUGUUGUAGAGAAAUAUUUCCCAUUUAACUUCGUAAACACAUAUCUAUAUGAUAUUAAUUAUAUAAAAAAAAAUUAUAAGAUUUGAACUUAUAAUUAUUUUGUCAAUAAAAAUACUGUUAAGUUUGCACAAGCCCCAUUAUAUUAUGCUAUUAAUUAUAUAAAAAAAUAAAGAUUUGAACUCGUAAUUUAUGUGAAUUCAUUAAAAUAUAAAAAUAUCUUAAUUUAAAAACUUAAUCUAUCGUAUAAGAUUUUAAAAUAUUAUUUAUAUUAUUUUUUAAUACUAAUAAAUAUAAAUAAUCAUGUUCUUUGCCACACUCUUGAAACUAGUGAAAACUAUUUUUCUGGGCCAUCAAACGUGGGAGAUUUUUUCCAAGAAAAACAAGAUAGGUUAUUGUCAAUCAAAAGAUUAGCGUGACUUUACACAGCUAGAGCGCAUUCUUGUUGACUAAUUAAUAUUGAAUUCAAGGCUUUGAUUUAGCAAAAAUCAAGUUGGUGAGGCAUGUGAUUCAAAUCUUUCCAAUCUCGACCAAGCCUAAUAAACCAAAAACUAUAAUAUAUAUAAAAAAUAAACCUAACCAUCUAUACUUUUCCUUCUAAAUAUUCAUACCUCUUCAACUUUAUUAUACAUUUCAUGAUAAUCACUUGAAACUACAAGAGAGGAUUACCAUACGAGCUGCCAAUGAAACACAGUCAAACCAAGAAAAAUCCCAAAUGGCAUACAAUGUCCAUGCAUUUCUCCAUAGACUACGCAGGAUAUAUAACAUAUGAUUUCCAUGGCAUGGUAGGUUAAGGUUUGCUCAAUUGAGUCAAAUUCCCAUGCAAGUCAAAAGGCAAGGAAGUAAGUAGUGAUACUUGAAUUAUUUACUAGUACAAUCUUGGAGGCUGCAACACGAUUUUAACUAAGAAAAUUGAUCCGAGUAAUUAAUUGUCUAGGUAGUCUUAAAACCUUAUAUUAUAUUGGGUCAUUUUCGUAUUAUACAAGCACACGUACGUCUAGUUAACUUGUUUGAAUUUCAUGUGGUCUCCGAUAUUAUUCUCCCAAAGUUUGUAAGCUUAUCAUUUUAAUAAUCAAAAUUACUUAAUUUGAUAAUUAGUCAACCACACAUUUUGAAUAUGGUUAAUUAAAUGAUGAUGUGAGCUCCAAUUGCAUUGAUUUAUACAAUCUUCAUGUGAACGGUGUGGUCGAGACUCUUUAAUAUACUCAUACGUGAGAUUCUUUAUAUAUAAUAUACUUAGACAUGAGAUUCUUUAUAUAUAUAUAUAGUAAUGGAUUUCUUUGAGUAGUCUACAUAUUAAUUGAGAUUAGAUUUUUUUUCUCCAGUGAUCUUAAUUGUGUAUCUACUACAUUUGCUUGAUGUGUCUCGAUGAAUUUCAUAAAUUUUCUUGAAUACUAACUCUAAAUUUUGAAUAUAAAAAGUCAAAAAAUAAAACAAAUCCCUUUUAAAUUGGCGAAGAGAGCUAGAUAUGUGGAAUGUGCAUCUUUAGAAUUCAACUUAUCAUGUUGUUGAACGGGAACAAUCUAACGUUUUGGAACCACCUAUGUGAACUUGGCAUAACAUGCAGGAGAAUUUAUUAAAUUCUUUUGAAAAUAUUAGGCUAAUAUAGGAAGUAUGUCUUUAAAAAUCACUAAAAAAAUAAUUUUAGUUUACAUGCAAGUUAUCCAUCGGAAAAGAUAUAAGUUAUUUGUGCAAGUUAGGGAAACUUUUCAUAUAUUAUAACUAGAUUAUUUCUCAUAGCUAUGCUGUGAAUUGAAUUAAAUUUUUUUAAAUGUAAAAAAAAAAAUAUCUAAGCCAUGAAGAACUAUUUAAGAUUAUUAUUAAAUCUGGUUUAGUGUGUCAAACUUGAAAACUCCUGACUGAACUCCUUAUCUAAUCAUAUUUCAAAUUAAAUCUUGUAAAAUUAUUCUAACGUGACCUAGUCGACUUAGUGGAUAUAAAAGCUAAAAAAUAAAAGAAAAAAUAAUGACCAAAAUAAAAGUAAAGAGAGAGAGAUCAGGCGCACGAGUCUAAGGACAAUAUGGAUAAUUAGUAAAAACAUAGUUUGACUUUUUUAAAAAAAUUUAAAAUAACUUUUUUUUAAAAAAAACAAUCAAACAGUGAUAUAUUGAAUCGAUCUGAGUUAACUUGUCAAACUUGUGACCAGGAUCAUGAAUUCCACUAGAUCUAAUAACAAUUAAUUAUAUGAUAAAAAAUAUGAAGACUAGUUCAAAACCAACUAAAUAUUGAAUGAAAAAAAUGAAUUUUUUUUUUAAAAUACAGCAAAAACUCAAUGUUAAAUGAUAAAACUUGAGAGAAAAAAAAUACAAGUCAUGUGCGUGAACUUGGAUUAUAACAACGAAAAAAAAAUCUUAGCUUUGUAAAGAUAUCUUAAGCCUUUAACUCAGGAAAACAAAAUGAAUUUUUUUUCUACAUUUAGUAUCAGUAAUCCAUAUUGUCAUUUUAAUCUCAUGGUUUAAUUCAAUUCGAUAUAACACAUUCAUAUACAUUACAAAUAUCAUACAAUUAUGAUUGAUGUUUCUAAUUUUUAUCAAAAUUUCAGCAGAGUCUUCUUUGUCUAGGUAACCAAACAGUUCUUCUCUUCUUCUAAAAACCUACAUAACGAUCAAGGAGAGUUUCAAAUCCCACACAUAAACAAUUUAUAUCCAGGUAUUGGGCCUCAGGCCAUUCAAUCAAUCAAUCAAUUCAUAAUAGUUCACACCUAUUAAAGUUUAUUGGGUACAUUUAAAUAAUUUAAACUUAGCUUUUCAUCAAGAUAGCAUUUCAUUACAAGAACAACAUUAUAAAUACUUAUUCAUAUUACAAUCCCCGUUCAUUUGAAUUACAAUAUACUACUAAGAACUCAUCUAACAUUGUAACUAAGAAAAUUAGAAUCUUGUCUUAGCAUGUGAUAUUCCAGAUCAUAAACAUGAAAAUUAUAGAAAUUUAAAUAAGAUAUUUAUUACAACACAAUUAAAAUAUGUCAGAUACAAUAUAUAUAUAUGAUUUUUCAUGGAGCAAACAUAAUUUCUUUGGAUAAUAAUAGAAUCGACUCAUUUGUCAUAAUCUCUACUAAUUUUAAGUAUUGUAUAGUCACCUCGUCAAGGUAAUUCCAAGCUUUAUCUUCUCAUCUAAAAGUUAUAUCUUGUUCAUAAAUCCAUCUUGGAAACUUUAUCUAUCGAAGCUCACCAUAAAGUUUUAUUAAUGGUAAUUAAAGGCCUAUUCCACGUAUCCUACCCUAUGCUAUUAAUUUAUCAAAGGUAAAUUAUCAUUUGUACUCUUUGCUCUAUAUGUUUCUUAAGGAAUUAAAUCCUUUACUAGUAUCGCCCUACAAUUUUAAAUAAAUAUAAUUAAUGAUUUAUUGAUUUCUAUUUUCCAUAAUGAAUCUUUAACAUUGAUUUAACUUAAUUUGGUUUUAGCAACAUAUCAUUCAUCUUACAACAAACUUUUAUGUACACAUGUCUUAACAUGCAUCAAUACACUUAUUUGUCCAUUGGAUUGACCAUCAUAUAGCUUGAAAUAUACAAUCAUAGAUGUCCAUGUUCUUGUCCUAUUAGGCCACCAAGAUGAUUUUCAAAUCUCUUAUCAUGUUGUACUGGAAUCAGUAUAUACUUAUGCCCUUUUACAUUAUCAAACAAUCACCAUUUUCUUCAUGAAUACACCAUCAAAACCGCAUACAUUCAACUACACCACAUUAUACAAACCAAUUCUUUAUUAUAACCCGUUUCACUAUCAUUACAAUCCUUAGAGUUCUCAUGCAUAUGUUGUCCACAACAAUAUUUGAAAUCUAUUUUCAAGUCAUUUUCACCUAGAAAACAUUGUUGUUCCCCUAAUAACUCUUUGCUCAUAUAAUAGAUUGUCAAAACAACCUACAAAUUACGCUUCGAUGCAGCCCAAAACAUAAACAUGUAGUAAUAUUAGUCAUCACACCGUGAUUGACUACCCAAUAGAUUCUAAUAUCGUUAUUGUCUAAUACUACUAGUCUUUUAACUCUAAAACACCCUAAAAUAACACAAACAAAGGGGUUUUUAUUUGUUUAGAAAUCUAUUUUCAAGUCAUUUUCACCUAGAAAACACCAUAAAAACAUUCCUAAACCAACCAUUAACUCUAAAACACCCCAAAAUAACACAAAAAAUAAAAAUCAAACUAAUCAAGAAAAUCUUAAUUGAAUCCAAUCUACUUUUCAAGCAUUGUUAGAGAAAAAGUCAUCGCUAUUUGAAAACUCAUCAUUAAAUGAAACUCGUUGAGACCAAGAACAACUACUUUUAUCGCUGAAAAGUGGUCAAACCGAUAACUUUCUCUUUUCUUAUCGUUUUUCAAUGAGUCUCUCUCAUCUAUGUAACUUGGGGUUGAGAAUGACCAAAAUAAACUUUUAGACUAAAAUAUUAAAAAUUCNNNNNNNNNNNNNNNNNNNNNNNNNNNNNNNNNNNNNNNNNNNNNNNNNNNNNNNNNNNNNNNNNNNNNNNNNNNNNNNNNNNNNNNNNNNNNNNNNNNNCUCCUCUCUCUCCUUAAAUUGGUUUAUAUCCAAAUUUCAACCAUCAUCAGCUAUAAAAGAAUCAUUGAAAAACAAAUUUGAAGACAGAAUUAAAAAAAAAGGGGACGGAAAAAAGAAAGAAAAAGGAGGGUAGUUUUUUUAGUUAAAGCUGAUGGUUUCUAGCCAAAAAAAAAGCAAUGAGUGUUGGGGUGCCACGUGUAAGGAGCCCAUUAAGUAUGUGGUGGGUGAAGUCAGCUAGAGCUAAGCAUCCAUUUUUGGUGGGGUUUUUCUGGUUAGAUUUGCCUGUUGGAGGAUCGUAGCAUGGGAUUAUAUUUGGUUGUAAAGGAAAGUGUCAAUUUAGGAGCCACCAACCAUCGACAAGUUAGUGAAAAUGGUGUCGAGUGCCGCACCCACCACCUCCUUCGAUCAAUCACCUCAUCAUCCAUGUAAUUAACCCUUUUUUGAUCUAUCACUUUUACGUUACUAAACACUUCCACUUCUAUAUUAGACGUGUGGAAUGAUUCGAUUUCUAGUUUUUUUAUUUGUGAAUCAAAUUAAUACUUGAAGCUAGUAGAUGGAUGUGUCUAAUCAACUUCCUUUGAUUCAAUUUCAUGAAAUUUUUUAUCAUAAAACAUCAAUAAAAAUGUGUUGUAUAUCUUGAACCGAUAUCUAAUAAAAUCUUAAAAGUUGGGAGUGAAAGAUAUAAUUUAUUUUAUUUUUUUAAUAUGUUUUUUAAUUAAAAAUUAUUUCAGUUUAAAACUUAAAGGAUUAUACUAUUUUAUACAUUAAAAAAUAAUUCAUAACUAUUUGGUUAUCAUGUAAAAAAAAUAUUUUAAAUUAAAAAAUUUAAAUUUUUAAAAUUAUAUAAAUUGCUCUCUUUUGAAUAACCUUUCGUAUUGUGAUGUUUCAUGGGUAAAUAAAACAUGAUAAAAUAUAAUAAGAAAGAAUUUUGCUAGGAAAAAUACAAAAAUGAGAUACCAAAUCUAUUUAUUUAAUUGAACAAAACUAUUUUUCUAUCAAUCUCACAUGUAUAUCAAACAAUAAAGGAUAAAUUAGAAAGUGGACUUGUCACUAAUUAAAUGUAUAUAUUAUGAUUUUUAUUUUCUAAGAUGAUAUAUUAGGAUUUUUUAUUAUUAUUAAUGUAGGUGUUCGGACUAACUUGCGUGUACCUCAACUAAUCUCACGAGUUUUGAAGUUAACGAUCAUGUAAAUCUUCAAUGAUCCUGAGAUUUGUAAGACUCGAACUGGUAAUAUCUAGAGAAUAAAUUUAGAAUAUGAUGAAUUAAGUUUCACUUCUCAUGAUUAAUAUAUUUAGAGUUUUGAAUACUUAAAAGGAGGUGUUGUUUUUAUUUUUAUUUUCAAAUCUAAGAACCUCAAAAACUUUUAGGAAUCUAAAAAAAAACUCAUUUUUUUAACCCCAAAACAUUUUCUAAUUAGCCUAAAUAAUGAAAAUCAAUCUGAAUAAAAAAAAUAUUGGUCUAAUAUAUUUUUUCUAGCAUGGUUAAAAGGCAAAAUCAUUUUUAUUGAACUCUUUUUUUCAAAACAAAUCCAUUGAUGUUAAAAUUAGUUUUUUUAUGACCGGAAUAUGAUUAGCUUCACCACAUUCUCCCCCUCUCAACAUACAAUAACUAAAAAUAUGAUAAAAAUGAAGUUUUAAGAUGGAGUCGUAAAAAUUUUAAACAAUAUGAUUAAAUAAAUCUGAAAAACAAAAACUUCAAGGACCAUAUUAAACUUUUCUACAACUUUGGAAAAAGAUUGCAUUAUAGGAGAAUAGUUUAAUGCACAAUAACUUGAGUCUUGCUGCACAAUAAAAUUUAUUAUGGUAAGAAUAACAAAUGUUUUAAUUUAGAUUAUAACACGAAGCAUACACAAUUAAGAUUACAACAAGGAGAUUUCAAGUAGUUAAACUUAGGUUAUAUUAGAUAUGACUUUUGUAAAUUGAUUUAAUAUAUUUUUCACUUUUGAUUUUAAUUUUAAUUUUUUUUAAGUAAGUUAAAAUAGCUUUUGAUUUAAAUUUUUUUUGUUAUAAAUUGGAUUCAAACCUUUGAUUUAAUAAAAAACAAGAAAAUUUUACUUUAGUUUGUGGAUUUUAUACUGAAUUCCUUAUUAAAAAGUUAUUUUGAAUCAUUUUUACAAAUAAUGCUUAUAACUUACGGUUAUUUUAAUUUAUUUUUUUCAUAAAUUGUUUAUAAAAAACAACUUUUAAAUUACAAUUCAAAGUAAAAUAUCAUAAUUAGUUAUGAAUUGGAUUCGAUGAAAGGAAGAUGGGAAGAGGGGAAAUGGGUAACGGGAAAUUAAAGAGAGAUGAUGAUCUGCGCAUGGCUACCUGUACCAGAACAGAUGGAAAAAACUCGAAACAACUCGGCUAGAAUUUAGGCAAGAAAUUCAGAAUGAGUCAACAUUUUAAGUGAGAUGAAAUUUGUCUCACUUUGUUCUAUUAAACAGAGGAGCAUUUAGAGGAUAGAAUAUUAGAGUCUCUAGCAAAAGCCAGCAAGGUAUAUUUAGAGCCAAAUUCGGGUAACAAAUUAUCAUAACCAACUGAUCCAUUUCGGCUCGGAGGCUUCAGAUUUGUACCAGUCAUCAACUGGUGCUCUUUGCUUUGCAGCCUUUGAGGAAGAAGUAAAAGCCUCCAAAAAUAUCAUCAUUAUUAUUAACAGAUGAACUAGACCCGUUUAACCCACCAAAAUAUAUCAUCAUUAAAAGAUGAUUUCGCACUCGUAUUUUUAGUACUGGAAAACACAAAAUCAUAACCGAAAUCAAACCCAGUGCUAUUUUGUUUUUAAUUCUUUUGAAAAACAUCAAAAAUGUCAAAAUCAUCAUCAAAAUUCUAUAAUUUUGAAUUGCUAAAGAGAGUUUCGUGAUAAUCCAUGAAAGACCUAUCAAAAGAAUUGGAAAUGAAGGUUAAUUUAGAAGAAUAUGAGGAGGGUUUCUGGUUUGAUGGAGGGAAAUUCAAAUAACAAAACUGGCUAUAUGUUUCUUUGAGGAUGAAACAUGCAAGAGAUUCCACCACCAGGACAGACAACAACACNNNNNNNNNNNNNNNNNNNNNNNNNNNNNNNNNNNNNNNNNNNNNNNNNNNNNNNNNNNNNNNNNNNNNNNNNNNNNNNNNNNNNNNNNNNNNNNNNNNNUAUUCAACUUUUACCUACUUUUCUUCGCUUAGAAUUAGAAAAUCCAUACUUGCAUUUAAGAGAAUUUGAAGAAGUUUGUAACACCUAUAAUGACUUAAAUUGUAGCAUAAACACCAUCAGAUUAAAGUUUUUUCCUUUUUCAUUAAAAGAUAAAGCUAAAACAUGGCUACAAAAUCUUAGGUCAGGAUCCAUUCGUGCUUGGAAUAAAAUGCAACAACAAUUUUUAAAGAAGUUUUUCCCUUCUCAUAGAACAAACUCUUUCAAAAGAUAAAUCACCAUUUUCAAUCAAAAACCAGGAGAAAUAUUUUACAAGUGUUGGGAUAGAUAUAAAGACUUGCUUAAUACCUGUCCUCAUCAUGGUUUUGAAACAUGGAGAUUGGUUUCACAAUUUUAUGAAGGGUUAACACCUAAAGAUAGACAAAUGAUGGAAUUGAUGUGCAAUGGAACUUUUGAAAACAAAGACCCUGAUAAAGCAAUGGAGUACCUAGACUUGAUAGCUGAAAAUGCUCAAAAUUAGGACACUACAUGCACUUGUGAGGCACCAGGUAAAACUUAACCUCAUACAUUUAGUGGAGGCAUGUAUAACCUUAGGAAAGAUCAUGACCUCCAAGCCAAAUUUGCAUCUUUAGCUAGAAAAGUUGAGGCACUAGAAUUAAAAAAGAGUGGUCAAUUAAAAUCUGUUCAAGAAAUUGUGUGUCAAACUUGUGAAACUAAUGAACACUCAACCAAUGAUUGUCCAACUUUGCCUUCUUUUAAUCACCAAAAUUUCAGUUGGAAGAGUAGUAACAAUAAUGCGCAAACUUCACAACCACCAUUUCAAACACAUCAUAAUUUUCAAAAUUCUCAUGGAUAUGCACCUCCUUAUGUUCCCCAUCCUAGAAGAAAUCUUGAGGAAAUAUUGGAUGCAUUCAUUGAAAAGCAAGAGACAAUCAACACUCAACUUGCUUAAAACAUGACAGAUUUUAAAGAUACUCUUGCAAAAUUCACAUCUGCUCUAAGUUUUCAGGAGAAAGGUAAGUUCUCAUCUCAACCACAGCAAAAUCCCAAUGGGAAAUACAAUGCAAAUGCAAGUAGUUCUAGAAGCCAACACAUAGAUCAAGUCAAAUCAGUCAUUAUUAUCCACGGUGGUAAGGUUAUUGAAAAACCAAUUUUUGAACCUUGUGAGAAAGAUGAUGAGUCAAUCUCUAAGGGUAAUUAAGGAAAGGGUUAAACCUGAACAUUGCAAAGAAAAGACUAAUUCCCCACUAAUACUUCCAUUUCCUCAUGCUAUGACCAAACAAAGGGAAGUCAAUCACGAUUCUGAAAUUUUUAAAACUUUCAAAUAGGAAGAAAUCGAGGAUGAAAAAGGCACCGAAAAUAUUGUCGUGGAUCAUUUGUAAAAAUUGACAAUAGAUUCGAUAUCUGACAUCACACUAAUUGAUGAUUACUUUCCAGAUGAAUCUUCACUUUCUAUUGCUUCAAUACCUUGGUCUGCUAAUAUUGAUAAUUUUCUUGCUUCAAGAUUUUUGCCAGCUCAUUUGGAUACCCAAGAUAAAAGAAAGUUCUUGAGCGACAUGCAGAACUUUUAUUGGGAUGACCCUUACUUAUUCAAAUAUUGUCCUAAUCAAAUAUAUCAAAGAUGCAUUUCUGACAAUGAGGUAAGUGGUGUCAUAAAAUUUUGUCACUCUGAAGCAUGUGGGGGUCAUUUCUCAUCAAGAAAGACGACUGCAAAAAUCUUACAAUGUGGAUUCUACUGGUCCAUCAUGUUCAAAUACAAAUAUGCAUUCUGCAAAACCUGUGAAAAUUGUCAAAAGGUGGGAUUUAUUUCAAAACAUAGAGAGUCUUUAGAUAAUCUUCUAUUGACUCUUAAGUCUCAUCGUAAUGGAGAUGUGCAUCGUGCAAUUCAUGAUUUAUAGCCCUAUUUUCAUAAAGAACAUGAUCGACUUAGUCUUGAGAAUCUAACUAAAAAAGACCCUGUUUGUCAGUUUUUAAGAAAACUGGAUGGGAAGCGUAUCCCUGACCCAUAGAGAGUGUUUAAGCCAUUCUUGGACGUAAAAUCAAGGGAAGAUGUGAGCCACGAUCACAACUACGAUUUAAGCCUUAGGUUGCAAAAAUUUAUGUAUUUUGGUUUUAUUAAUAGCAUAAUAUUUGUGUUCUGUUGUUUCUUAUAUUUGUUUAAGUGUGUUUUAGGUUUGUUUGUAGUCGCUAUUUUAGGUGAUGUCUUCUAUAUUCUAUCUUUCUGCCUUAAAACAUUGAGGACAAUGUCUCCUUUUGUUUGGGGGGAGAGGGUAGUAGUUGACAAAAAAAAUAUUACUAAUUGUGUUUUCUAUUAUUAAAAUCAUUUGCAAAACUGUUGUUACUAGGAUGGCAGAGUAAAUGAGGAACUUUAAUAACUCUUGAGACGCAUCUUAGUAAAUAUUUUUAACAAAGUCUAUCAGAAUACUUCUUGAAAUAUUCAGGUUUACAAACUCUUGUAUUGUUAUCACUUGAUUCUGCUCAUAUACUCAUUUAAUAAAUAUUCCUAAACCUUUAUUUUCACACACACACUUUAACAUAUGAUUGUGGGUUGCACAUUGGAUUAUUACAUUAUUUAUGUUCUUUUGUUAAAGGUAACAACUAAGGGAAAGGGAAUAUAUAAUAUUCAAAAAAAUAAACAAAACAAAAACAAAAGCAAAUUGAUAAUAAAAUGAAUAAAUAAUGAAAAAGUAGAUAAGUUUGGAUUCGUAGCUCUUACUUAAGCAAUUAAGCCCGAAGGGGUGUUUUAACACCUAGUNNNNNNNNNNNNNNNNNNNNNNNNNNNNNNNNNNNNNNNNNNNNNNNNNNNNNNNNNNNNNNNNNNNNNNNNNNNNNNNNNNNNNNNNNNNNNNNNNNNNGCUUGUUACAUGGGUUGAGGAGAAAGCUUAAGAGAAUCAAACAUUGCACUAUCUACGUAUCAGUAUCUGCAACCCGAGUUACUAAGCUCGUAGGGGUGUCUCAACACCUGAUGCCCUUAGACCAACUAGUUUGGUAGUCAUUAGCCGAAAGCUCGUUACAUGGGUUAAAGAUGCAUUGUGUUUUAAGUUAUAUGUAUAUAUACCAAAAUAAUAAUAAUAAUAAUAAUAAUAAUAAUAAUAAUAAUAAUAAUAAUAAUAAUAAUCCCAACUCAAUGAAGUUAACCUUAGAAAAAUAUUAGAACAGAACAUUGUUUUCUUCCAAUAAAAGCCCCAUCAUCCAUGUUUUCAUAUAUUAAGCACAUAAAAAGAAGGUUUAUUAAUAUCUUGUUUAAGAAGUAUAAAGCAGAUAUAUAAAUGAGAGUUUGUUUAUUUGGAUAGAUUAAUGGAAGUUAAAUGAUAAAUGUCUUACUUUGUGGAACUUUCAAAUUGUUUUUCUAUUUUAACACUUUGAUUACUAGGGACUAGUAAUAAGCUGAUUGAGGGGUGUAAUUAGUACUUAAAAGUGCAUUUUCAUUAAGGUUUUAUAUUAUCAUAUUGCACUAAAGUAUCAUUAAAUUCCCUAACUAAAACAUGUUUUACAAUAACAAGAGUCAUAAAUUGAUUAAACAAGAGUCCAAGGGUGUUUCUUAGAUAUUUUGGGUUAAAAAUAGGUUGAAAUAGGUUUUUUGGUUGAAAAAAUAAGAAUCCUAUUCAAAAAAUAAUUUUUGCAUUUAUGUUUUGAUUAAUUCCUCUUCUUGGUGAUCGAUUUUUUUACUUAUUUAGUUUUUUUAAAUAACAAUUAUUUUUAUAUUAUAUAAAUAUUAAAGAUAAAUUAAAUUUUUAUUAAUAAUAAAUAUAUAUUUAUGUGAAUAUAAUAAAAUCAAGUAUAAAAACAGACGAUAGAUGAUGUGAGAACUCAAUCCCAUUCCAUUUCAGAAUCAAAAUGGGGAAUAUUUCCCGGCUCAAAGGUGCAAGAAAGUUGUUCGCUUAGGCUGUGGCAUGUGUAUAUUGAAUUCUUUGUUUCGAACAGAUCCAUUAUCCCGCUUGACAAACUGAGAGAUGAAAAAGGAAAAAAAAACCAUGAUUAAUAAACAAGAGAAAAGGACUAAUCAAUGGUUUAAUUUUCAAUUUCGAACAACAUAGUACAUACAUUGCAAAAGUCAAUAUUUUUAUUUAUAGAAUUUUGAUCUUUCUUGUUGUGGAGAAUUUCCCAUUUAACUUCAUCAACAUAUAUUAUGCUAUUAAUUAUAUAUAUAAAAAAUUUAAACUCAUAAUUAUUGUGAAUUCGUUAAAAUAUAAAAAUAUCUCAAUUUAAAAACUUAAUUUAUUCGAAUAAAAUUUUAAAAUAUUAUUUAUAUUAUUUUUUAAUACUAAUAAAUAAAUAAUCAUGUUCUUUGCCACACUCUUGAAACUAGUGAAAACUAUUUUUAUGGACCAUCAAACGUGGGAGAUUUUUUCCUAGAAAAACAAGAUAGGUUAUUGUCAAUCAAAAGAUUAGCGUGACUUUACACAGCUAGAGCGCAUUCUUGUUGACUAAUUAAUAUUGAAUUCAAGGCUUUGAUGUAGCAAAAAUCAAGUUGGUGAGGCAUGUGAUGCAAAUCUUUCCAAUCUCGACCAAGCCUAAUAAACCAAAAACUAUAAUAUAUAUAAAAAAUAAACCUAACCAUCUAUACUUUUCCUUCUAAAUAUUCAUACCUCUUCAACUUUAUUAUACAUUUCAUGAUAAUCACUUGAAACUACAAGAGAGGAUUACCAUACGAGCUGCCAAUGAAACACAGUCAAACCAAGAAAAAUCCCAAAUGGCUUACAAUGUCCAUGCAUUUCUCCAUAGACUGCGCAGGAUAAAUAACAUAUGAUUUCCAUGCAUGGUAGGUUAAGGUUUGCUCAAUUGAGUCAAAUUCCCAUGCAAGUCAAAAAGGCAAGGAAGUAAGUAGUGAUACUUGAAUUAUUUACUAGUACAAUCUUGGAGGCUGCAACACCGAUCAACACGAUUUUAACUAAGAAAAUUGAUUGAGUAAUUAAUUGUCUAGCUAGUCUUAAAACCUUAUAUUAUAUUGGGUCAUUUUCGUAUUAUACAAGCACACGUUCGUCUAGUUAACUUGUUUGAAUUUCAUUUGGUCUCCGAUAUUAUUCUCCCAAAGUUUGUAAGCUUAUCAUUUUAAUAAUCAAAAUUACUUAAUUUGAUAAUUAGUCAACCACACAUUUUGAAUAUCGUUAAUUAAAUGAUGAUGUGAGCUCCAAUUGCAUUGAUUUAUACAAUCUUCAUGUGAACGGUGUGGUCGAGAUUCUUUAAUAUACUCAUACGUGAGAUUCUUUAUAUAUAAUAUACUUAGACAUGAGAUUCUUUAUAUAUAUAUAUAGUAAUGGAUUUCUUUGAGUAGUCUACAUAUUAAUUGAGAUUAGAUUUUUUUUCUCCAGUGAUCUUAAUUGUGUAUCUACUACAUUUGCUUGAUGUGUCUCGAUGAAUUUCAUAAAUUUUCUUGAAUACUAACUCUAAAUUUUGAAUACAAAAAGUCAAAAAAUAAAACAAAUCCCUUUUAAAAUGGCGAAGAGAGCUAGAUAUGUGGAAUGUGCAUCUUUAGAAUUCAACUUAUCAUGUUGUUGAACGGGAACAAUCUAACGUUUUGGAACCACCUAUGUGAACUUGGCAUAACAUGCAGGAGAAUUUAUUAAAUUCUUUUGAAAAUAUUAGGCUAAUAUAGGAAGUAUGUCUUUAAAAAUCACUGAAAAAAUAAUUUUAGUUUACAUGCAAGUUAUCCAUCGGAAAAGAUAUAAGUUAUUUGUGUAAGUUAGGGAAAUUUUUCAUAUAUUAUAACUAGAUUAUUUCUCAUAGCUAUGCUGUGAAUUGAAUUAAAUUUUUUUAAAUGUAAAAAAAAAAAUAUCUAAGCCAUGAAGAACUAUUUAAGAUUAUUAUUAAAUCUAGUUUAGUGUGUCAAACUUGAAAACUCCUGACCGAACUCCUUAUCUAAUCAUAUUUCAAAUUAAAUCUUGUAUAAUUAUUCUAACGUGACCUAGUCGACUUAGUGGAUAUAAAAGCUAAAAAAUAAAAGAAAAAAUAAUGACCAAAAUAAAAGUAAAGAGAGAGAGAUCAGGCGCACGAGUCUAAAGACAAUAUGGAUAAUUAGUAAAAACAUAGUUUGACUUUUAAAAAAAAUUCAAGAUAACUUUUUUUAAAAAAAAACAAUCAAACAGUGAUAUAUUGAAUCGAUCUGAGUUAACUCGUCAAACUUGUGAUCAGGAUCAUGAAUUCCACUAGAUCUAAUAACAAUUAAUUAUAUGAUAAAAAAUAUGAAGACUAGUUCAAAACCAACUAAAUAUUGAAUGAAAAAAAUGAAUUUUUUUUUAAAAUACAGCAAAAACUCAAUGUUGAAGGAUAAAACUUGAGAGAAAAAAAAUACAAGGCAUGUGCGUGAACUUGGAUUAUAACAACGAAAAAAAAAUCUUAGCUUUGUAAAGAUAUCUUAAGCCUUUAACUCAGGAAAACAAAAUGAUUUUUUUUUCUACAUUUAGUAUCAGUAAUCCAUAUUGUCAUUUUAAUCUCAUGGUUUAAUUCAAUUCGAUAUAACACAUUCAUGUACAUUACAAAUAUCAUACAAUUAUGAUUGAUGUUUCUAAUUUUUAUCAAAAUUUCAGCAGAGUCUUCUUUGUCCAGGUAACCAAACAGUUCUUCUCUUCUUCUAAAAACCUACAUAACGAUCAAGGAAAGUUUCAAAUCCCACACAUAACAAUUUAUAUCCAGGUAUUGGGCCUCAGGCCAUUCAAUCAAUCAAUCAAUUCAUAAUAGUUCACACCUAUUAAAGUUUAUUGCGUACAUUUAAAUAAUUUAAACUUAACUUUUCAUCAAGAUAGCAUUUCAUUACAAGAACAACGUUGUAAACAUUAUAAAUACUUAUUCAUAUUACAAUCCCCGUUCAUUUGAAUUACAAUAUACUACUAAGAACUCAUCUAACAUUGUAACUAAGAAAAUUAGAAUCUUGUCUUAGCAUGUGAUAUUCCAGAUCAUAAACAUGAAAAAUAUAGAAAUUUAAAUAAGAUAUUUAUUGCAACACAAUUAAAAUAUGUCAGAUACAAUAUGUAUAUGAUUUUUCAUGGAGCAAACCUCCAUAAUUUCUUUUGAUAAUAAUAGAAUCGACUCAUUUGUCAUAAUCUCUACUAAUUUUAAGUAUUGUAUAGUCACCUCGUCAAGGUAAUUCCAAGCUUUAUCUUCUCAUCUAAAAGUUAUAUCUUGUUCAUAAAUCCAUCUUGGAAACUUUAUCUAUCGAAGCUCACCAUAAAGUUUUAUUAAUGGUAAUUAAAGGCCUAUUCCACGUAUCCUACCCUAUGCUAUUAAUUUAUCAAAGGUAAAUUAUCAUUUGUACUCUUUGCUCUAUAUGUUUCUUAAGGAAUUAAAUCCUUUACUAGUAUCGCCCUACAAUUUUAAAUAAAUAUAAUUAAUGAUUUAUUGAUUUCUAUUUUCCAUAAUGAAUCUUUAACAUUGAUUUAACUUAAUUUGGUUUUAGCAACAUAUCAUUCAUCUUACAACAAACUUUUAUGUACACAUGUCUUAACAUGCAUCAAUACACUUAUUUGUCCAUUGGAUUGACCAUCAUAUAGCUUGAAAUAUACAAUCAUAGAUGUCCAUGUUCUUGUCCUAUUAGGCCACCAAGACGAUUUUCAAAUCUCUUAUCAUGUUGUACUGGAAUCAGUAUAUAUUUAUGCCCUUUUACAUUAUCAAACAAUCACCAUUUUCUUCAUGAAUACACCAUCAAAACCGCAUACAUUCAACUACACCACAUUAUACAAACCAAUUCUUUAUUAUAACCUGUUUCACUAUCAUUACAAUCCUUAGAGUUCUCAUGCAUAUGUUGUCCACAACAAUAUUUAAAAUCUAUUUUCAAGUCAUUUUCACCUAGAAAACAUUGUUGUUCCCCUAAUAACUCUUUGCUCAUAUAAUAGAUUGUCAAAACAACCUAAAAAUUACGCUUCGAUGCAGCCCAAAACAUAACACAUGUAGUAAUAUUAGUCAUCACACCGUGAUUGACUACCCAAUAGAUUCUAAUAUUGUUAUUGUCGCGGGUGCGUGACGUCGCGGCGAAUAUUCCACUUUUAAAAUCUAGGAAGUGUGUAUGGUAUCUAUCUGGCAAAUGUGGGGAGACAAGAAAAUAUUGUCUUUUGUUGGUAGAAAAUGGAAUGGGAGUCGCCACCUAGUAUUUUGGUCACUAGGAACCCUAACUGGUCUCAGAGAUUGGGUACGGGGACUGGUUGCGUAAAGGGAAGGUAUUAGCACCCCAAAUACGCCCUACCUAAGGUAAGCUGCAUUGUUUAUUUGUCUGAUAAAAUUCAAGGUCUCGUUGUGUUUCCUAGUUGUUGGUCCGUCUAUGGUUCAAGAAAAGUCCUCCUCAAUAAGGAGGUCCUUAUCUUAUCGGGUAAAAACCUAAUCCUUCUAACGUCUAUGUAUGUUGGUCCGUCUAUGGUUCAAGAAAAGUCCUCCUCAAUAAGGAGGUCCUUAUCUUAUCGGUUAAAACCUAACCGUUCUAACGUCUAUGAAAAACCAUAUUUUUAAUAUCAGGAAUACGUCUUACGUAUAAAUUCGUAAUCCCAUGUACUAAAAGAAGACAAAAAGAUUUUUUAGAAUUUUUGAAAUAUUGGCCUAGUUCUCAUGGCUUGAAUAAACUGGUUAUUAAAGCCAAAAUGCAUGCUAAUACAUAUAUUGUUUUGAAAUUUUCUUUGUUGUGUGAAAAAUAUGAUGUUAUAAUAUUUAUAUAUAUAUAUUGGAGAGACUAGGCCGUAUGCAUGAAAACAAAACAUUUUUUAAAAUAUUUUAUUUAUUUUUUUAUGUCUUGACGAAAACCGGGUAUUUGAAUACCGGAUUUGUAUCUUUACAGUAUAAAAAUACAAAUCGAUAUUGAUCAAAAUACAGUAAUAAACUUGCAGAAAAUCACAUAUUUUUUUGGAAUAAUUUUCGAAGAAAUUAAUUAAUUUUUCUAUAUAUAUAUCUAGAUAUAAAUAAUACAAAAUACAAUACAAUAUACAUCGUAUAUAAUAUAUAAUUGGGCUGGGCUGGGCCGGCCCAACGAACUAGGCCGGACUCAGCCCCAAAAUGUGUUGGGCCGAUCUCGGGCCAAGAGGUAUUGGGUCGAUCUCGGCCCAAACAAAAUCUAUUUUAUCAUGGGCCGGAUCCAGCCCUGCCAGCAGGGCUGGGCUAGGAUCAGUCCGGCCCACAGAAGGAAACCCAUAUUGCUGGGCCAGAACCAAUCUGGCCCAGCCUAAUUAAAAACCAACGGGGGGAAUUAUUUCCCCCCCAUCCUGCAUGCAGAACGCUGUUCGUUCUGCAUGCAGGAGAAGAACCAAACCGAUGCACAAAGAGGGGGGAGAAGAGCACCUGGCGUGGAAGAGGCGGUGCGUUGCUGGUAUGUCCGCGGUGCUGCGGUGGAGGCUGGUGGCUUCACUGGCGUGCACUGGUCCCGGUUGGAAGAAGAAGGAGCAGAUUCCUACAGAGGAGAAGGAAAGCUCUCGGCUGGAGCUAUUGGUGUGACUGAGGAAGGAGCUACUACUCCGGUUGCUGCUGGGCGUCGCUGGAGGAAGGAGGACUGCUGUUGGCCGGUGAAGAAGCUGGAAGGCGGAGGCUUGCUCCUGUGGAGGUUGUCACUGCUGAGGAGGCCGCGGGAGGCGUUGCUGGGGCUGUUGAAGCUGCGAUGAAGGAGAAGCUGAGGUGAAGAUCUGUUGCUGGCGUUGUGUUGAUGGGAGGGAGAGGGGACAAUGUUUCUUUGGGACUGCUGGAAGAGAAUGAGAGGAAAGGGAGGGGGCUGCCCCGGUUUGGCUUUGCAAGAGAGGGGGUUGUCCCUUGUUGCUGGCUGCUGAGGGGAAGAAGAAAAUCAAGGGGAGGGGAGAGGUGUGUGAGGGCUGUUCGGGUGUGUGGGUCUGUGGGGGGCUGGACUACGGCCGGCUGUCACUGGUUGAGGGAGAAGAAGCUGGAAAAAGAAAACUGGUUGCAGGAAAACCGGGCUGGAAAAGCUUAUUUUGUGCCAAUUUUGAGCUCCAUCCCACCAACCCUUUGAGCAUGAAAAUUGCUCCUAUUUAUAGGGCUGGAAAGAGGGUAAUCUUGUCUUCAACGGGGAAAAAGUCUCAGCCCUUGAUUCGACUCGAGUAAUCCAAACCAUUAGUUCAAAGUGUGCACCUCGAACUGCCAAAUUUGCAGACUACCCGAGGUGCACGAUUUGGGCCAAAAAACGGAGCCGUUCCAAACCUUUUUGACCCGACCGGACCACUCCCCAUGAUAAAUGGGUUCCAGGUGGAUAUGUUGGUGCAUGCUUUGUCGGAUUUGGGGGCCAAACGAGGCAGAAAACACGCCUGGAAGUCGGCCACUCGGGCAACUCGGUGGGGAAGAAAAUGAACAGUACCGGGCGACGCGUCGCCUGGUUCCUGCCCCUUCUUCUUCUUUUUUUUUUUAAAAUGCAAAAACGGUGCCGUUUUGAUAAAAAUAGGGAUUUCUUUGCCAAUUUUCAAUUUAGUCCUCCGACUUUCAAUUUCGUUCAAGAUUAUUCCCUAAUUGACCCUAAAACUUCUGAUUUGAUGCAAUUUAGUCCCGGCAUAACUUCAUCUUCGGCCCCAGAGUUACGCGCCUUUUGCAAUAUGGUCCUUGGUCUCGGAUUUAUGCAAUUUCAUCCCUAAUUGACCAUUAAACUUUCAAUUUCUUCAAUUAGGCCCCUGAACCGAAUAAUCGCAGCCCCUCCAUUUACGCGCCUCUUCCAAUUUGGUCCCUGGUUUCGGAUUUUCUCAAUUAAGUCCCCAAUUGGCCCUUAAACUUCAAUAUUUAUGCAAUUAGACCCCUGAUUUGACCUAAUAAAUUCCUAAAAAAUAUAUUUUGGCCCCAGAACUUAAAUUUCUUCUAAUUAAAGCCCAAAUUGACUUAAAAAUCAAUUUUUCUUACAAUCAAAUCUCCUAUAAAUUCAUUUAAAAAUCCAAUUAAGUCCAUAAACAUCCAAAUUUGGGCUUUUCUCCUCAAAUUUCAAAUUUUCCUUCUCAACAGGGCUAUCCUCCUUCAAGAAUAUACUGUCAAAAAAUCCAAUCUUUGUAUUUUUAACCUCAUUGACCAAUUUUCCAACCAUUUUCUGAGCGCUUCUGCCUUCUGUUUUUUCUAACCUCCUUUGGCUAUAUAUUUUUAUAUAUAUUUUGUGGGGACCCAAAAAUGGGUUACAACAGUUAUUGUCUAAUACUACUAGUCUUUUAACUCUAAAACACCCUAAAAUAACACAAACAAAGGGGUUUUUAUUUGUUUAGAAAUCUAUUUUCAAGUCAUUUUCACCUAGAAAACACCAUAAAAACAUUCCUAAACCAUCCAUUAACUCUAAAACACCCCAAAAUAACAGAAAAAAUAAAAAUCAAACUAAUCAAGAAAAUCUUAAUUGAAUCCAAUCUACUUUUCAAGUAUUGUUAGAGAAAAAGUCAUCGCUAUUUGAAAACUCAUCAUUAAAUGAAACUCAUUGAGACCAAGAACAACAACUUUUAUCGCUGAAAAGUGUUAAACCGAUAAUUUUCUCUUUUCUUAUUAUUUUUUAAUGAGUCUCUCUCAUCUGUGUAACUCGGGGUUGAGAAUAAGAAAAAUAAAUUUUUAGACUAAAAUAUUAAAAAUUCUAAAACUUUGAAAUUAACAAUGUAUUUUCUUCAUGUUUUACAUUUCACUCCUCUCACUUUUAAUUUGGUUUUUAUUAUCAAAAUUGUCGCACGUGAGCGACGUCGCGGCGAUCGUCCACCCACAAAUGUAAUGGGGGGAUAUAUAUCUGGUCAAUGUAGGGAGAUAAGGAAUUCGUUGUCUCUUAGCAGUGAAAAAUGGUGUGGGAGUCGCCACCUAGUAUUUUGGUCACUAGGAACCCUAACUGGUCUCAGAGAUCGGGUACGGGGACUGGUUGCGUAAAGGGAAGGUAUUAGCACCCCAAAUACGCUCUACCUAAGAUAAGCUGCAUCGUUUUAUUGUCUGAUAAAAUUUAAGGUGUUUUCGUUGUGUUUCCUAGUUGUUGGUCCGUCCAUGGUUCAAGAAAAGUCCUCCUCAAUAAGGAGGUCCUUAUCUUAUCGAGUAAAACCUAACCGUUCUAAUGUCUAUGUAUGUUGGUCUGUCUAUGGUUCAAGAAAAGUCCUCCUCAAUAAGGAGGUCCUUAUCUUAUCGGGUAAAAACCUAACCAUUCUAAUGUCUAUGUAUGUUGGUCCGUCUAUGGUUCAAGAAAAGUCCUCCUCAAUAAGGAGGUCCUUAUCUUAUCGGGUAAAACCUAACCGUUCUAAUGUCUAUGUAAAAAAGCUAUAUUUUUAAUAUCAGGAAUACAUUUUACGUAUAAAUUCUUAAUCCCAAAUACUAAAAGAAGACAAAAAGAUUUUUUUAGAAUUUUUGAAAUAUUGGCCUAGUUCUCAUGGCUUGAAUAAACUGGUUAUUAAAGCCAAAAUGCAUGCUAAUACAUAUAUUGAUUUUUGAAAUUUCAUUUGUUGUGUGAAAAUAUGCUGUUAUAAUAUUUAUAUAUAUAUAUUGGAGAGACUAGGCCGUAUGCAUGAAAACAAAACAUUUUUUUUUUGUAAUUAUGUAUUUUUUGAUGUUUUGACGCAAAUCGGGUAUUUUAAUACUGGGUUUGUAUUCUUACAGUAUAAAAAUAUAACCAAAUAUUAAUCCACUUUGAUAAAACAAAUGCAGAAAAAUUAACAAUAUUUUUAAAGAUAUUUUUAGAAAUAUAUAUAUAUAUAUUUUUAAUUAUCAUAUUUUAUAUAUAUAUACAUAUAUACACACAUAUAUUAUAACAUAUUAUAAUAUAUAAUAUAUAAUAUAAAAACAAAUCGGGCUGGGCCGGCCCAAGUAAAUGGGCCGGACUCAGCCCAACAAAGAAAGGUUGGGCCGAUCUCGGCCCAGACUGGGUUGGGCCGAUCUCGGCCCAACAGGCCAUCAUGCUUCUUCUGUGACGGGAUACUGUACACAACAGUGACUGAGAUACUGUACACAAAUAGUGACGGGGUACUGUGCACAAAUAGUAACCGGGUUACUGUACAUAAGCACAGUAACCCGUUAAUUAAUUAGGUGGCUACUGUGCACCUGCACAGUAACAUGUUAAUUAAUUAGACCUGCAUAGUAACCGGGGGAAUUAAUUAGCCGGUUACUGUGCCCCUGCACAGUAACCAGCUAAUUAAUUUCUUGCUUGCAGAACGUGCACAGUGCACGUUCUGCAUGCAAGAAGAUGAACAGGGGAAGAGUUACCUGCGACGAUGAGCUUGGGUAGAGGAGCUGACAGUGGUGCUGGUGGUGGUUUUGCUGGUGGUUGCUGACCGAAGGUUGGCUCUUCCUCUUCUCUACUGCUUUCUAUGUUAUUUCUCCUCUCCUCUCUCUCUUCUGUUUUUUUUCUUCCUCCUUCCUGUGUCUGUUCUCUUCUCUAUUUAUAGGAAAAAAUGGAGCAGGUGCGCCUUCAAUCACGCAACGGCUGGUCGGCCAGUGACCCGUUCGGUGGUCUAAAGGUGUGGGGACGAGGAGAGAGAGGCGGGACUUUUUUUGAAAAUGGUUUUUGUCUUCUGUUGUUGUUCAACGGGGGAAGGAGGAAGAUGAACAGUGUCGUUCAAAACGACACCGUUCUGGCCUUCCUCUUUUUUUUUUUUUUUAUAUGAAACGACGUCGUUUUGGAUAAAACGCGUCGUUUCAUUUAAAUGAGCCAAACUUCAAAUCAGUCCUCUAUCAUUUCUUGUUCAUUUCAAUUGUAUCCCUGCCAAAUUCGAUCUCCGCCCCCAUAGUUGGCCGCGUUGUUCACUUUAGUCCUUGGCCUCUGAUUUAUGCAAUUAAGCCCUCAAUUGAUCAAUAAACUUCCAAUUUCUUCAAUUAGGCCCCUGAACCAAAGUAAAACAGCCCCCCUCUAUUUACCCGGUUUUUCCAAAUUGGUCCCUGGUUUCGGUUUUUUUAAUUAAACCCCUAAUUGGUCAUUAAACUUCAAUAUUUAUUCAAUUAAACCCCUGAUUUGACCCAAUAAAUUCCUAAAAAAUAUAUUUUGGCCCCAGAACUUAAAUUUCUUUCAAUUAAAGCCUAAAUUGACUUAAAAAUCAAUUUUCUUGCAAUCAAAUCCCCUAUAAAAUCAAUUAAAAAACCAAUUAAGUCUAUAAACAUCCAAACUUGGGCUUUUCUCCUCAAAAUUCAAAUUUUCUUCUCAACAUGGCUCUCAUUCUUCAAGAAUAUACUGUCAAAAAUCCAAUCUUUGUAUUUUUAACCUCCUUGACCGAUUUUUCUGACCAUUUGCUGAGCGCUUCUGCCUCCUGUUAUUUUUCUAACCUCCUUUGGCUAUUUAUUUUAUUUCAUUUAUUUGGGGACCCAAAAAUGGGUUACAACAAAAAUUUCAAACCAUCAUCAGGCUAUAAAAAGAAUCAAUUGAAAAACAAAUUUUGAAGACAAAAAUUAAAAAAAAAGGGACGGAAAAAAAAAGGAGGGUAGUUUUUUUAGUUAAAGCUGAUGGUUUCUAGCCAAAAAAAAAAAGAAGCAAUGGGGGUUGGGGUGCCACGUGUAAGGAGCCCAUUAUGUAGGUGGUGGGUGAAGUCAGCUAGAGCUAAGCAUCCAUUUUUUGUGGGGUUUUUCUGGUUAGAUUUGCCUGUUGGAGGAUCGUAGCAUGGGAUUAUAUUUGGUUGUAAAGGAAAGUGUCAAUUUAGGAGCCACCAACCAUCGACAAGUUAGUGAAAAUGGUGUCAAGUGCCGCACCCACCACCUCCUUCGAUCAAUCACCUCAUCAUCCAUGUAAUUAACCCUUUUUUGUUCUAUCACUUUUACGUUACUAAACACUUCCACUUCUAUUAGACGUGUGGAAUGAUUCGAUUUCUAGUUUUUUUAUUUGUGAAUCAAAUUAAGACUUGAAGCUAGUAGAUGGAUGUGUCUAAUCAACUUUUUUGGAUCCAAUUUCAUGAAAACUUUUAUCUCAAAACAUCAUAGAAAUAAGUUGUAUGUCUUAAAGGAUAUCUAAUAAAAUCUUAAAAGUUGGGAGUUAAAGAUAUAAUUUAUAUUAUAUUUUAAUAUAUUUUUUAAUUAAAAAUUAUUUCAGUUUAAAUUAAAUUUACAAAAGAUUAUACUAUUUUAUACAUAAAAAAUUAUCAAUCACCUCAUCAUCCAUUUUUUUGAUCUAUCACUUUUACGUUACUAAACACUUCCACUUCUAUUAGACGUGUGGAAUGAUUCGAUUUCUAGUUUUUUUAUUUGAGAAUCAAAUUAAUACUUGAAGCUAGUAGAUGGAUGUGUCUAAUCAACUUCCUUUGAUUCAAUUUCAUGAAAUGUUUUAUCAUAAAACAUCAAUAAAAAUGUGUUGUAUAUCUUGAACCGAUAUCUAAUAAAAUCUUAAAAGUUGGGAGUGAAAGAUAUAAUUUAUUUUAUUUUUUUAAUUAAAAAUUAUUUCAGUUUAAAACUUAAAGGAUUAUACUAUCUUAUACAUAAAAAAGUAAUUCAUAACUAUUUGGUUAUCAUGUAAAAAAAAUAUUUUAAAUUAAAAAAUUUAAACUUUUAAAAUUAUAUAAAUUCUUGCUCUCUUUUGAAUAACCUUUCGUACUGUGGUGUUUCAUGGGUAAAUAAAACAUGAUAAAAUAUAAUAAGAAAGAAUUUUGCUAGGAAAAAUACAAAAAUGAGAUACCAAAUCUAUUUAUUUAAUUGAACAAAACUAUUUUUCUAUCAAUCUCACAUGUAUAUCAAACAAUGAAGGAUAAAUUAGAAAGUGGACUUGUCACUAAUUAAAUGUAUAUAUUAUGAUUUUUAUUUUCUAAGAUGAUAUAUUAUGAUUUUUUUUAUUAUUAAUGUAAGUGUUCGGACUAGUUUGUGUGUACCUCAACUAAUCUCACGGGUUUUGAAGUUAAUGAUCAUGUAAAUCUUCAAUGAUCCUGAGAUUUGUAAGACUCGAACUGGUGAUAUCUAGAGAACAAAUUUAAAAUAUGAUGAAUUAAGUUUCACUUCUCAUGAUUAAUAUAUUUAGAGUUUUGAAUACUUAAAAGGAGGUGUUGUUUUUAUUUUUAUUUUCAAAUCUAAGAACCUCAAAAACUUUUAGGAAUCUCAAAAAAACUCAUUUUUUUAACCCCAAAACAUUUAAUUAGCCUAAAUAAUGAAAAUCAAUCUGAAUAAAAAAAAUAUUGGUCUAAUAUAUUUUUUCUAGCAUGGUUAAAAGGCAAAAUCAUUUUUAUUGAACUUCUUUUUUCAAAACAAAUCCAUUGAUGUUAAAAUUAGGUUUUUUAUGAUCGGAAUAUGAUUAGCUUUACCACAUUCUCCCCCUCUCAACAUUCAAUAACUAAAAAUAUGAUAAAAAUGAAGUUUUAAGAUGGAGUCGUAAAAAUUUUAAACAACAUGAUUAAAUAAAUCUGAAAAACAAAAAAUUCAAGGACCAUAUUAAACUUUUCUACAACUUUGGAAAAAGAUUGCAUUAUAGGAGAAUAGUUUAAUGCACAAUAACUUGAGUCUUGCUGCACAAUAAAAUUUAUUAUGGUAAGAAUAACAAAUGUUUUAAUUUAGAUUAUAACACGAAGCAUACACAAUUAAGAUUACAACAAGGAGAUUUCAAGAAGUAGUUAAACUUAGGUUAUAACCUAAGUUUUAAUAUAUUUUUUACAUUUGAUUUUAAUUUUAAUUUUUUUUAAGUAAGUUAAAAUAGCUUUUGAUUUAAAUUUUUUUUUUGUUAUAAAUUGGAUUCAAACCUUUGAUUUAAUAAAAAACAAGAAAAUUUUACUUUAGUUUGUGGAUUUUAUACUGAAUUCCUUAUUAAAAAGUUAUUUUGAAUCAUUUUUACAAAUAAUGCUUAUAACUUACGGUUAUUUUAAUUUAUUUUUUUCAUAAAUUAUUUAUAAAAAACAACUUUUAAAUUACAAUUCAAAGUAAAAUAUCAUAAUUAGUUAUGAAUUGGAUUCGAUGAAAGGAAGAUGGGAAGAGGGGAAAUGGGUAACGGGAAAUUAAAGAGAGAUGAUGAUCUGCGCAUGGCUACCUGUACCAGAACAGAUGGAAAAAACUCGAAACAACUCGGCUAGAAUUUAGGCAAGAAAUUCAGAAUGAGUCAACAUUUUAAGUGAGAUGAAAUUUGUCUCACUUUCUUCUAUUAAACCGAGGAGCAUUUAGAGGAUAGAAUAUUAGAGUCUCUAGCAAAAGUCAGCAAGGUAUAUUUAGAGCCAAAUUCGGGUAACAAAUUAUCAUAACCAACUGAUCCAUUUCGGCUCGGAGGCUUCAGUUUUGUACCGGUCAUCAACUGGUGCUCUUUGCUUUGCAGCCUUCGAGGAAGAAGUAAAAGCCUCCAAAAAUAUCAUCAUCAUUAUUAACAGAUGAACUAGACCCGUUUAACCCACCAAAAUAUAUCAUCAUUAAAAGAUGAUUUCGCACUCGUAUUUUUAGUACUGGAAAACACAAAAUCAUAACCGAAAUCAAACCCAGUGCUAUUUUGUUUUUAAUUCUUUUGAAAAACAUCAAAAAUGUCAAAAUCAUCAUCAAAAUUCUAUAAUUUCAUCAUUAAAAGAUGAUUUCGCACUCGUAUUUUUAGUACUGGAAAACACAAAAUCAUAACCGAAAUCAAACCCAGUGCUAUUUUGUUUUUAAUUCUUUUGAAAAACAUCAAAAAUGUCAAAAUCAUCAUCAAAAUUCUAUAAUUUUGAAUUGCUAAAGAGAGUUUCGUGAUAAUCCAUGAAUGACCUAUCAAAAGAAUUGGAAUUGUAGGUUAAUUUAGAAGAAUAUGAGGAGGGUUUCCGGUUUGAUGAAGGGAAAUUCAAAUAACUAAACUGGCUAUAUGUUGAUGAAACAUGCAACAGAUUCCACCACCCAGCGGACAACAACAUUGAGAACAAAUCCGUGUGAGAAAUCAAUUUUAAUAGUCAUUUUAUUUUUUAAUUUGAGAGAAAUCACAAAUUCUUCACUGUUUAUUACUGAAAAAGAAGAGAGGGGGGAAGAAAUGAUGUCUUCAGAUGUUUCUGAAUUAUAGGAUGCUAGGGUAAUUUUUUUAUAUAUAAAUAUAUAAAUAGAAGAUUGUGUUAAAAAAUCAAAGGGAGCUUUUACAAGAAUACUAUUAUCUUUUUUCUUUUCUCAAAAUCAAUAAAAAGAAUUUCACUGAGAGAAAAAUAGUAUAUCAUCAAUCUAAUGACUGCAUUUAUCUUUACAAUCUUCCAAAGGAACAACUUUAUGUUAAGAAGAGGAGAAAUAUUAUAACAAAAUAAUUUUUAUGGAUUCAAACUAGUGUUAUAGACUCUUGUGAGUAAAAGUGUCAAUUCUCAUAAAAAAAAUUGCAAUUUGAUGACAUAAUGACUAAUACAGAGACACUAACAAACAAAUAAAAAUAAUAAUUUGUACAAAUACUCACCUAGCAAAGAGAGGAACGGAUAAAAGGUUCACCACGGUCAAUUUUUUUUCUUUUUCUUGGUUAAUUUUUUUUUUUGAAAAUGAUGAAUAAUGGGAAAAAAAGAAGAAGAAAAACUUGCAAAGAAGCACUUAUAAUGGAACAAGGUUAUGAUGACAAUCCCUGUAUCACACUCUCAAAUAAUAUAAUAUAUCCAUUAUAUUUUGCAUUAUAUAUAUAAACUAAAAGAGUUAGGCUUUUUGAUGGCAUCCAAGUGUAGUUGCUUUUUUCAUCCCGCUUUUUUUGUUUUAUUUUAUUUCAAUCAUUCAAUUUUGUUUCUGUUAUUUUAUCAUGCUUCGAGUUGUCUUUUUCAAUUUGAUUUGGUGCCAGCUUGGGAAUCACCAUUUUAAUUGUGGUUGUGAUUUCUAAUUGUUUGAUAGUAUUUCAAAAGCUGAUAUUAUAGCCUCUUCUAUAUGUUAUUUUCAGAAGUUACAAUUUAUAGCUUUUCAAAAGCCAUAAUUGCCUGUUUGUUUCUGCGUUUAAAAAACGUUUUUUAAAAAAAAAUUAAAUUUUUUUAAUUUUUUAUUAACUUUAAAUUAAUAUAUUUUUACUAUUUUUAAAUCAUUUUGAUGUGCUGAUGUCAAAAAUAAUUUUAAAAAAAUAAAAAAACAUCAUUGGCAUACAUUUUAGCACGAAAAGUUAUUUGAAAAACAACCGCAACCACAUUGUCAAAUUUCCAAAUAGAUUCUUGAUAGAGGGUUGUUUUGAUCUUGAGUGUUGUGCUUGCAAAGGAAUUACAAUUACUUUACACAUUAUAAUUAUAAAUUACUGUUUAAAACAAUUAAGAGAAAGGACCAAUAAUAUAGAGUGAGCAAAUGAAAGCAUAAAUUUAGAUUUUAUUGUGACAUAGAGAUUAGGUAAUCAUGAAAGUUGGUAAUAAUAUACUGUGAGCAAAGGAACCUGCUCGAAAAAACCAUUCAACAUGAGAUUGCUCUGCUAGGAAAACAUGAUAUCAGCAUCAAACUUUUGAACAAAUAGUGGAGCAUCAAGUCUCAGUCAUCUUGAAGUAUGUCGACAACAAGUCACAUAAGCAUAUGCAAUAGAAACAGAGCAUCAAACUGACAGAGAAAACAUACUGAUACCCUUAUUCACACAGAAAACAUACUGAUAGAUAAGUCGAAAUCUUCUAUGGUAAAUAAGACUGUUACAAUGUGAAGCCAAUUUGUAUCCCAUUGCCAAUGGAACAGUAGGAAUUACUUCCCACCAAUCAAAAACAUAUCUGCAGCACCACAGCUCAAAGACAUGAAUCUCCGUGAAAUCGCCUAUUGAGGAGUUGAUCGUGUAACAACCAACCAACCUUGCCUCAAGCAAACACGAAGAACAAAGACCAUCCAUGCAUAUUUAAUUCACCCAUUAAAAGUUGAAGGAUAAGGAGAGAAGAUAAAUAAUCAUAGCCAUGUUACCUAGUCAGGGCAAGGAUGAAUUAUUAGCAUGUUUCUCAAAUCCCAAUCCCAAACUAAUCAUUUCUCUUCAUUUUGUUGUGCUCAGCGAAGGAACUACCAAAUCUUACUGAAAGUAUUUAAGUGAAGACAACAAAUAGAUGUGUACUGUUUUAUUUGAACUGAAAAGAAUUGAUUGCUUACAGAUCAUUGCAAUCCUUACAAAUAUAUAGUAAACCAAACAAACUGAAUUGCUAACUUAAAGCACCAAAUCAUGCAAAAUGCUACCAUCAUUACCUUCAAAUCUAUAGUUAAUUCCAUUUUUCUAUAAAAGACAAAACCAUCAGUAUCCAAUAGUUGCCGACUUCACCACGGGUUCAACAUUUUUUUGACAAGUUGGGAUUCGAUACUAAUGAGCAUAUUUUCUUAAGUUGAAAUAGUGCUACCCAAUCUAGGUUACAGUGGGUUGAUGAAUUAAAGAGCAGUUGUUAUUUGACACUGCAAUUAGAUGGCUCAUAUUUGAUUUACGGAGCUAUGAUAUGGGAAUCGUGCUUGUAUCACAUAUAAAAAUAUUUACAUAGUAACAAGCAUUAUUAAAGAUGGUACACUAGUAAGUUUCCAAAUGCUAUCAACAAAUAUUAUAACCUCUUAAUUUAUACAAGGAUUGAGCUAAAUUGCAUACAAGCAAUCCCUAACUUUGGUAGUUUCUUUGUGUUAAAAAUGGAGACUUCUUGGUGUUUGCCGGAACUCCAACUUGGGUAUACCUUUUGUGAACAAGAAACAAGGUAAAAACAUCUUUCAACGAUAUCAAAUCAUUUAUUCAUAUAAAGUAUUAGUGUUGUCAUUUAAUUUCACUACAUUGAAGAAAAUUCUGAUUUGAUACCAAUUCAUGCUUGGCACGACUGUUACAUGACACCUGGGAUGCUCAGCAACACUACAUCCACAAUCAUGACAACGAACACUGAUGCAGCCUCGAAAACAUCAAAACACUAUUUGCUUUGGUAGUAGUAUUGACUGCAAACUUGGUUGACCAACAGAAUCCCUGCCUUCAGCCAACCCCAAAUUUGACUAUCAUCGUAUAAUAUUGAUCGUCACAUUAUAUUUUCCAACUUUUAAUAGGAUUUUAAGGACAAGUUACAGUUGAAAGCUAAUAUAACAACCUUCUUAAAUUCACAUCCUACCGACCAUUAUGGCUAUUAGCUUCCAACCAUUCUCCAUGUUUCACUUUUCUUCAAGUAUUUUCACCAAAAUAAAGCUUCAACCUUUAAAGUUUUGCUUAUAAAGUCAAGAUCCAUGGGGAUUAUUUAAGAUUUUAUGGGAAGCAUUUCAAAUAUUUUAUGUUUUUUUUUUUUUUAAAUAUUGUUAUAGACAUAGAAUCAACAAGAUUGUGUGACAUUCUAUAUUGAUUUUGUGAUAUUUUAAUCACUAAAAGUAUGGUUUCAGAAAGAUAAAAACCAAACAAAAAAUUGAAAAAAUUAAAAAUUUUCAAACCAACAGAAUCCAACAUAUUGAUCAGUUUUGGUCUGAUUUGAUUCGGAUAUUUUUUAGCUGAAACAAUUAAUAACCAUUUUCAAAAGGUAAGUAUUGACAAGCCUUUCACGAAACCAUGUUCAUUUAUGCUGAAUCAAUCCAAAUCAGGUUCAGGUUGCUAACUCAAACUAACAUAAUCCAAAAUUGAAUGCACACAGACUCUGGGUUGUUUCAGUUUAAUGAUUUUUAGAAAUGUCAAACUGAAACCGAACCGAAAUAUAUGAAUAUUUCUAACUGAGACGCCCCCAAAUACUAAAAAAAUGAUUGGUUUUGUUUUGUUUAGUUUGGUUAUAGCAGAUACCCCUAACAAUCUGCUUUUUCACUCGACAUCAAACAACAAGCACUAAUAUUAUGUCUGUAAGUAAAUUACUAUAAAGUAUAAAAAUAUAUGUGGAUAAUUGAAAAUUUGCUUAGAGUUGCUAAUAAUUCACAACUGCAACAACCAACACGACCAGGUAAUGCUUGGGAAUGGGAUCAUGUAAUGCCCGGGAAUGGGCCUUGGUGCACAAUCAUGAUUGUAACCAUGAUUUAAAAUCAUUUCCACACUAGACUAUCCAAGACAAUUGGUAUUGGAUUGUUAGCAACAAUUCAGUUUAUAAUAAUAAUAAUAAUGUUGAUUCUUUUAUCUCCUACUUAAUGCAAGUGUCCAUCGUGUGCUGAAAUUGAUUGUUUACCUCAUAUUUCUUUUAAAGGUAGAGAUUUCUUGGUUGACAAUGGGAAAAAGUAAUCGCAUGGUUAUUUUCCAUAAGAUUCAUUUGAGUAAAUAUUCUCUAUUGGAGGUCAAUUUCAUCGAAGCAAUUACUUCAAGGAACACAUCCUAACUAUCAACCUCUAAGUAGUCAUCUCCCUUAUCCUAAUUUUUUAUUUCCUAAUAAAAUCUCACGGUUUUUCAUCAUGUUCAAAGGAAAAGUUGACGUUGCAAAUGGUGCUCUAAGGAACCAAGUCAUCCUAGAACUAAUCAUCCACCUAAUCUCAUCAACUCCUUGUUGCACAAACAGCUUGUCUCACUUAAAGGGGAUUUUAAUGAUGAACAAACACCAACUCCUUGUUGCUCAAAUACAUAUGCUCAUUUAAACACAAUUUUGCAUUACCUAGAACUGACAAGGCCUAAAAUCCCGGAAAUAGAAUUUUGUUUUAAAGGAACUUCAGGAUUUCUAUAUAGGAUGCUUGACCUCAUUAAAGACAAACUGACGACAUCCGUCCGUAACAUAAAUUAUCUUCCUUGCCCCAAAGUCAGCACAUAAAAACCUUGUUCACUAUAAAGGCUCUGAAUGUUUUUCCUAAAUUUCAUGAUAUGGCAUUCAGCAUUCUUAAGCAAACUACAACUGCAUAAGGCUUGUACAUGUAGGGGAGACGUAGGAAGAACUGCAUGAAUUUGAUCUCAAAGGGGUACCACCUCAUAUGCCUACAGGAGAUACAUGACCAGUGAUGGUUGUUCUAUCCACAAAAUUAGCUAACAUACGACUAUUUUAUUCAACUACCAUUUCAGGAUAUGAGUUCUCCUAGCCACACUCAAAAGCCCUAGCCGCUAUAUGAACAAAGCACCUAAAAAAUUAAUCACCUACCUAAUCUAAUUCAGGAAAUUUUGGUCAAAAUCUCCUACAAUGAAACGAGUUAUUUGAAUGCAUAGACAGGAAAUUCAGGUAAACACACACACACCCCCCUGAUCAUAAAUUUCCUAAAGAAAUUCUGAAUUGUAACAUUGGUAAACAAAGUGUGACAAUAUCAUCACAUUAAAAAUGCAUUUCACUCAAAACAAAUACUAGCUCAAGAAAAAAAAUUGCAAGAAGCCAAUAGAGAAUAAAGUAAGCAGUCCAUAAACAAGAGACAGAGAGACAUUGUUCCAAUACAGAAAAGUAAUUAAAACCCAACAACUAAAACUGAGAAAGAAUCAAACCAGUGAGUAACUAAUCCUUUUAAAGCAUUCCAAGAAUGGCAACCAAAUGUAACAUAAUCAACCUGCAAAAACAAACACAAAAAGAAUUAGAAGAAGAAACCCCAUUAGUUAAUAAGUUAAAACAGCAGCAGCAGCAAAAAGACUCAAAUUUUAGUUAUUUGGACUUGAGAAAAAGCACUGAACCCUCUGUGAAAAUGCCAUGAAAGGGGUGCUAAGAAACCAGGAAAAUAAAAACUUUUAAAAGGGUGUUUUUACAAAGCAAGAAAGAAGCUAGGAAGCAAGCCAGCCUACCCUCACGAACUCUGUUUGUUAAUUGUUUUUUCUCCUUUGAAGUGAAAACAAAAAAAGAAAAAAAAAACGAAGAGCACCCGGAAAAUCUAGUCAGAAAUAUUUUAUGUUGUUGUCUUGGAGUGACGCAGAUACCGAGGAACAGUUGUGGGGCCACCAUUGGUGAGCAGUGAUACAGUGGCAAGUAUGUGAAAUAACGCAUAUUACAGUGCGCAAUGAUAGAGUGAGUCUGGGUGGACAAACUUUUGGUGGUACACGUGGUGCUUAAUGAUUUGACGGCUAUGGAGAGAAGUUACAUGAGGGAAAUAAGAUGGAAAAAGUGGCCUCUCUAGAUUUUGGAAAUGUUCUCUGAAGAAAGAAAGAAAAUAAUUUCAAAGGUGGACAAAAAUAGGGUAAUAUCAGAUUUGGAACAUAAUCUUGGUUGGUGAAGAAUAACAUAAUCUAAGGAGAAAUCUAGGGAAAGCCAGUGAGAUUUGAGCUUCGAUUUGGGACCAAUUUAUAGCUGGAUAAUACCAUCAUGGGUUAUCAGAUUCUGUGUGUGUGAGGCUGCCAUAUGUUUCUUUCUUCUAUGAUGGAUAAAAAACGCUAAGCAAUUAACCCACCUAGUAAAAAAGGUAUUAUGGUUAUGAUAAAAACUCUACAGCCUGUGAUUCUAUUUUUGAAGAUAUUCUUAUUAUAUUUAUAAUUAUAAGAAUCUUUAAAAAAGACACGGGUAAAAUAUUAUUCUCACAUCACUAUUCACUGGUGUUAUCGGCUUAAAUUGAUAGAUAAUUAAGUAAAUUUAUUGAGGAAAAGCAAAAUUUAAAUAUAGAUAAUCAAAGUGAAAACAAAAGCGCAAAAAAAGAUGGUAGUUUCAUGAUUGAAGUUAAAAAUUCACUUUGAUUCUUAUUUUUUUUUAAUCAAUAAAAAAUUCGGCAGAGUUUUCUCUAUAUUUUUAGGUAUCAAGUUAUCGACUUUUCAUCUACAAUCCCUAAUUAUCAAAUUUCUUACUCAUCCUAUCAUCCAGGACUUCCUCCUCUCAUUACAUCACAACUUCUAAAUAAUCAAAUUCACACAUGUCUAAACAAUUCAAUAUCCCACAUUUACAUGGAUACAAUCCAAAGAAUUGUUCUACAAAUUAUAACUGAAGUACAUUACACAAUUCAAAAAUUUACAAAUAAGGACCAUUAACGAAAUUAUAAUCGAAAUAAGUACGUAAUUAAAGAAGAAAUUCAUAAUUAAGAUUAUACUACACAAAAGAGCUUUCGAUAAACUGUUGACGCAUUAUAUUACAUAACAAAAUGAUAAAUUCAUUCAUUACAAAAAAAAAAAUACCAAACAAAAUAUAAGAAAACUAAUCUACUGUUCAAUCCGAUAGGGGGAUGUACCUGAAAAUUAAUUUAAUACAAUAAUUCGAUUAGACAGAUGAAGAAAAGAUAUCCAUAAAAUUCUUUUUACUUUCUUUCUUUCUUCCUUUUUUUUUUUUUUGAAAAUUUAGUCAAAAGAUCAUUAAAUUAACUUGCUCAUAUAGUAUUAUAUAUAUCAAUUAAAUUUCAGAAUAAUCUAUUAGUUUGUUUUCUUUUUCUUUUUUAACAUCAACCAAAAAAAUAAUUAUUCUCAUCGCCCAAUUAACCCGGCAUUACUUUCACUAAUAGAUGAUUAAUUUUCCACCAGUCCAUUCAACAAGCACUAUUGUCAUCAAUCCAAAAAUUAGUUUAACGUUUAAUCCAUUCAUCAGGGUACAAAUCCCAUUAACCAGGAAAAUUAAUUCUUCAUCUCGCCUAUUAAUUUGUCAGGGCACUAAUUCUAUUAAAUCAGGAAUUAGUUCAACAAUUUACCCAUUAACCAAGGACUUAAUUCCUCAUCACGCCCAUUCACUAGGACAUUAAUCCCAUUAGUUCAAGAAUUAAUUCAUCACAUCGCAUAUCUUAUUUUUUAAAAUAAACAAUAAAAUAAUUACUAAUUUAUCAACCAUAAUUAAUCAAAUAAAAAUACAUAUUAACCAAUAAUAAAUUCGGGCACCGUGUAAUUACCUAACGACUAAGCUCGAGCUGAAAUUCCCUGCUGUGGUGUCAGCCUGACAGCUUCUCUUGAAUUGACAAAUAUAUCACAUCAUUAUUCUACUUUCCAUAUUGAAACACUCAAUAAAUAAAAUCAUUCCAAUUAUCCUUUUAUUUAUCAAAAUAAAAUCAUUUUGUAAAUUUCCUUCCUAUUCUUCCAAUUUCCACAUUGUAACACAAUUCAUUUCAUCAUUCAAAUCAAUAUAUAUAUAUAUUCUUUAAAUUUAUUUAUUUAUUUUUUACCGUAAUUUAAAUCAAAGAAAAACAUAAAAACAUUUCAUGAUCUAUUCACUCUUUAACAUUAAUAUCAUCUCUUUCUUACACAAUCUCAUCAUCUUAUCAAAAUUCUUAAAUUUUUAUUUUUCUUAUUAUUAUUUUUCCAAAAAUCCCUUCUUCAAGAACACCUAAAAUUUUGCUUUAAUUACCAUAAUUUCUUACUUUCUCUACUCACUUCAAUAAUCUUAACACAAUUUCACAAUCAAUUGUAAUUUUUCAUAAAAUUUAUCAUGAACCCUAAUUCUUCAAUUCACAAAGUUCAAUCAAUUUAAAACAUAAAUUCUUCAAGAAUCUUAUUUAAAAGUGUAAGGGCACCUUACCAAGCAAUAACCAAAGCCUUAACACUUUUAAAUUAAGAAAUUUUCCUUGCUUGAAUUUGUUUUUCCUCUCCUAGCCGAAUGCUUCCUUCUCUUUGAAAAAGCAAGUUUGUUCUUUUUUUUUUUGGCUUCCUUACAACACACACUCACUUGCACUCAUAUAUAUCAAUUUUUUCUCCCCCCCCCCUCCCCUUCCCCCCCACACUUACACACAUAUAAUUACUUAACUUUUAAAAAAUGCCUUUUAUAUCCCUCAAUACUAAAUUUUAUGAUUUUUGGGUAAAAUUUCAUGAAUCCUGACUCCUGUUUAUACCAAAUUUUACACGGGUUAUUUCAAAUUUCACUCAAUUACUCGUUAGUACUUUCAGUUUCAUGAAAUUCACUUUCAUAAAAAUUCUAUUCAUAUUUUUGUGUUUUUUUAUUUAUUUUUAUAUAUAUAUUACUAUUUAUCUGGUAUCAGAGCCUAUUGGGAUCUGGGUGGGAAUAGUAACAUAAAAGCCAGUAUUCUUAGAAAGAACAAGAGACCAUUAGACUAUAGGUAUGCAACUGAAUGGUGUAAGUCCCGUUUGAGUUUUAGGGCAAUAAAUCCAUAUAACUUGCAGCGUGUUCCCUAGUUUAUCUUUCCUUUCUAUGGAUUCCGUCUUUCACAGGACUACUUCUCUUUCAGCUUCCUCUACCUCUGAAUCUUCUGAAAGCAGAAGAAUAGUACAAAGUGAAGAGAUAACUAUUGAAGACUUUACAAAAAACAUUGAUGACUGGAAAAUUCCAAAAAUUUCUCAAACUCAGAUUUAUCAAAAAUCUAAAUAUGAUAUUUUCAAAACAGAUUUUACUAUCAAAACUGAAGAGCGAGAUAUUCAGCUUACCAAACCUUUUGAAACCAUUCAACUCCUCUCUCAAAAAUCCUUACAAAAACAUCUAGCCCGAAACUAUAAAUAUAUUCAUGUUGGCCUUGUCCAGAUUGGAAUAAAACCCCUUACAAAAGAAGGCUUAAACACCUCUAUUCUAGCUGUCCUCCGUAAUGCUAGAUUUCAAAACUUCCAAGACUCCCUCCUCAGUUCUAUUGAGUCUAGUCUUUGCAGUGGGCCGAUAUCAUUUGACUGUUAUCCAAACAUAACCAUACCCCUCAAAGACAAAAAUAUCUUGCAGAGUAUGCUACUACAAAUAAAGACCCACAACUAUGACAUGCUAAAAGGAUCUAUCCCUGUUGCUCUCAUAUUCAAAAUCCAUUACAAAGCCAUGUUCUCAGCCUUUGCCAGCAAAGACAAAUUCCAAUCUCAAAAAGGUGAAACACUCCUACUACAAACAGAUUUAUCCCGCUCAAACACUGUUGUCCCAAAAGCAAUCCAAUGGAAAGACAUAUCCCUACCAGAAGAUUGGAUCCUUGAAGGUGCAGCACCACCAGAACUACCACCACCACCUCAACCCAAUGUCCAAAUUAAAAAUAUUACCCAAUAUACAGAUGGAAAAGUGAAACUGUCUUUCCACCGACACUCUACAAGUUCCAGAUUCUCAGAAGCCUCUUCCUCUUCCAGUACAAUAGAUUUGGGAAGAAUUUCCAAAAUCCCUUCUGUUAUCAAUAUCCCUUAUCACGAAAACCUUCCAAGAAAAUCUACAUCCGAUAUCCCUUCUCCUAGUUUCCAAAAUGCAGACUAUACUACAAAUAUACCAAAACCUGUCUAUACAAACCUUGAGCAACCAUCUCCUCCAACUUCACCGACCUUUUCAGCUAUUACUGAAAAUAUCCAAAACGAGCUGAAUGUUUUGACUUCAGAGAAACAUUUCGUUCUUGACAAAACACUUUUCAAAAAGGAUUUCUAUUCGGCCUGUAACUCUACAAAACGAAUUUGGUUUUUUCAAAACUUUCUCGAGCAAAGAAGUGAAAUACAAAAACAAUUUUAUAAUUUCAUUGAGCUACAUAAAAUACAAAUUCUAUUCUUUGAUUGAUUCGAAUUAUAUUAUGCAUCUGAACAUCACAUUUCAUAUCCUUUUGCAUCAAUUAAGCAUGCAUGCCCGGUCACAUCCAGGUCAAAAACCCAUGUAUGGAACCUCACCAGUGGACCUACAGUUGAGUCUGAACAUCCACAUUUGAGAAAUAUCCAAAUAACCCAUAAUAACCAGACUGUCGAGGCAGCCCCUUACAAAAUAUCCACUGAUGACACCCUUUCCAAUACAAAACACAUCAUUAACCAAAACAACUUUACAAACACCAACCUUAAUACCUUGGGAAAACAGCUUACACGGCUUGAGAAACAAAUACAAAGAACUGCUACAAGUUCAGCUGGCAUUAAAACCUCAACCGACUUAAAGCUAAAAAACCCAGUCUUCAAACCCUACCAAAUUACAAAAACCAGCCAAACACAGAUCCAAGAAAACCAAACAGAUUUUCUUAAAGCUAUUAAAACGCAUCUACAACACCUUGACAGUUCAUCUUUAACUGUCCCUGACACACCACAAAUAACCAACCCUUCUACCUCUACAAAUCAAGUCAACACUUUACAGAAUAGUCCUCAGGAAUCUUCUGAUGAAGGUACUUCUCCACGAAAACCUCUUACCCUAAACAGACUUACCUGGCAAACUCCCAAAACAACCAUUGCCCCAGACAUUUCCAUAACUACUGAACCAACUAUUCUUACUCAACACAAGUAUAAUGCCUCUUCCCUCUAUGAAUGGAAUAUAGAUGGAAUGUCCGAAUAUAAUAUCCUAAACACUCUCCAACAAAUGACCAUGGCAGCGAAUGCUUACAAAACCCAGACAGGAACCCCAGAUAAAGCUAUUGCUGAGCUCCUUAUUAAUGGUUUCUCCGGCCAAUUAAAAGGAUGGUGGGAUUACCAUCUCACUGACACUGAUCACCUGCAUAUCCUAAACUCCUUCCAAACAUAUGAGGACCAAACACCCAUCCUUGACCCAUUCGGAAACACCAUCCAAGACGUUGUGUCAACCCUUAUUCUUACAAUUUCCCUACAUUUUGUUGGAGAUCCUUCACAUUUGAAAGACAAAAAUGUUGAACUCCUUUCCAACCUUAGAUGCAAGAAACUAAGUGACUUUCAAUGGUACAAAAACACCUUCCUUACCCGUGUCAUGCUUAGGGAAGAUUCAAACCAACCCUUUUGGAAAGAAAAAUUCCUUGCAGGACUACCUAUUCUCUUAGGAGAAAAGGUUAGAAACAAAAUCAAAGAUACCUUCACAACAAAAACCAUCCCAUAUGACCAGCUCACAUACGGUGAACUUGUAAGCAUUACUCAAAAGGAAGGUCUGAAGAUCUGUCAAGAUCUUAAACUCCAGAAGCACCUAAAGUGGGAAAUGAAACGUACCAGGCAAGAACUUGGUAGUUUCUGUCACCAGUUCGACCUUUCCACCAAAAAACCCUCCUGUAACGGAAACUGUUCACAUCCCAAAAAAUAUUCAAGCCAGAGACCUCCUUAUAAACGAUCACUACAUAAAAACCGACAACAAUUCUAUUCUAAACCAGAUCAACCUUACUACAAAAAGCCCUAUAAAUUUACCAAGCCCCACAAACCUUUCCAGUCGAAACCUAAAACAAAAUUUGAUCCCAAAAACAUUACCUGUUAUAAAUGCAACCAGAAAGGACAUACAUCCCGUUUCUGCAAGGUCAAUACUAAACUUCAUGAACUCCAAAUAGAUGAAGACACCAUCAACCAAAUACAAAAUCUCUACAUUGAGGCUACAGACACUGACCACUCUCCUUCAGACACUUCUGAAGAAGAAUUCCAAAUCGAUGAAAUAGCAACCACCAGUGCUACUUCAGAUGCCUCUACAAAUUCCAAACAAUUCAACGUCUUGACCCAAGAUCAAGAGUUCAUUCUUGAGGCUAUCAAACGACUUGAUGAUCCUCAACUUCAAAAAACCUAUUUGGAUAAAUUAUUGAAAGACUUCAGCCAACCGGAGCACCCCCAGUCUAACCGCUCUAUAUUAACUUCUGCCAGCACCAAUACCUAUGAUCUUACAAAAAUUCUUGGCAGAAAGAAAUCCAAAACCACAGUCACCAUUCCAGAACUACAGUCUGAGAUAAAAACCCUCAAAUCAGAAUUGCAAAUCCUCAAACAAGCCCAACAGAAAGACUCUGCCAUACUACAACAUCUUCUGUCCAAAAUUGAAAGCCCGUCUGAUACUGAGUCUGAUACAGAGGAUCAAACCAUUGAAUCUCAUGCAUUACCACAUACACUUACAAAUAUUGAGCAUAUUCCAGAUGAUUUCUUAAACGUUCUAACCCAAAUAUCUUCCAAGAAAUAUUUAAUUCGAAUUACUCUUGUUUUCUCAGAAGAUUUCAAGCUUGAUACUAUUGCCUUAUUUGACACAGGUGCAGAUUUGAACUGUAUCAAAGAAGGCGUGGUUCCAAAAAGAUUUUUACAAAAUACCUAUGAAAAACUCUCUGCUGCUAACAAUUCCAAAUUACACAUUGCAGGCAAAACCCAAGCCUCUGUUUUCAAUAACGACAUUUCUCUUAAAACAUUUUUUGUUGUUACAAAAGACAUCAAUCAUACCAUCAUUCUUGGCACUCCAUUUAUUGACAUGAUCACUCCAUAUCAAGCACGUCAUAACUGUAUUACUUCCAAAAUUAAUAACACCAAACUUGUUUUUUCAUUCUUAGAAAAAUCUAAGACUAGGAAUUUAAAUUUAAUUAAAGCAUGUUCCAUACAUACCUGUCAUAUCAAUGCACUAAUUCAUGGGAAACAAUUCCAUCUACAUGAUUUACAAAACCAUGUUUCUUUUUGUCGUAUCAACAAACAAUUACAAAGUUCUGAUUUACAAAAGAAAAUCAUUGAUUUCCAAAAUAAGAUUGAACAACAGAUAUGUUCAGACUUACCCAAUGCUUUUUGGAAGCGAAAACAACACAUCGUUGAUCUUCCUUAUGAAGAUACAUUUUCAGAAAAACUAAUCCCUACAAAAGCAAGACCUAUACAAAUGAAUGCUGACUUAGAACAGCAUUGCAGACUUGAAAUCCACGAUCUCGAGUCUAAAGGUCUUAUCCAAAAGUCUAGAUCACCCUGGUCGUGUGCGGCCUUUUAUGUCAAUACAAAUUCUGAAAUUGAAAGGGGCACACCAAGACUUGUGAUCAAUUACAAACCUCUCAAUUCUGCUUUAAAAUGGAUCAGGUAUCCAAUCCCAAACAAAAAAGAUUUAUUACAAAAAUUGCACUCCGCAUUCAUAUUUUCUAAGUUUGAUAUGAAAUCUGGAUUUUGGCAAAUCCAAAUUGAUCCCAAAGAUAGGUACAAAACUGCUUUUACAGUUCCUUUUGGCCAAUAUGAAUGGAAUGUCACUCAAAAAUACACCAUCCGAAUUUCAACGCAUCAUGAAUGACAUAUUCAAUGCACAUUCAAAAUUCUGCAUUGUUUACAUUGAUGACGUGCUCAUUUUUUCACAUUCCAUAGAACAACAUUUCAAGCAUCUACAUAUAUUUUUUCAUACUGCCAAACAAAAUGGUUUAGUUGUUUCUAAAACAAAAAUUUCUCUUUUUCAAACCCGUGUCCGUUUCCUCGGUCAUUACAUCUGCCAAGGUACCGUAAUACCAAUAGAGAGAUCUUUAAACUUUACAAAUAAAUUUCCUGACAAAAUCACUGAUAAAACCCAAUUGCAAAGAUUCUUAGGAAGUCUUAAUUAUGUCUUGGACUACUAUCCCAAUAUUAGUCGUCUAUCCAAACCCUUACAUGACAGGUUAAAAACCAACCCCAUUCCUUGGUCUGACCUCCAUACCAAUCUAGUCAAACAGAUUAAGAAACAGGUCCAAACUAUUCCUCUCCUCCAUUUAGCUAACCCUUUAGCCCCUAAGAUUGUUGAGACUAACGCCUCUGACCUAGGGUAUGGUGGAAUUCUUAAACAGUUACAAGAUAACAAAGAACAAAUAAUCCAGUACACAUCUGCCCACUGGAAUGACUGCCAGAAAAAUUACUCUACUAUUAAAAAGGAAAUCCUUUCAAUUGUUCUUUGUAUUACAAAAUUUCAAAGUGAUUUAUUAAACCAAAAAUUUCUCUUACAUGUUGACUGCAAAUCUGCAAAAGAAGUUCUCUAAAAAGAUGUCCAAAAUCUUGCUUCCAAACAAAUCUUUGCCAGAUGGCAAGCCAUUUUAAGUAUCUUUGAUUUUGAUAUUGUUUACAUUAAAGGAGAAUCAAAUUCCAUCCCUGAUUUCCUAACCCGAGAAUUCCUUCAAAACAGGUCUUGAUGCCUCCUAAAGCAAAAGCCAAGGACAAGGGAAAAGCCCCUCAAACACAGCCUACAAAACCAGAGAGCCCCAAGCCUUCUACAAAACUCAUGUCUUCCGCCAUCCUCGCUGCCAAGCCUAUCAAAUCUUGGUAUGAGGCAGUUAUUGAAGAUGAAGAAACUACAAAACCACCACAAGUACAAACAGACGCAGUUCAACAUUGGGUUGACACUAUAUCCAAAUCGCCAGAAUUACUCCUGGCAUUGCAAAAAGUAUCCCAACAAGCCUCCAGUGACUCCGUGUCUCAAACAGGUAGUAUUUCCAAAUCACUUUCAAAACCCCAAGGAGGCAUUUUAUCUUCAAAACCCCUCCUUUCCUUACAACAAACAAGUUUUCCAAAAACCAAAUCCAAAUAUAUUUUCAAAAAUGCUUUCCAAAACAUUUUAACUAUGGAAGAAGGAUUUUACCAUGAAAACCCUUCCAUUGCUGCUUCAAAAAUAUUCCCUCCAAAAUGGCACUAUAAACCUUGAAAUCUAGCUCAACCACAAUCCUAUUAUGCAACUAUCCUUGAAAUUACCGAUUCUAUCGAAUUCAAACACUUCAAAUUACAUUCUGAUCACACUGAACCAGCUUACUCUACAUGCAUUAUUCACAAAGUCAUCCACCCUAAAGAUUGGGGACAACCCCUGCAUCAACCUCUCUCCUUCCCAAUACAAUACCGCACAAGCCCCCAAGACUUCAAUACCUCCUACACAUAUUGGGAUUACCAACAGGCAUGGUUUAAUGCCUUCCUCAUACAAAAUCAAAAUCAUAGCCAUUCUUGGCUCUUCUACUUCCACAAUACCAUGAAUACUACAAAUCUCUCCCUCUGGUUCCUUCAAUGGUGGGACUUUUAUGGUUGUCAUGUUGAUUACCUUAAAGAACAUCCUUUAGUUGAAAAUGGUUAUCUACAUUUCAAAAACAAUUUCCAACCAGCUCCCUCUGAAAGAAAGUUUUCUUCCCUCCUUAUCUUCUAUACAAAAUUUUUUGUUCCGUGGGUAUGUUCAUGGUUCUUUGAUUAUAAUUUACAAAACGGACAUCCAGUACUUAUUCGCAAAUUCAAAAUCAAGUGGUGGGAUUCCUUUGCAGCUGAGUCCAAAAGUUCAAAAUUAGCUGUUACGGAAUGGUUACAAAAACAUCAAACAACUCCCAUCAUCGAUCCUCAUCCUCAAUCAAAGUUCUUAGCCAGAAAGGCCCAAACGGCAGCUCUCCUUGCCUCUGCUAGAACUGAGGAAGAAUACCUACAAAUAGUACAAGGAAUUAUGCAAAGCCAAGACCCAGAAACAGUCUUGUCCCAAUCCAGCUCAUCUGGCUCAACAUCUCCUGCCAUUUCCCUCGACAAUGAUAAUGAAGAUGACUGUUUUGGUAUCCUGCCAUCUAUCACGUGACGUUAAAAAAAAAUAAAAAAAAAAAGAGUAUUUCAGGUCUUUUUAAGGCUCAUCUGUUUAGAGCCCAUUUUGGUCUUUUUUAAUGCUCAUCUGUUUAGAGCCCAUUUUGGUCUUUUUUAAGGCUCAUCUGUUUAGAGCCCAUUUUGGUCUUUUUAAGGCUCAUCUGUUUAAGAGCCCAUUUCUUUUAGACUCAGAUGUUUUGAGUCGUUUUUCGGCCUAUCUGUUUUAAGGCCUUUUUCUACAAAAGUUACUAGUUACUACAAACCCACCAAUCAAGUGUCGGUGGCAAGACGACAACAAACGAAGCUCAACCAAAAACGUGGACAAUUUCCAUUUUGUCGCCAUCCAAUCAAGGCAGACAGCACCACAUGGGCUUCUAUAGGUUCUGCCAAAUGCCACAUAGGUUCACAUGGGUCCUGAAGAGCUUCUCCAACAGGACAAUUUGGCCUCUUCCAUGCCAACUCGCCUAUAAAAGGCCACUUCAAAACCCUUAGAGGGCGGACUAAUCUUUCCCCUAGAAAAAAUUUACUCUCCCCUAAAAAUUUGUAACCCAUUCUCCUCUGUAACCAAUAUCUCCUGUCUUAAUUUUGUUACAAAUUUAAGUAAGAUAAUCUUAUUUUUAUCUACGUUUUUGUUAUAUCUGUUGUUGUUCUUUUUGUUACUUUUAAGUAUGCUCUGUGUUUGAUCAAGGAUCCUGACAUUGUUGGUCUUGCCUUGAUCAUUCGCAUCAGAAAUCUGUUUAUAUUGUUCUUUUCUUUGUUCUUUUAUACAAUCAGUAUAUAGGCUGGAAACCUAUGACCCGAUCUUUUAAAGAUCAUUCUCAGGUAUAACAACGCCACGUACUGUUUACUAUUUAUCUGUUUACUAUUUAUCUGUUCCUGUUUACUAUUAUAUAUAUAUAUAUUAACACCCGAACAAAACACUUCAAUUCAGAUUCUCGAAUAUAUCAUCAUUCUUAUAAUUUAAUUUAUCACUUUCCCUCAUUUUUCGUAAUCUUAACUUUUAUUAAUAUCAAUAAUAUUACCCGAGGUUUUAUAGUCUCAGUUGACACUGAUUUUCACCAUAAAAAAUGGUCGAUUUUUGUUUUAAUGAGUUUCAUUUGAUGAAGAGAGUUUCAUUGAAUUUUUUUUUUCCCUUGAAAUUGCCAAAAAAUUUAUGGUUUUUGGGCUAUUUUAUUAGUUUAUUACAUCAUAAAGACCAUUUUUAGGUGUUUUGGUGUGAACUUUGCUUAAAUUUGCAUUUUCGGGUCAAAAACACCCUGCUUAAUUUUCUAGUCACCUCUCCAAUGGUCAAGAACAGGAAAGUCUCGGUAGGUGACAUGUCGCUUUUUUUUUCAAAAUUAUUUGGAGCAUUUUCAAAUAAAAAAAGGCCCAUAUGUACCAACCCUUUUUAAAAUGGGCUUGAUGUGUAGGCCUGACUUACUAGGCCCAAAAGCACUUGAUCUAUUUCUAUUUUUUAAAAAAUUUUGUUUUCUUAAUUGAUAUUUUUUUUUAUGUAUUUUUAAUGAAUUUUUGAAUUUAUAUUUAAAUUAAUACUUUUCUCUCUAAAUAUUUAGAUUGUUUAUUUAGUUUUUUUUUUAAAUAUAGGUUAUCUUUUACUUAUCUUUUAUGUAUUUAAUAUCUAGAAAAAAUUAUUUCAAUUCAUCUAUAUGGUUUUUUUAUAUUUUAUAUGAAUAAACUUUAUUUUCAUGGCGUGUUUAUAAAAAUAAGAAUUAUUUGUUCUUGGUAAGAAAAAGUGACCUUUAAGAUAAAAAAAAAAAAAGAAGAAGAAAAGGAGAAAAGUGUGUAUGAAGAGGAAAGUUAAGGUUAAGUAUCAUAUUUAUGUAUCUUUUACUUUUAUGAAAAUGAUUAUCAUUUUAUUUUAUAAUUUGAUUGGCAUUAAGAACUCUUUAUUAGUUUAUUAGUUCAUAUUUUUGUAAGAUUUGUUUUUUACAUUUCUCAAUUAAGAGAAUCGUAAUACAAUGAAAUGCACUUGAAACAUUGUCCUAUUUUUCUACUACAUUAAAAAUUAACUUAAGAUCCUAUAUGUGGCACGAUGCGUUAACAACUAUUUUUUGUAUUUAUAAACACUUAUGGUCCUUACUUUAUUUUUAUUAUAUGUAAACAUCAACUUUUUUAUUCACAAUUAUAAUUUUCUCUUGAUUUUUAAAAAUACAUUAACAACAUUUAUACAUUUUUCUUUUGCGUUCAAAACAUUAUCUGACUCGUAGCAAAAUGAAUUAAAUAAACAUGUCAACACUUUUUUUUUGUAUUUAUGAUUAGGAUUUGUUUUUGUUAAAAAUGCAAUUGAAAAGCAUACAAAUUUAUUUUUUUGCUAAAAACAAUUUUGUGAUCCAUAACAAAGUACGAGUUAAAUAACUACUAAUAUGGCUAUAGUAAGUCUUUUAGUAUAUAUGGAUGUAGGAAGCAAUGUGUUAUAUUAUUAGUUAGAUAUAACUUACCUAUUCAUUAUUAAAAAAACAUAAAAUAAAUAAAUAUAUUAAUAGAAACCUAAAAGAGAUCGGCUGAAAUAUAAUAUUUUUGUCCUUUUUUUAUUUUGUUUCACAUUUCUCAAUUAAGAGAAUCAUGAUAUAAUGAAAUGUAUUUGAAACACCGUCCCAUUUUUCUACUACAUUAAAAAUUAACUUCCUACAUGUGGCGCGUUGCGUUAACAAUUGUUUUUGUAUUUAUUAACAUAUAUGAUCUCAAGUUUAUUUUAUUAUAUGUAAAUAUUAACUUUUUUUAUUCACAAUUAUAUUUUUUCCUCUCGAUAUAAAAAAAAUACAUUAACAACACUUAUACAUCCAUUCUUUUGUGUUGGAAAAUAUUAUUUGACCCAUAGCGAAGCGAGUUAAAUAAACACGUCAAUAUCUUUUUUUGUAUUUGUGAUUAGGGUUUAUUUUUUUUUUGUUAAAAAAAUACAUUUGAAAAGCAUUUAUAUUUAUUUAUUUUGCUAAAAAACAUUUCUUACCUUUAGUAAAGUGUGAGUCAAAUAACUACUAAUAUGGCUAUAGUGAGUGUCUUUUUAUACAGUAUACUUGGAUGUAGGUAGCAAUGUAUUAUAUUAUUAGUUAGAUAUAACUUACCUAUUCAUUAUUAAAAAAAACAUAAAAUAAAUAAAUAUAUUAAUAGAAACCUAAAAGAGAUCGGCUGAAACAACAUAGUCUCCAAGAGGAAAUAUUGUGAAUUCACACAAUGUUUACUUUCUUUUUUUUUUGUCCUUUUUUUUAUUCAGUUAUCUUUGAUGAUGAAUUAAUAAAGAUUUGAGAUGGUUUAAUUUCACAAAAUUUUCUUUUAUUGUUUGUAAGAAAUUGAAAAUGAGAAGAUCAAAAUUAAAAUAAAUAAAAAACCAAAUUUUUUUUUAAAAAAAAUAUGGUGUCAACUUUGCUUUUUAUUUUUUGCUUUUAAUCAUCUAUUUUUUUUAUAUAAAAAAAUAAUCUUUCAAUAUUGUGUUAAUUAUUUAUUUAUAAAAAAUUAAUCUUUCAAUAUUGUGUUAAUUAGAAUUUGAAAUUGGUAAUUUUAUAUGAGCAUCUAGAACUAAAUAAAAAGCCGCACCAUUGGUUUGGUGCUCAACUUUACAAAUAAAAAAAAAAAUCGAUUGUAUUGUUUUAGAAAAAAUAAAAAGAUCAAAACUAAAACACGAAAAAAGAAAAGAAAAAAAGGAGGCCUUAAAAAAACAAAUUGUGUCAGCACCUCCAUGCAUUGUAAUUUUGAUAAAUCUUCUUUUUGGUAAUGAAACUUUUUUAUUCAAAACUUUUUGAUUCAAAACUUUAUUUUACUUGUAUUUUAAUUCUUGAGGAUGAGAAAGAAAAGAGAAAUUCAUCAAAAAAUUACUAAGAAAAGAGAAAAUUAGCGAAAGCCAGCAAGGUAUCUGCUCGAAAAAACAAAUGGGCAAGCAAACAUACGCCCUUACUUCUGGAGGCUUGUGCGAUAAUGGGCAAGCAUCAUUGUUUUUUUGGGGGCUUGUACGAUAAUGACUAAACACACAACAUUACAUUACUUCUAGCUUCUUCAGCAAACACAGAUAGAUAAGUCGAAAUCUUCUGUAUUCCCAUUGCCAAUGAAACAGUUGGAAUUACUUCCCACCAAUCUAAAACAUAUUCGCAGCACCAACCUUGAAAUCAUGUAACAGCUAACCAACCUUGCCUGAUGCAAACAUGAAGAACAAAGACAAUCCAUGAUUUAAUUCAACCAUUAAAAUUUGAAGGUAAAGGAGAGGAUAAAUAAUCUUCAGCUAUAUCACCUGGUUUGGGCAAGAAAGAAUUAUUAGACUACCAAUCAUCACCAUUCUUUCCACCCCUUAUCUCGGGUCCACUCUCUAUAAAUGCUUGAAUCUUCAGCUACUUCAGAUACCUGUAAACCAAUUCAAGCAUGGCAUGCUCAUUUUUACUUGUAAAUCUUAUUAUUGAGCCAAACAAGAAACAAACACACUAAAAGAGAGGCAAGAAAUCAAGUCAAAUCAGCAGCACCUCUGAUUGAGCACUCAUUGAACCAUCUGGUGUACUAGCAAAUUUUGUGGUCAGCUUUGGACAUAGAUGGACCUUCAACUUCUCCAAACGAGGGAAUAAGAAAUAAUCACACCAUCCGAAACUAAAACAGACAAUACUUGAUAAUUGAUGUAUCGACAACUCCUUUAGAUUAGGAAGCACUAUCUCCUUCUCAACGUUGAUAGGUGAAGCUUGACCAUCCUGCCCAGGAGGCUCUGGAAUUAUUUCCUUUUCACCAUCCUCUUCUCUGAUAAUAUGCUUCAAUUGACCGCAUUUACCUAUGUAAAGUCUUUCUAGCUUUGGCAGACUUCGAGCGAGGGACGGUGUGAAUAUAAAUGUCAGUUUGUCCAGAGACCACAAAUCCAGAUAAGCAAGACUUUGGAGGCUGACAUGUCUGGUGGGCCCCUUCCACAUGCAUUUGAGCUCAGGUAAACCUGACAGCCGUAACCCUGUUAAAGAUGACAGAAGCGGCAGCUCCUUCUCCUCCCUACUUCCUUCAUCAGGCUCACCUAAUUCAAAUACCUCUUCCAAUGAUUUGCAGCCGUUAAUGUUCACACUGCUUAGAUUUUUCAAAGCUCGCAGCAAUUUUGCUGGAAACGGAGCGCGAACAUCCCCACAAUCGUCCACUCGUACACGUUCUAAUCUAUGUAAGGAGCCGUUUUGCUCCCCAUGGGCGGCCAUCUGAUCAGAGAACAAUAUUAUAUUUUCUCACUCUCAUAAAAACAAUUUAUAUGAUGUAUAAAUAGGAGAAAAAAACAGGAUUAAAUACUUUUUAGAGAUUACAUAUUAUUGUUUUAGUUUUGUUCUUAAUUAGAGAUAAGUUGAAUAAUAAUUAGAUUUUUGUGAAAAAAAGGUUAAUACAACUCCUAAUAAUUAGUUUCAUGUAAAAACAAAAACAAAAAUAAAAAUAGUAACUAAUAUUUUUAUUUUAGUUAUAAAGUUAAUAAAUUUUAAAAGAUAUUUUAAUUGACUUCAAAAUUUUCAACACAAAAUUUAUGCUCUUAUAUAUUAAUAAUUUAUUUGUGAAGUUAUUUGAUGUACUUUUGUAUAAAAAACAUUUUUUAUUACGUGCAAAGUUGUUUAAGUGGACAAACUUGUCUAAUUUUUAUCCAGAUAGAUUACCUCCAAAGUAGUCAAUUUGCUCAGCAGAAGACCCCUCAAGUCAGGCACGGAUUCCAAGCGUAAUUCUUUCAAAUUUGUGAACCCCUGCAUCAAAAGAAAUUUUGUGCACUUUUGAACUAUAUAAUUUUGGUAAAUAGAUGAACGAAUUGUCCAUAUAAAACUUCAGCAAAAAAACUUAUCAACAAAAGGAUAGAAGUAGACAUGGCAACAAGGCAUGGGAAUAUGAAAUCAGAAGUUGCAGAUGGAGGUUUAUCUUCCUCUUCAAAUACUUCUAUUAAUUGGGGGAAGAGCCUCAAUAUCACUUAAACUGGGAAAGCAUAAAGAUUGAAAAAUCAAGGUAGGAUUUCAUUACAAUAAUUAAUUUCUUACUUCUUAAGCCCUGCAUCAAGAGACAAGGAAUGAUAAAGUUAGACAACUCCUUUUAAAUUUAGUGAAUGGCUAAAGGAUUUAUCUCCACUUAUCAAUUACUUCAGUUUCAGAAAUUUGGAGGAGAAAUCAACCUGUAUUGAAGUUGACAAUUUAAAUUAAGAAGAAAAAAAAAUUAUAGGAGAAAUAUAAAGGACGUACUUGGAGCUGUGCAAACAAAUUUCCCAAUUCUUUGUGGCCAUUGAUUUUUAGAAAUCGCAAAGAAGGCAAUUGGGCAGCAAGAUUCGUUGGACCAAAAAAGCUGUAAUUUGAUAUGGAAGAAAGAACCAAGUCACUUAAUCGAGGGAACUUGAUGAUGCCAUCUGUGGUGAGUGCGUCUCCUUCUCCACUGUAAAAUAUUUGCUUUAAAUUGUCAGUACGAUCAAUCGUCAUCAAUUCCAGGUUCGGAAGGCUCGGAGACACAGAGACAGGGAAGACAUAUUCCAGUUUACCACAGUCUUUUAUGAAGAUAGUUUUUAAUCUUGGGAAGCAAGGAGACUCUGGAAUUAUUUCCCUUUCACCAUCCUCUUCUCUGAUAAUAUACUUCAAUUCACCGCAUUCACUUAUCUCAAGUGUUUCUAGCUUUGGCAGACUUCGAGCGAGAGACGGUGUGAGGAUAAAUGUCAGUUUGUCGAGAGAAUUCAAAUACAGAUAAGCAAGACUUUGGAGGCUGACAUGUCUGGUGGGCCCCUUCCAAAUGCAUUUGAGCUCAGGUAACCCUGACAGCAGUAACUCUGUUAAAGAUGACAGCAGCUCCUUCUCCUCACUGCUUCCUUCAUCAGACUCACCUAAUUCAAAUACCUCUUCCAAUGAUUUGCAGCCGUUAAUGUUCACACUGCUUAGAUUUUUCACAGCUCGCAGCAAUUUUGCUGGAAACGGAGUGCGAACAUCCCCACAAUCGUCCACUGCUACAGAUUUUAAUCUUUGUAAGAAGCCGUUUUGCUGCACAUGGACGGCCAUCUUAUCAGAGAACAAUAUUAUAUUUUUUCACUCUCAUGAAAACAAUUUAUAUGAUGUAUAAAUAGGAGAAAAAAAAAAGAAAAAACAGGAUUAAAUACUUCUUAGAGAUUACAUAUUAUUGUUUCAGUUUUUUUUUUCUUAAUUGGAGAUAAGUUGAAUAAUAAUUAGAUUUUUGCGAAAAAAGGGUUAAUACAACUCCUAAUAUAAUAUAAAUUACGUAAACCAUGAGGCAGUUAAAUCUAACAGAAAAUAUAUUUCAAAUGAGGCAGUUAAAUCUAACAGAUAAUAUGUUCUUCCAUAUGAUUAAUUUUUAAUAACGUAGACAACAAUGAGGCAGUUAAGUUUCUUAUAUUUAUAUAUGUUUAGAUAAAAAUAAAAAUAAAAAUGAGCAUUUAUCAAUUACUUUACUUUUAGAAAUUGGGAGGAAGAAAGAAUAAAUUAUCGCAAUUGACAAUUUAAAUUAAGUGGAGAAAUAUAAAUUACGUACUUGUAGCUGUGCCAACCAAUUACCCACUUCUUCGUGGCCUUCAAUGUUUAGUUUCUGCAAAGAAGGCAAUUGAAAAUCAAAAUUCCUUGGACCUAUAAAGCCGUAAUUUGAUCGGAGCCCAAGAGACAAUUGUCUUAGUUGAGGGAACUUGAUGAUGCCAUCUGUGGUGAGUGCAUCUCCUUCUCCACUGUAAAAUAUUUGCUUUAAAUUGUCAGCAUAAUAAAUCGACAUCUGUUCCAGGUUCGGAAGGCUUGGAGACAUGGAGACAUGGAGACAGGGAAGACAUAUUCCAGUUUACCACACCGUUGUAUGAAGAUAUUUUUUAAUUGUGGGAAGCAAGGAGACUCUGGAAUUAUUUCCCUUUCACCAUCCUCUUCUCUGAUAAUAUGCUUCAAUUCACCGCAUGCUGUUAUGUUAAGUGUUUGCAGUUGUGGUAGACUUUGAGCGAGGGACGGUGUGAAGAUAAAUGCCAGUUUGUCCAGAUACCCCAACUCCAGAAAAUUAAGACUUUGGAGGCUGACAUGUCUGGUGGGCCCCUUCCAUAUGCAUUUGAGCUCAGGUAACACUAACAGCCGUAACUUGGUUAAAGGUGACAGUAGCGGCAGCUCCUUCUCCUUACUGCUUCCUUCAUCAGCCUCACCCAAUUCAAAUACCUCUUCCAAUGAUUCACAGUUGUCAAUAAACACCUCCUUCAGAUUUUUUAAACCUUGCCGCAAUCUUGCUGGAAACAGAGUGAAAACAUCCCCACAAUCCCUCACUACUACAGAUUCUAAUUUAUGUAAAAACAAUUGCUCAAAUGUCUUCGCAUUUAAGGAUGUACCAGCCCAAUAAAAUCUUGUCGAGGUUGAUGAAUAAUACUCAUAGCCUAAAGCAUUCCCUAAUGUUAUAUCAUAUUUGCGCAAGCUAACUGGAAAAACAAAAUCUCUGGGAAUGCGUUCAACCUUCGGUAUCCUCAAUGAUAAUACGGCUAACUGAGACAACGAAUUUAGUUCUGUUAGGUUUGCAUUCAUUCCACCUGUGCUGUCACAUCCAACGACAUCCCAUCCCUGAAAGCUGUAUUGCCCAAUCAACAGCUCUUCUAAUUUCUUCAACCUUCCAAUCAAAUUCACAGGGAUCCUUCUUAGCCUUUGACAACCUGUCACAUCCAACAACCUUAACUCCUUGAGCUCUCCUAUUUCAUCAGGUAAUUCUUCAAUGGAUAAGCACGACAUAAGACCAAGAAUCUUAAGUCUCUGCAGCUUUCUCAACCAAAUGAGGUCCUUGCAUCCACACCUAAUCAACACCAACGAUUGAAGUUUCGUUGAGAGUUCAAGUGAUUGCAGCGACAAACGCCCUCCCUCCAGAGACAAAACUUCAAUUUCUUUCAUCCCUUCAAAAAACCUCUCUGGAACAUUCAUACCAUCUUCCAGUUCUAAUAAUAGAACUUUGAGCUGUGGACAUACCAAUCCUUCAGGAAGUUCUGCUAGUUUAUUGCCCAUUAACGAAAUUGUUGUACAACCUUCAAAGCUUUUGUUUCUCAUUGGCCACUUCUCCAACCCAAUGCCAGCCUUUACGAUGAAUCCAUAUUCUUCUGAUGAUGCUAUCUGAAUAGCAAAGUCACGAACCAAGUCAUGCAUUCUCACAUGUUCUUCAGUUUCAGUGCCCAACAGCAUGCAACAAUCUUUGAGGUUUUCGAUGGCCACAGAAACUCGUUUCCUUGCAUCUUCAAUGGGCUCCGCAUCUUGAUGUAACCCAUAGCCAACUGCAUAUCUCGUCAAGUCCUCGAUUGGAAUGUCAUAAUCUUCUGGAAAUAAACAGCAUAGCACGAAACAUGACUUGGUUUCCUCGUACUUCAAAUAAUCAUAGCUCAACUUAAGACAUGUGUAAGCAUUAUUUUGUUCAUCAAUUUGUUCCAUGCGCACAAAGUGAGAUUCUUUGAGCUGUUUAGACGCUACUUCCCACUGAACUCGUGAUUUACCUCUUAGAGCCCUUCCCACUGUCACAAGUGCUAUAGGCAAGCCUUGGCAUUCUCUCGCAACCUCCCUUGCCACUGUGUUCAAGGUAGAGUCCCCAUCACGUAAACCUGCAUUGAUUCUGAAUAAAUCCGAUGCUUCAUCUUCAGGUAAGACUCUUAAAAGCACUUUUUGCUGGCACUCCAUAGAAAAACAUAUGCCUUGAACACGUGUUGUUAGAAGAAUUUUACAACCCCUGUGAUCAUCACCAAAUGGGAUCCCUAUCUCUUCCAAGUCAAUAUGUUUCCAAACAUCAUCUAGGAUUAUAAGCAUCUUCUUUCCCUGCAGUCUCUGCCAUAAUUCACUUGCUCUACCUUCUUUACUCGUUUUUUCAAAUUUCAGAUGUAAACUAUCUGCCAUUCGAUCCUGGAUGCCUAUGAAAUUUGGAUUCUGGGACACCGUAGCCAUCAAAACGUCAGGAAAAAGCUGCGACUCUUUGGCUCUCCUGCCUACUUCUUUCACCAGGGUUGUUUUACCCACCCCUCCCAUGCCGUACAGUCCGAUCAUAUUGACGGUGUCAUCUUUGAGAGCUUUCAUGAUCUGUUCCAAAGCUUCUUUUGACGAUUCUGAGGGCGUGAAUUCCUUUGAUGUUAGAAAUUCUAUGGGCUGAGGAGGAGCUUUUUGGGCCACUAUUUUAAACUUUGUGCUAUUUUCUAGAAUUUUUCUGAAAGUCUCCGACUUCUUGGCCAGUGCCUUGCUUAACUUGAAUUGUCGCAUGCAGUUUGGGCACCAAGUAAAGCAUUUGCCGUUUUUUCCUAUUUCAUUUUCCAAGGGCUUCGCACCUUCAAUUUGGUUGUUUGCAUCUUCCAGCCACUUUUUGACAUCUUUGUAAGUUUUUUCAGCAUUCCUUUCAGCAGCUUCGACAUCGUCUUGCAGACGUUCUUUUGCCGAAACCAGGUUCUCCUUUUGUUCUUUGAAUUCUUGAGCAAAAUUGUUGAAACAGAACAUGUAACGGAACUGCCUUCCUACUGGUUCCACCAUGAGUUCUGCUAGCAUAGCUAUAAUGGAUCCACCAGCACUUUCGAGAGCCAUUUUCCACAGGUCUGAAAAUCAAAGAAAUAAGGAUACAGAACGUGAGAGUGAUCACUACAAGUAAAACAGUCGCAGAGAGAAUGGGAAUAGGAAUUUCAUUACCUUAAUUUGGGAAAAUAUGUGCGAAAAGCACUGGUACUGAGUGCUCAAUGAAAUAGCGGGAGGAAGAAAAGGAGAAGUCCUUUAGCUCUGUAUGGAAUCCAGCUUCAAAAGCAACAAUAAAAUAGUUUAGAUGGAUUCUAACUGACUCUUGUGAGUUAAAGCAGUAGUUCCCAUUAAAAAUGCAUUUUGAUGACAUAAUUAAGAUCAUAUAGAGACAGUGACAAACCAAAAAGAAAGAAACGAGUGAAAGGUCCAGGAUAAUCUAAGCUAUGAUCGGUCAAGGUUUUUUUUUGUUUUAUUCUUUUUUAAAAUAAAAAAAAAAAAACAGGAAAAGACUUGCAAAGAAAUAGAAUUACUGGAAUGAACACAAUAAAGGAUGAAACUCAAGCAAUUAAAAAUAAAUUAUCUAUGAUGAUCAUCUCUGUGUCACACUCAAUGAGGUAAUAUGAUUGGCCUAUUACAAUAUUAAAUAAAUAAAUAAAAAAGCUAAAAGAACUAGGUUUUUGGUGGCAUCUAGAUUGCGGUUACUUUCUUCAUCCUUCUUUUGUGGUUUUAUUUUAUUUCAGUCCUUCAAAUCUUUUUCUUUUUCUAUUUCAUCGAGUUGCUUUUGAGUUGAUGUGCUUGCCCUAGAAUAUGCAUUAUGCUAGGGAUUACAGUUACAUUACAUAAGAAAUUAUAAUUACAGAUUAUAAUUAACAAUUUCAGUUUUUUUUUAAAAAUAAAUUUAUGAGAAAGGACCCAACGUGAGUAAAUUAAAGGAGAAUUUUAAAUCUCAAGGAUUUACAUGAAAGUGUUUUUUUAGAUGUAAAACAUUUUCCAGAAAUUAUGAAAAAUUUAGAAAUAUGAUAUUAUUUAUUGAUUAUAACAAAUUUAGUCCUAAAAAAUUUAAUUGCUAUAUAUUUUGUUUAGAAUAUUUUUUUUUCAAUUUCACCCCUUAGAAUUUGAUUUUUAUACUAAAUUUGGUUCUCAUUUUAUGAUUGUUAUUUGCUUUUUUCUUUUUAUUUUUUUAAUUGAAAUUUUUUAUUUAUCAAAUUUGAUCCUCAUUAUUUUGAUUGUUACUUAUUCUAUUUGAAAUAAUUUAUGAAAUUAUAAUUAUUUUAAUUUCAUCAUCUUUUAAUUUUUUUUAUCUUUAGAUUUGAUUUUUAAAAGGCUUUUCAAAAAAAAAAAAACAGAGAGGAAAGGUACGGUUGAAAUAAGAUAGGGACGUGGAAAUAGAGGGAGAGGUUGUUGGAGGCAGAAAAGGAAAGACUACGAUAGUAUUUUUCUCUAUAUUUUGAGUUUUAGUUGUUAACAGCCAUGCUCGUUUGAUUUUAUUUUAUUUUAUUUUUAUUUAUUUUCUACAUGCUCUUGCAAAUAAGGCAGGAAAGGAGGACCUGAAAUCACGGCAGCAAAUAAGGAGGGUAAUAGCGUGUUUGUUUUUUAUUUUUUAAAUUAUUUUUUUAUAAAAUAAUGUUUUGUAUUCUAAAUUAAUUUUUUUUUAUUUUUAUAUUGAUAUUAAAAAUAAUUUUUUAAAAAUAAACAAAUAUUAUUUUAAUAUAUUUUUAAAAUAAAAAAAUAUUUUAAAAAACAACUAGUUAUUCAAACACUUAAAAUGAAAAUCUUAAAAUCACAGCAUGAUAAAAGGGGAAAGAAAGGAAUGGGAUAAAGAAGGAAGAAAGCCAGUCUUGUAGAAAAUAGAAGAUGAAAAUUAGUAUGAAAAGGAGGCUAUUUGUUUUUGUAGUGUUAGAGUGGUUUUUAUAAUUAUAUUUAAUUUAUAAAAAUAUUUAAUUAAUAUAUUUUUUAAUAUUUCUUGUUAUUUUAUAUAUAUAUAUAUAUAAUAUUUUAAUAUGUUUUUAAAUAAAAAAUUAUUCAAAAAAAUAUGUGUCACAAUACUAAAUUAUAGUAUAUAUUAAAAGAUAAAAGAGUUUUCUGUUCAUUAUUAUUUACCGAGACUUAUUUUAUUGUGGAUGUGGAUGUUAAUAGUGAAUUUUUUUAAAAAAAUUUCAAUUUUGUAUUUGGAUUUUUUUUUUUUUUUACAUAAUUGAAUCUCUUUAUGCCAAAAUUAAAACUCAAUUGUAUUUUUUUUUAAGGAUAAGAGUUGAAUUGAAAGAUAGAUAACUGAAAUGAAAAACUCGAUAAAAAUAUAUAGUGACACUGUAAUUGUUUGCAAAGUUCAUUUUAGUUCCUUAUCUUUUUGAGCUACUAAGUAACAUGUCCCUAUAAUUUCUCAACAUUACAUUUUAUACAGAAUCUCGGAUUAUGCUCUUGGAACUAAACUGAAAUUUUCACAAAUUGAAGGACCAAACUGAAAUUUUAUGAUCUUCAACCUCAAACCCAGAAUUUUCAAAGAUCACCUAUUGAUAUCAAGAUUUCUAACUCAAAUUCAUUAUUAAAACAAACCAUAACUCAAAAUCAUUAUUUUUACUUAAAAUCUUUCAAAAUCAACUAUAUAACUCAUUAUCAAUAACAAUCAACACAUAAUAUUCAAAUUAAUUCAUCAAUCAAACCCAAAACACAAUCUUCAAAACUCUAAUAUUCAACAAAAUAGAAAAUUAAAGCUAAGGAAAACACAUUUAUACACUUCAAAGCGUAACUCUUACAUUUUAACUUAUUUUCUCCAACUCUCUUCUCCUUUCUUUAUCUUUUCCUCUUUUUCUCUUUUUCUUUUUUCACUCUCACGGUUUUCUCUCUAAGAAUUGAGAGCUUUUUAUUUUUUUUUAUUUAUAUUUAUCAAUUAUUUGUUCAAUUACUACCGUUCAUUUAUUUAUACCUCCUUGCCUCCAAGAAUUUUGUAGCCUUUUUCUAUUCUCUUUUAUUUUCAAAAGAUCACAAUAAAAUUGUAUUCUUUUUAUUAAGCUGUUAAUUUAUGCAGCUUUAGCUCUUGUUCUCUUUUCAUGUUUGGCAACUCUGAUCUGAUCCAUUUCUUUGCAUGAUAUAUAAGAGCAGGUUCUUACCUCUUGAAGUCUGCUGGAUAAACCUAUCAGCAGAAGAUCAUGAACCGAUCCCAAAUCACAGCUUCAAUCCCCACCACAACCAAUCUCCUCUUUCCCGUAGUCUUCCGUCCUCAAUUGGGAAAUGAUCCAAAAUCAACAACCGGUGCGGAGAUAGUUUGAGUGAAAAGAAACGGCUGAAAGAUGAAAUGUGAAGGUUAUGGUGAGAAAUUGGAUGACAAACUUACUUUGUCCUACUAAUGCUUUUGCUUUCAUUGUUUCAAAAAGUAAAAGAGACAUAAGCAUAAUCAUAAGAAUCCUGUUUUUUCUAUUUUUUUCUCCUAUUUAUACAUCAAAAAAUGGCAGUUUUUCUUUUCCUUUCUUUUUAAAAUCUUAUGCCUUUGGGUGAGGAAAGUAGUGGAGCAUUAGACUUUUUAAAAGACAACAAAAAGAAGCAAUGUCUCAUCUUUUGAUAUGGUGGUACAAGAUACACCAUGGUAUGGUGGUCCUGCAAUAUUAGUUUGUUGAUGAAGAUAUCGAAAGAUUCCAGUCUCCGUUCUAGCUAAUGUUGGAUGCAAGGCUGAAGUUAAGAUUAUUUUAGAAUAUUUUUUUAAUCGGUGGUUUGUGUGGAGUAAUUUACGAUAAUUUAAUCUUUAAAAAAAAUUAGAUUUUUAAUUAAUAAAUUUUUAAGUAACUAUAAAUUUAUUUAAUGAGAUCUUCAGUAAUAAUUCUAGUUGGUUAGGCAAUAUAAACAGUUUUCACAAAGAUUCUACUACUGAUGUGUCCAUAUUACACAGGAACAGAAUGCUAGAGAAUAACUUUCUUUUUACAAAAAAAAAAAAAAAAGGUCGAGAAUUUUCCUUAAAGCAGACACCCAUGAAGAAGAGAUAGUUGCCUUAGCCAAGCUUCUCACUUUACAAAAUUGUAUCGUAGUAGUUUGCACCCACUAGGAAGUCCAGAAUAGGAAAAGAAAAACGGACGCUUAGCGGACCCACAAAAGUUUAAAACACUUGCAUUUCUUUUUUAUUUUCAAAUUAACAUGGUAAAUUUUGUAUGUUUAAAAAUAUCGUAAUGAAAAACACAGCAUUCGAAAAAAAACACAAUUGAAAUAAAUCUAGAUUAUCCUUCUAUUGUGUAUCAAAUUUAUGAUUUUUAAUGGUCAGGGAUUUUAAAUCCAGUUUGGUGUACGACCCGAUCCAAUAAAUUCGAGUCACGAGUUUUGAUCGGGUCACCCGAGUCAACUUUUUUUUUUAUAUAUAUAAAUCAAAAUAAUAUCGUUUUUUAUUAAAAAAAAUAGUCAACAUGUUACAAUUAGAUUUUUUACCGAUUCUUUCCAGGUCAACCGGAUUACCAAGUCACUUGACUUUUUAUUUUUUUUUAUUUUUUUUAAACCCGACUUGAUUCCAAUCCUGAAUCUAACCUGUAAGGUCAGACCAGGUUUUAAAAAUAUGCUAUUUGACUGAAAAGGAUGUUACACCCCCAUGUUUUUUUGGUGAAGAAUUGCAUGACGUAGUGUCAGAGUAUUGUGAUAUUGUGUUAUAAACAGAAGUUUUCUGGUUUUGGUUUAACCCACAAUUAGAUAAAACAAAGUAUUUUCUGGGAGCUUCCUUAUUGGAAGAUCAAUCUGCUCCACCAUAACCUUGAUGUCAUGCACAUAGAAAAAAAAAACAUGUUUGAAAACAUUUUUAACGGUCAUGAACGUGAAGGGAAAGACAAAGAACAAUAUCAUGGCUAGAAUGGAUAUAAUAUUUUUUUGUAACCGUAAAAAUAUGGAGUUGGUUUUUGAUGGGUCACGGGUCACAAAGUCCAGAGCAAGCUUCGUCUUAGAGAAGAAUACACAACUACUAGUCUACCUAUAGCUUAAAAGCCUGUGUUUUCCCGAUGGACAUGCCUCGAACAUAUUAAGGUUGGUUAAUCUAGAGAAAUUCAGAUUGUAUGGAAUGAAGAGCCAUGAUUGCCACGUGUUUUUGCAAACACUCAUUCCAUUAGCUUAUCUUGAUUUAUUGCCAAAGGACAUAUGUGAUACACUCAUGGAGAUCAGUCAUUUCUUUAGAGAUAUGUGCUCCAGCAAGUUGUAGACACAUCACAUUGAGAAGCUUGAAACAAAUAUCAUUGAGACAAUAUGCAAACUUGAGAUAAUAUUUCCUCUAUUGUUUUUUUGACUUGAUUGAGCAUCUACCAAUACAUUUACCGUAUAAGGCAAAAGUUGGAGGCCCAGUCCAAAAUAGAUGGAUGUAUCCAUUCGAGAGGUUAGAUAUUAGAGAUGCAAUGCAAGUAUUAAUGUAUUUUCAUUGUUUUUCUUAAUUGAAAAUGUUUGUUUAAUUUGAUGUAGGUACUUGUUCAAUUAAAAAAAAAAAGAAGUUAAGAAUAAGGUGCAUGUUGAGGCUUCGAUAUGUGUGGCCUAUAUUGUUGAGGAGAUCUCAACAUUUAUAUUAUACUAUUUCGAGCCUCAUCCGGGAACGAAAAUCAACCGCGUUCCACAGCAUGAUGAUGGUGGUCAAGUGCCUUCAAGUUCGAACUUGUCAAUAUUCUCCAAUCCUGGAUGACCCACAUCUAAAAAUGUUGUAAGGGGAACAUAUUUGUCUAAAAUAGAAUUCAAACAAGCACAUAAUUAUGUGUUAUUUAACUGCAAUGAACUGAGACUUUUUAUUUAUUUAGUAUAUAUACUACUUAAACUUUGUUGUAAAUGGACUAUUUAUCUAUUGUAAUAUCACAAAUUUGUACAUUUUUGAAAACCUCGUAGGCAAUGUUGACAAUAUUUACUAACUCACAACUGACGGAAUCCCUUCAAUUACAAGAUGAACAAUUUUCCAGGUGGUUCAGAACAUAUGUAAGUACUAUGACAAACUCAUCAUGUAUCAUUGUACUUAAUUUCAUUACAGAAUUCUCAUUUACUGUUCAUUGUUGUAGUUUGUUGCUACCCAAUUUUGACCCAUGUUUUUGAUAAAUUUUCAAAAAAAAGCAAAAAAACAAUGAAAACCCCAAAAAAUGCAUUUUUGAUAUGUUUGCAUCGUUUUUAGCAUUUUCAAUGUCAUCUCAGAAGAAUUUAAAUUUUCAAAGGUAUUUUGAACACGUUCAACUUUUAAUGUGUUAAUUUUACAAUCACUGAUUUUUCUUGUUGGGUCAACAUUGAUAUUGCUUGCUUUCAAAAAUACAAAAAAAAAUAAUUCAAAAUUGACAAAAAAUAAAGAAGUUGAGGGACCAAUGUGUUUUGGGGACCAAGCCACUUUGCCUAUAAAUAGAGGUCACAACACACGCAAAAGGAGGAGAAAAAUUUUACAGGGGAACAAUUUUAAGACAGAGAAAUUUAGGGCAACAAAAAAUAAACCUAAACCUAAAUUAUUUCUCCCAAGCCAGCCGACUGCCUCCCUCCCUUUGCAAAAAAGGUCGGCCGCCGCUUCCCCCAGUUUUGGUUCCCUUUGGCUCCUUCUUAAACCUUCAGCCCCUCCAUCACUAGGGUUCCCAUUUCCACGAUCUCCCCUAAGCUGGCCCCUGACCCAUUUCCGGGCAUUGCCAGCAGUGGCGCUGCAUGGAGCAAAUGCGCCGUCAUUAUUCUGGCAGAUUCCAGAAGGCUUUCCACUGAUCUUGUAGUUUCUGGGGGCUUAUUUUGUAAUUUUUGAAUUGUAUUUGAUACAUUUAAAAUUUUUGUUAUUUUGAAACAUGUCAAAAUGAUGUGUGAGUUGAGCAUAAUAAAAAAAAGUGAUGUUAGUGUGUGUGUUUGUGUUUUUUUUAUGUAUGUUUUCUUUUAAUGUUAAAAUUAAAAAAAAAGGUGAAAAUGUGAUGUUAGUGUGUGUGUGUGUGUUUGUAUUUUCUUUUAUGUAUGUUUUCUUUUAAUGUUAAAAUAAAAAAGACAAAAAUAUUAAAAAGAAGAAAAAAGAAUUAAGUGUUUAAUUUGUAUAUGGUCAAGUAUUUUAAGGACAAAUAAAAUCAUGUUGUACUUAUUUUGAUUAUUUUAAGGACAAGUAUUUUUUAAUUUUUUUAUAUGCUAGAUUUGAUUUUUAUUAUUUUUAUUUUUAUUUAUUUUAUUUAAAAUAAUUUAUAAAAUUAAAUUUCUUUUUUAAUUUCAUUAUCUUUAUUUUUUAUUUUUAUAAUAAACUUGAACAGAAAAACUCAAAUAUUAAUAAGUUAUUUUUCAAUUUAUUUUUUAUGACAUGAACAAACAUUUGAAAUUAUUUUUUAACAUAUUUUUUAAUUUAUUUUUCUUAACACUAUUAAAUAUAAAUAAAUAACUUACUUUGUAAGAAUUUAUUUUCUAUAAAAACUACCUUUUAAAAGAAACUACUUUAAAUAAACGGGGCUCAAAUCUCACUCUCAUGGCUUUAUUUUUCAAGUUUUAAGAGAUAGAUAGACCUUCAUAACCGCAUGUGGUUAUUUAUCAUGAUAUUACCUUCUUCUGGAGUUAGGACAUGAUGAAAAUAGGCAAACAGAACCUAAUAAUUUAGUCAUUCUCAAUGUUUUGGAAGAUUUUUGCGAAAGAAAAAUUAUUACAAAUUUCCCUAGUCAUGAUCAUAUCCAUGACAUCUGACAAAAUUAUUAUAAACAGAAUUUUUUUUUGCAAACAUUUAGAAAAAAGAGUUUAUUAUUUGGUGAAAAACAACUAGUCAUCACCCAAAGAAACCGAGUGAAUGAGAAAAAAAGACAAAUAGCUAGAAAACAAUCAACAGAUCCAAGAACUUUCUGUAUGGUUUCCAAGAAAAUAAAAAGAAACGAGCAGCACAUGUUUUGAGUCUAGUGUAUUAACCUAGAAGGAUUAAAAUCAAUAAUUUCUUCUAAAUGAUCAAAACAUGUUGUUUUGAAAAGACCAAAAAUAUCAAUUAGAAAUCUUAUCAAGUUUUGACUAGAUUACAAAUCAAUUCAUCAUCAAAUCAAUCGGGUCAACCUAUAUUAAUGUUGGGUUAACUUUUUUUUUAUACCCAACCCGAGCAAGCUGACGGAUUGUUCAAGUCAAGUUUAAUAACAAUGUUUUCAUCUAUUUAACUAACCCUUUUAAUCUAUAUAUUUGCGUUGAUGUAUUUUUUUUCAUUCCACAGUAAAAGAAAAUCUCUUGAUUUCUCAUGAACAAUCUUAAAACUGUUCUUCAAGAUUCUGAAGGAAAAGACAUUAAAGAAGCUUCUUAUGACAUGCAGUUUCAACGAAAACUCCUUCACGCUAUUUUCCAAGAUACUUCUACCCACUAGAAACCUGGAAAAACUUAAAUAAUAUCAGCAAAAGUUUUGUUGUCAAUGAACAUGGCAGUAACAGGUUGGGAAUGUGUCAGCAUGCGAAGUGCCAAAGGGUAAAAGUAUUAUUAAAGAGGCGUGACACAAACGAAGCUACCCCUUACCUACUCCUGGGAAGGAAUAUAUGUCAGACUAUACAGCUUUUUCAAUUCAUUAAUGUCGUUCUCUGUUUGUCUUCUAAAACCUACUCCCAUCAUAUACAUGUAUUAUAUUCUUAAAAUUGCUCUAUGGGAUUGCAGGUCAUGCUCGUUUGAUUGCUUUUUUUUAUAUUCUUUUCAUGCCUUGCAAAUAAGGCAGGGAAGGAGGACCUGAAAUCACGGCAGCGAAUAAGGAGAGAAAUAGCCCGUUUGUCUUUGCUUCUUUCUUUUAGUAUUUUUGAAAAAUAUUAAUUUUUUUACUUUAAAUUAUUUUUUUAUAUUUUCAUAUUAUAUUGAUAUAUUUCUAAAUAAAAAAAUAUUUUAAAAAACAACCGCUAACACACUCUUUUUAAAGCUAUUAAGUAACCAGUCCCUAUAAUUUUUCAACAUUGCAUUUUGGUACCAUCCAUUUUUUUCUUGUGUUCAUACUUAAAACCUUCUUAAAGGAUUCUUAUUAAUAGCUUUAAAACCUCUCUCUCAAGAUUAAAAGGUUAGAAAUAACUUUAUGCUCUCUAAAUCUAACAAAACCACCAAGUACCCUUAAAAUCAAAACCAUCAGUUUAGUACAAGAACUUUUAGCUGUUAGCUUUUAUCCAGAACCUUUUACUUUGAUCAAAUGGUUAAACUUUCAUUAAUUUUUGAGGGAAUCCACAAAAAAACCUAGAAAAACCUAUAAAUACUCUUGAAAAUUAGAGCUGGAGAGGAGGAGAAAAUGAGAGAAAAAGAGAGGAAAAACGUGAGUAAAUAAUUUGUUAAUAGACUCUAUUACGAAGAUUCAAGAGCCUAAUAUAAAAGGUCUAACCAGCUUAAAAAAAAAAAAAAAAAAAGGAAAAGAAGGAAGGAAAAGAGAAGAAGAAAAUAACAACGUAAUUUUGAACUAAAAAGGCCUAAUUUCAGUGAAAGUUAAGAGCAUUAGAGACUAGACCGUGCUUAUACCGAAAGCGACUCUCAUCGUUGAAGGAAUGCAAACGGUUGUUAACGAGACACUUAUGUCGUUCCAACAUUCAAAGGUUGUUGAAUCUAGUACUGGUGCUCAUUCUGGAUCUAGUACCAAAAGGAGAAUAUAGAAAGAGAUAGUAGUGAAUUAAUUAUCUUUCAUUCAGUAGUAGGAUAAAAUUUAAUUAUCCUAAUACAAGACUUAAUACAAUUUCAUAGUUGUGGAACACUAACUAGAUAUAAAGAAAAAGUACAAAUUACAACAAAAAAUACAGGUUUUGAAGGUUGAUGACUCUCUCGACCAACUACGGUUUCAAAUACGAUGUGCACUAAGACUAACACUACUCUGUUAGCAUGAGCAUUCUAGCUGGCAUACCAUAAGUUCAUAUCAUAAUCAAACAAACAAAUUCAUAUCUCAAGGCCCAACUCAUGACAUUAAUAAAAUAAGAAGCUAUCAAUUCAGAAGUCAAUUUAGAAGUAUAUAUUGGCUUAUAUCAAUAAUUCAGAUUCAAUAAUUGAUUAUGUUUUAUCAUAACAAAGAUAAUAAUCAACAUAUAUAUUAUCAAGAAGCACAAUCCAAUUCAUAUUAACAACUCAAAUAUUUAUAUUAUUUCUCAUGCAUAUGAAAUUGACUUAAAAGUGAACAGAACUCAAAAGCAAAUACCGAAGAAAAUCUUACUGAUAUUCCGCAUGUAGAAUAUCAAGAUUAUCUAAAUACAAAGGAGACAUAUUAUAAAAUGACUCGAAAAGAACAUACAACCUAUUUAAUACACUUAAUUAAGGGUCUAUUUCAUAACCCUAUAUAUUUUUUUUUAACUAAACUAGUUAUUUUUCCCAAAAACCAAAAAAGUAAACGGUUUUCCGGAAAUCUAAUUCAUAAUAAAAAAAAUAAUGAGACUUGAUAAUAAUUCACUAAAUAACCAUCAAUUAUUUAUCAAAACAAUAUGAAAAAGCUAAUAUUAAAGCUAAGGACCAAUCUGGAAUUUUAUCAUAUUUUUAGGGGUCAAAUUAUAAUUUUAUCAAAUUGGAAGACCAAACUAAAAAUAUCAUAAAUUCAUGACUAUACUGGAAUUCUGCCCAUAAUUCAUCCUCAAUUCUGCCCAGAAUCUCAAAUUAUGCUCCAGGGACCACUAUAGAAUUUUAUCAAAUUUUUAGGGUCAAGUUGUAAUUUCAUCAAAUUGGAGGACCAAAGUGAAAAUGUCAUAAAUUCAUAACUAUACUGGAAUUCUACCCAUAAUUUAUCUUUGAUUCUGUCCAGAAUCUCGGAUUAUACUCCAGGGACCAAUCUCUAUUUUUUCCAAAGUUCAGAGACUAAAUUGUAAUUUUCACAAAUUGAGGGACCAAGCUGAAAUUUCAUAAUCUUCAACCUCAAACCAGAAUUUACAUAGAUAACCUACUGAUAUAUCAAGAUUUCUAACUCAAAUUCACCAUUUAAAUAAACCAUAACUCAAAAUCAUCAUUUUUACCUAAAAUCUUUCAAAAUCAACUAAAUAACUCAUUACCCAUAACACUCAACCCAUAAUUUUUUUGUAAUGUAAUUGUAAUUCCUAGCAUAAUGCAUAUUCGAGGGCAAGCACAACUACUCAAGAGCAAAGAAACUUGAUGAAAUAGCAAAAGAAAAAGACUUGAAGGACUGAAAUAAAAUAAAACCAAAAAAGAGGGAUGAAAAAAGUAACCGCAUUCUGGUUGCCAUAAAAAACAUAGUUCUUUUAGUAUUUUUUUUUAAAAUAUUGUAAUAGGUCAAUCAUAUUACCCGAGUGUGUGACACAGAGAUGAUCAACAUAGAAAAUUACUUUUAAUUGCUUCAACUUUCCUCGUCUAAAUAAAAGAUUAAGAGUUUUCAUGAUUGGGAGGAUGUUAUAUAUUUUGGGUUUUGAUGGUGAUUGUGAAGGAUUUGUGAGAUGAAUUAUAGUUUGGAAGUAAAAAUUAGUGACUUAUGAAGCAUAUAGAGAAGAUGAGAAGUAUUAGGGUUUUUUUGAGUGAGAUCGAGAUGUUAUUUGAAUCGGGAUGAAGAAAGAUAUUUGAGAGGAAAUGUGAUUUUAAGAAGUAUAAUUACAAGAAUUGUAAUUUAAUGUAUUCAAUUGUAGUUUUCAACACACCUCUACUAAUCUUUGCCAUUUGUAUGAAGAUAUCGAAAGAUUCGAGUCUCCGUUCUAGCUCAGGUUGGAAGCUAGGCCGAAGGCUAAGCUUCUUUUAAUUAUGAAUUGUUUAUGCAAAGGAAACCCAGAAGCUUGAACAAACAGAAAUGCCUUGUUGAUUUCUCUGCUACUACUCAUUAUUUCCAAUAUUAUUCCAUUAUCUUACCCGAAAGCAAUUAUACAAGAAAUUUCAUUAUCCCGCCCCAAAAGGCAAUUUAUUACAAGGACUUCCUUUAACCUCCUUUAAGGCAAUUUAUUUGAUGAAAAUAACCUCCUUUAAGGCAAUUUAUUUGAUGAAAAUUCCUUUAAUCCACCUCAAAGACAAUUUAUCUUAGGGAAUUCCAACGACCCAGGCAAUUUAUUUCUUGGAAAUUCCUUUAACCCGCCCUAAUUAAGGCAUUUUAUCUAAGGGAAUUCCAAAAUCAAUUUAUUUAUUGGACUCAGGAUUCUUUGAUACUAUUUAUUUAUAUAUAAUUUAACAACACUUUUAUCUUACAUUUAAAAAGAAAUUCAAAAGUAAGGAUAACCCUUACCUAGAGCUCCUGUGGUUCUUGCUCCCGAGAGAAUUGGCUCCAUUCCUGACAAAUCUAUUACCAAAAACCCAAGUUUCAACCAAUCAAUAACAUCAACACCCAUUUUAAUUCAAUGCAAUAAGUUUUUCUUAACCAAUUUACUUGAUGCAAGUUCUUAUAAUCAAAGUGACAGUAUUCAGGGUGAAGACAAGCAGAAGGGCGUGUAUUAAUUUUAUUUUUUAAUGUUGAGUUUUUUUAUUGAAUUUUAUUUGUCAAUAUUAAAUUAAUUAUAAAUUAAAUUUUAUAUAUUUUUUUAUCAUAUAUAAAAAAACAAAGUAAUCUCAUCUUUUGAUACGAGUGGUCCAAGAUUCACCAUGACAUGGUUGUAGUUUUUUUUUUUGCCUUUUUCUUUUAAAAAUGUUAUGUCAUUUAAUUUAUAAUUAUAAAUUAAAUUCUUUUUAUUGGUCAUUUUAAAUUUUUUUACUUUUUUUAUAUAUAAUUUUUUAAUUUUAUAUUUUAUUAAUGUUGAGUUUUUUUAUUAAAUUUUAUUUGGCUAUAAACCAGAACUUUUUAUUUUUUAUUUUUUGGACAAGCAGAGACAAAUUAAAUAAACAAAGUAAUCUCAUCUUUUGAUAUAGUUGUAGUUUUUUAUUAUUUGUUUUUUGCCUUUUUCUUUUAAAAAUGUUAUCUUUGGUAAGGAAUCCUUGGUUCCCAACGGCAACUGUAGCAGAGUUGACGGUUGCGUAAAAACAAAUCUCUAAACUCCACCGAAAGUAGUGGAGCAUUAGAGUUUUAAAAGACAAAACGGGAACAAGUGGGAGACGGAGAAAAAGACAAUAGUAGGUGGUCUAAGAUACACCGUAUAUAUGAUAAUAAUAAAACAAGUGUUUAGUUCCCGUUUGUUUGCUGGAAAAUAGUUUUUUUUUAAAAGUAAAUUCCGGGGAAAGUGAAUUCCGGGAAAGUAUUUUCCGAUGUUUGGUAGUGUAAUGGAAAAUAAGUUGGAAAACAUUUUCCAGUGUUUGGUUAUGUCAUGGAAAAUGAGCUGGAAAAUAACUUAUUAAUGUUUUAUUUUUCUCAAGUUUAUUAAAAUAAUGAGGAACAAAUUUUACAAAUUAAAAAGGUGAAUGAGAAUGAAAUUGAAAAAAAAAAAAUUUCAUAAAUUAUCUCAAAUAAAAUAAAUAAUAAUCAAAAUAAUAGAGAUCAAAUCUAAAACAUUAAAAAAAAUAAAGGUGAAGAAAUUAAAAUAAUAAUAAUUAACAUUUCAUAAAUUAUUUCAAAUAAAAUAAGUAACAAUUAAAAGAACGAGGACCAAAUUUGAUAGAUAAAAAAUUUCAAUAAAAAAAUGAUAAGGAAAAAACAAAUAUCAAUUAUAAAAAUAAGGACCAAAAUUAAUAUAAAAAUUAAAUUUUAAGAGAUGGAAUUGAAAAAUAAAUAUUCAAAACAAAUUAUAUAUAACAAUCAAAAGUUUGAGGAUCAAAUUUGAUAUAAUCAGCAAAUAAUGACAUUUCUAAUUUUUUCAUAACUUCCGGAAAGUGUUUUCCGCCCAAAUUUUCCAGGAAAACACUUUCCUGAAAACCAAGCUAAAUUUUCCUUUGACUGGAAAGUGUUUUCCGUUGACCAAUUUUCCUAAUGGCAAACAAACACAUGAAAGUUUGGAAAGUGGUUUCCCGGAAACCACUUUCCGGAAAACAAACACAGCUAAAAGGGAAAACACUUUCCUGGAAACCAAACCAAAUUUUUCUUUGACUGGAAAGUGUUUUCCGUUGACUGGAAAGUGUUUUUCGUUGACCGGAAAGUGUUUUCCUUUGACCAACUUUUCUAAUGGCAAACAAACACAGGAAAGUUUGGAAAGUGGUUUUCCGGAAAGUGAAUUUCGGGAAACAAAUAUGGCCUAAAACAACUCUGAAAACAAAAUUUUUUAUAAUUCAUAAUUUAUAAACACAUGCGAUAAAAUAAAUCAUACUGCAUGUUUUCAUUUGGCAUUUAAUUCCAUGAACAUGAUUUUUUUAGAUUAAUAUGGAUAUCCGGGUCAGCUUGUGUAUCUCGACUAAUCUCAUGAAUCCUAAAAUUAACGAUUAUAUGAGCAUUUAGCGGGCCUGGAGUUUGUGAGAUUCAAACUAAUAAUUUUUAGAGAACAAAUUCAGAAUCUGACCAGUUGAGCUACACUUAUCGGAAUUUCAUUAACAUGAUCUUACUUUUCAAUCAAAUUGCUGCGACCAUAUUAGACUUGUAAUCAGACCAUUAAUUGACUGUUCUUGACUAGCUAUUGUUUCUCAUUGGCAAGAGUCAUUGCCAAUUAUCAUAACAUGUUAGUGAUCUAUUACAACUAGUCUAGCAUCGACAGAGUUGUUAUUUAACCAUUAAAUCAAUUUAUAAAACAUUAUUGACUAGCUAUCUAACACUAGCAACUAAUCACUGAUAAUAUUUAUGCAAAACUUGUAGCUUAAUACGAACUCUCAGAAAUGUGGGUGGGGCAACUCAAAGUACAGGGAGAGUGGUAACCUCUGAUAUAUAACAGAGAAAAUUAACAACAGAAAUCUAGAUACUUCAAUAAAUUAACACACUGACUAAUAAAUCCCCCCCACCAUCAUCCAGUUAUCACAGGUGCAUCUACAAUGAACAGUUCUCGAGAAGAAACUCAAGAAACGCAUAUAAAGCUACAUGAUGACAUAAUAGGAACCUGCAUUGCCUCCAUUCCAUGAUGAAAGUUCAAGAAAUUCUACUUCGAAACUCAAGACAAAGUCUCUCAGACUACAUAUUAGUGGGAUUUCUAUAAACAACUGAUUCUAUUGCAAAGCAACAUUAUGAAAAACUGAAUAUUUCACACAUAGUCUAAUAAAAGUAGGUUCCAUUGUCAAUUCCUUAACAUUUUCCGAACAAAUCACAGUUGCUCCUCGUUUGAUACUUUCUUGAAGGUUUCUUUUCUCUUAUUACCAAUUUCUGUGAGUUUGUGAUUUUUUAUCUGUACCGUAUCAUCCGAUCAAUUACUAGCUAGAACCACACAACUAAUAUGUAAAUUCACAAAUUCCCUACAGUUCAUAUUGCCAACAAACUCCUCUUGCCAUUCCCUAAUUGCACUGAGCCAGCUAAUCUGGAUGAAAGUUAUCGAAGAGGGGAAAAGACAGAUGAAGAUCUGCGCAGGGCUACCUGUUUUGAGAAUUAUGGAUUUUUAUCACUAAAUCAGAACGGCGCCAAUUAUAAGUUCAAUAAGAAAAAAUCUGUAACAGAACAGAUGGAAAAAACUCGAAACAACUUGGCUAGAAUUUAGAAAAGAAAUUCAGAAUGAGCCAAGAUUUUAAGUGAGAUGAAACUUUGUUCUUUGAAAAAAAUAAUUAAUAUGAGAUAUACUUUUCAUUUUAGUGAACCUUAAAGCAGAGCCAACAGUUAAGUAAAAGUUAUCAAUAGCUGUGUAAACCAUUGAAACUGUUACCGUUGGUGCACCCUCGAUUACACCAUGGAUUCACAUAGUGCAAUUGUUAUUUUUUAAAAAAAUUCAAUGUUAUUUUUUUAUUAAUUUGAACCUUUUUUUGUCAACAUGUUUCGCAAUUGGCCUUGGUAUUUUGUUUUCAUUUUCUCUAUGUUGCCUUCUUCUGUAGAUAAAAAACAUCAUGUCUUGGGGCUCGUGCUUGAUAGUGCAAAAUUAAUGACACAAUAAUCAAAGAACACAAAAAUUUUUAUAGGCAAAAGGAAUUGAAGAUGUAAACCCUAGAAUUCGUAAGUUUAUUUUCUCUAAAAUAAUAAUAAUAAAAAUAAUAAUAAAGUCUAUCUUUUUAGGAGGUUUACAAAGCCUUAAUUAAAUAGGUUAAGAACCUUACCCCAACUAGGAAGCAAAAAUAAAAAUCCAAAAUUAUAAAGGAAAGAAGCAUAAAAUCCGAAAUAAAUAAGAAAUCUAAAAAUAAUAAGGAAAAUCACAAAAAUUACCAAAACUAGAGGCCUCAAUGAGAUUUUUGAUAUCUAAAGAUCCGAUGGUCUGCAUAAAAAUUUGAGCACAAUCCAACAAUUAAAUAAAAAAUUAUGACUCUUUUGAGUUGUUAUUCUAGUCUAGCGUGACCAAACCUUCUCUUAGGCUUAAACAUGUUUCAUUGGUCCAUAAAUACAUUUGCUAGGCUAUCAACAUAAUUUAUCUAGGACAAAUCUUAAUCUAGUUAUGACAAACUCACACCUAACUGCUUAGAAUCACUAAUUAUUAUAGGAUUGACUACAUCAAAAUUGGUCGGUUUUUUUGUUUUCAAAGAGAUUUAAACUUGAUGUAGAUGAAAGUUAUAAACACAAUAAUCAAAGAACACCAAAAAAUGUAUGAGCGAAAGAGACUGUAGAUGUGAACCCUCAAAUUCCCAAGUUUAUUUUCUCUAAAAUAAUAAUAAUAAAGUUUGUCUUCUUAGGAGGUUUACAAAACCUUAAAUAUGUUAGGAACCUUACCUCAACUAGGAAACAAAAACAGAAACCCAAAAUUACAAAGGAAAGAAACAUAAAAUCAAAAACAAGCAAGAAAUUAAAAAAAUAACAAGGAAAAUCACAAAAACUACCAAAACUAGAGGCCUAAACAAGAUUUUUUAUAUCUAAAGAUUCGAUGGUUCACGUGAAAAUUUGAGCAUGAUCAAAUAAUCGGAUAAAAAAUUAUAAUUUUUUUAGCUUUUAUUCUAGUUUGACGCGACCAAACUUCUUCUUGAUCCUAAACUUGUUUCAUUGGUCCAUAAAUACAUCUCCAUGACUUUUUUUUUUUGUUUCACUAUAAAUGAAGUUUGACCAUCAUCAUAUAUGGUUUGACUUAGCCGUAUUGGUUUUCAAUUAUAUCAACUUUAUAUAUUAUGGGUUUACAUUUACUAUUUUUUUUAAAAUGCUCACAAGUCCAUUUUUCACACCUCAAACUCAUAACUGCAGCGAUUCGUAGGCAACGAAACUAAUUAGAGACUAGAGAGUAAACAUGCUACUAAAGUUUGCAGGUGAGGGUAUAGAUUAGAUUAUUUGUUGUGUUGUUUCAAAUAUUAGAGCAGUCUCAACUCAUUAAAUAAACAAGUGGUGCAUUGAUCCUUGGACUCAAAUCAUAUAUACACGGUGAGCUCAUUUGUGUUUUUAUUAUUUGUUCCUCCCUGUACUUGUAGCAGGAGAGAAGCUGCUCUCAACUUUGAAGGAAUGCAAACAAUUGUUAAUAUGAAACAUAUUAUGUACAAAUUAUAAUAUUUGUAAGAAGCCGUUUUGCUGCCCACCGGCGGCCAUCUGAUCAGAGAACAAUAUUAUAUUUUUUAAACCCCUUCACUCUCGUAAAAACAAUUUAUAUGAUUAUAAAUAGGAAAGCAUAGAAAAAAAUAGGAUUAAAUAUUUUUAGAGAUUACAUAUUAUUGUUUUAGUUUUUUUUCUUGAUUAGAGAUAAGUUGAAUAAAAGUAGUAAUAAUUUAUUUUUGUGAAAAAAGGUUACUACAACUCCUGAUAAUUAGUUUCAUGUAAAAAAUAAAAAUAAAAAUAGUAACUAAAAUUUAUUUUAGUUAUGUUAAUAAAAUUUUAAAGAUAUUUUAAUUGAAUUAAGUAUUCCAACACAAAAUUUAUGUUCUUAUACAGUUAUAUAUUAAUUCUAACAAAAAAUAUGGUUUCUAUGUUUAGAUUUUGGUAUUAAUAACGCAUACAACAAUGAGGCAGUUAAGUUUCUUCGAUAAAAUAAAAUCAUUUAAAAAAUAAAAAUAAGCUAGUAUGUUUGUUACAUAACAAAAAAAAAUGAUUUUUUCUAAAAAUGAUUUUUUAAAAAAUAAUUUUAAUAGACUGAUAUUAAAAAUAAAUUUUAAAAAAUAAAAAUAUAUAUUAUUUUGAUAUAUUUUCAAGAGAAAAAAAUUAUGAAAAGAAAUUGUUAAUAUUUGAUAUAUUUGAUUUAUGGAGCUAUGAUAAGGGAAUCGUGCUUGUAACACAUAUAACAAUAUUUACAUAGUAACAAGCAUUAUUAAAGAUGCUACACUAGUUGAUUUACAUAUAACAAUAUUUACAUAUAACAAUAUUUACAUAGUAACAAGCAUUAUGUUUCCAAGUGCUAUCAACAAAUAUUAUAACCUCUUAAUUUAUACAAGGAUUGAGCUAAAUUGAUUUAUCAAAUAUUUUAUGUUUUUUUUUUGAAAUAUUGUUAUAGACAUAGAAUCAACAAGUUUAUGUGACAUUCUAUAUUGAUUUUGUGAUAUUUUAAUCACUAAAAGUAUGGGUUUCAGAAAAAUAAAAACCAAACUAAAAAUUGAAAAAAUUAAAAAAUUUCAAACCAACCCAAUCCAAUUUUGUGUUUUUAAAAAUAUCGUAAUGAAAAACACAGCAUUCGAAAAAAAAUACAAUUAAAAAAAAAAUCGUUAGUUUAAGAAAACACCCCCUUCUUUGCAAUUAUUGUCAAUCCCCCACGUGGCUACCCAUAAUUGGACUGUCAAACUGGCAAGCUACAUCCCCAUCUCAAUCAUCACAGCUGUAUAAAUUUCUCGCUCAAGCCAAAAACAGAAACGCACAAAACCCCUCCCCCAACGGAGAAUCAAAUGAUAGCUAGAUGUCUGUGUAACCGACCAAUCGCGUUACCAAAGGAGCCUGCCUAGUACUGACGUGUCACUCUAACAUUUCCAUGACCAUAACAAUAAUAAUCAUAAUCCAACCAUGCCUUACUUUUUUAUUUUGUACCUUAAUAAUCUACAAUUACACUCUUGAAUUAUCCCUCAUUUUUUCAAUGGUAAAGAUAUCCUCGUGUCUGUCACCUUCUACAUUAAGUUUUAUAAAAUUCUUGAUUUUUUUUAAAUUAAUUUUUCAAGUUUUAAUUAUGAAUUGUUUAUGCAAAGAACCAAAAGAAAAAGAAAAAAUUUCUCAAUGUUUUCUGUUACUUGUUUAGCAGGAAAACAUGAAAAAUUAAAUAGAAACAGAACAUCAAAACGAUAGAGAAAACAUGCUGACGAGGAGCAUGAAACUCCACACAUUAAACUAUAAGCACCCACAUGAGUAACCAUUAUGCCCUUGUUUUUGAAGGUUCAGACACUUGAAAGAAACACAAAUGGGCAAACAAACACACGCCCUUAUUUUUCUGGUGCUUCACACAGCAAACACUUAGAUAGAUAAGUCGAUAUCUUCUUUUGGGGGUUCUAUGGUAAAUAAGACUGUUACAAUGUGAAGCCAAUGAAACAGUAGGAAUUACUUCCACCAAUCAAAUUCUUCUUCUUCUCCUCAUUCUUCCCAUCCAUCAUCUCUGGUCCACAUUAUGUAAGUGUUGGUUGGCACCGAGCAAUCAUCGCUUGAAUCCUCAGCUACUUGAGAUAUCUGUAAACCAAUUCAAGCAUGACGUACAUAUUUUAACUUGUAAAUCUUUUUUAUUGAGUGAAACUAGAAAGAAAUCAAAGUCAGAUCAGCAGCACCUUAUAUCGAGCACUCAUUGAACCAUUUGGUGUAGUGUCAAAAUUUGUAGUCAGCUUUGGGCAUUCAGACACCUUCAACUUCUUCAAACGAGGGAACAAGAAAUCAUAAUAUCCGAGAAUGAAGGAGAUAAUGCUUGGUAAUUGUUCUAGCGACAGCUCCCGCAGAUUAGGGAGCACCAUCUCCUCAACAUCGACAGGUAAAGCAUUAAUAUCAUCUUGCCCAAAGACUCCCAAUAAUCUAGAAGCUUUUGUUACUCUAAGUAUUUUGAGCUUCGGGAGACCUGAAGCCAUGGCUAUUGGGAAGAGAUUCUUCAACUUUCUGCAUUCUCUGACCUCAAUUUUACACAAACUAGGAAAGCAUAAAGAUUGAAGAUGACUUACUGACAAUAUCUGAUCCCUUUCAUCAUCAUCUUUAGCAAUGAUUUGCUCAAGUUUCUCGCAUAACCAUAUCUUUAGAACUUUUAGGUGAACUAGACCGGCAAUCAUGCUGUAAGUGAACACAUGUGUGAUUCUCUUACACUCAUUCACCUCUAAAGUAGUCAAAUUACUCAGCACGAGACUCUUCCAUGUACUGCUCAUGCUUGUGUCAGGCAGGGACUUCAAUUUUAAUGUUUCCAGACUUGUUAACCCCUGCAUCAAAAGAAAACAAGGGCACCAAUUUGUUAGAUAUAAUUCAAAGUAAUUUCUGUGCACAUUCAAACUAUAUUUAUCCCAAUACUUCAACCAAAUUCUUAUCACAGAAGGAUACAAACAGACAGGGCAAUAAGGCAUGGGACUGUGAAAUCAUAAGUCGCAGGAGUGAAACAAACAGCUCAUUAUUAACAGACGGAGCUUUAUCGUCCCGUCCACAUACUUUCAUUAUUUGGGGGAAGAACCUCAAUUUCACUGUGAUUGGGAAUGCAUAAAGAUUGAAAAUAUAGGACUCAUUUCAUUACAAUAAGUAAUUUCUAACUUCUUAAGCUCUGCAUCAAGAGACAGGGAAUGAGAUUGUUAGAAAUUUAUCUAAACUGAGUGGAUGGCUAAAGCAUUUAUCUUCACCUAUCAACUACUUCAGUUUUAGAAAUUUGGAGGAAGAAAGAAGAAAUUACCACAAUGUAUCGAAGUUGAGAAUUUAACUUGAAAAGGAAAAAACAUUAGCGGAGAAAUAUAAAGGACGUACUUGAAGCUGUGCCAACAAAUUACCCAAUUCUUCGUGGCCAAGGAUGCUUAGAUUUUGCAGAAAAGGUAAUUGGGCAGCACGAUUCUUUGGACCAAAAAAGCUGGAAUUUGAUUUAGACGAAAGAUCCAUUUCUCUUAGUCGAGGCAACUUGAAGAUGCCAUCUCUGGGGAGUGCAUCUUCUUCCUCGCUAUAAAAUAUUUGCUUUAAAUUGUCAGCAAAUAUAGUCAUCUGUUCCAGGUUCAGAAGACUUGGAGCCACGGAGACAGGGAAGACAUAUUCCAGUUUACCACAGUGUCUAAUUGUCAUCUGUUUCAGGUUCACAAGACUUGGAGACAGAGAGCUAGGGACGACAUAUUCCAGGUUAUCACAGUCAGAUAUAAGUAGAGUUUUUAAUUUUUGGAAGCUUAGAAACUCUGGAAUUAUUGCCCUUUCAUCAUCCUGUUUUCUGACAAUAUACUUCAAUUCAUCGCAACAGCUUACCUCAAGUGUUUCUAGCUGUAGUAGACUUUGAGCGAGGGACGGUGUGAAGAUAAAGGUCAGUUUUGCAAGAAGAAACAACUUCAGAUGAACAAGAUUUUGCGAAAAAGGUAAUGGGGCAGCAACAUUCUUUGGACCAAAAAAGCUGUAAUUUGAUUUAGACGAAAGAUCCAUUUCUCUUAGUUGAGGCAACUUGACAAUGCCAUCGCUGGGGAGUGCAUCUUCUUCCCCGCUAUAAAAUAUUUGCUGUAAAUUGUCAGCAAAUAUAGUCAUCUGUUCCAGGUUCAGAAGACUUGGAGCCACGGAGACAGGGAAGACAUAUUCCAGUUUACCACAGUAUCUAAUUGUCAUCUGUUUCAGGUUCACAAGACUUGGAGACAGAGAGCCAGGGAAGACAUAUUCCAGUUUAUCACAGUCAGAUAUAAAUAGGGUUUUUAAUUUUUGGAAGCUUAGAAACUCUGGAAUUAUUGCCCUUUCAUCAUCCUGUUCUGUGAUGAUAUACUUCAAUUCAGCGCAGCGGCUUACCUCAAGUGUUUCUAGCUGUGGUAGACUUUGAGCGAGGGACGGUGUGAAGAUAAAGGUCAGUUCUGCAAGAAGAAACAACUUCAGAUGAACAAGACUUUGGAGGCUGACAUGUCUGGUGGGCCCCUUCCAUAUACAUUUGAGCUGAAGUAAACGUGACAGCUUUAACGUUAUUAAAGAUGACAGCAGCGGCAGCUCCUUCUCCUCCUUGCUUCCUUCACCCAAUUCAAAUACCUCUUCCAAUGAUUCGCAGCUCUCAAUAUUCACACUCCUUAGAUUUUUCAAAGCUUGCAGCAAUUUUGCUGGAAACAGAGUGCAGAUAUCCUCACACCCAUCCACGUCUACAAAUUCUAAUCUUUGUAAGAAGCCCUUUCGCUGCCCAGAGAACUGAGACAAUGAAUUUAUUAUAUUUUCUAAACCCGCCACCCUUUUAAAAACAAUUUGAGACACAGUAGGAAACAACUGCUCAAAUGUCUUUGCAUUUAAGGAUGUGGCGCUUAUACCACCCAAAAAUAAUCUUGUCGAGGUUGGGUAUCCUACUGGAUCCCCUGUUGAUGAAUAAUAAUUCCCUAAUAUUAUAUCAUAUUUGUACAACCUGGGAAAAACAAAAUCGCUUGGCAUGGAUUUAACCUCCGGUAUCCUCAAUGAUAAUACAGCUAACUGAGACAAUGAAUUUACUUCUUUUAGGCUUGCAUUCAUUAUUCCAGUGCUUGUCCAAACAUCCCAUUCCUUAAAGCUGUCUUUCCCGAUCAGCAGUUCUUCUAAUUUCUUCAACCUUCCAAUCAAAUUCAUAGGAAUUUCUCUUAGACUCUUACAACCUGUCACAUCCAACAACCUUAACUCCUUGAGCUCUCCUACUCCUUCAGGUAAUGUUUCAAUGUAGUAGCACCUCAUAAAACAAAGAAUCCUAAGUCUUUGCAGCUUUCUCAACAAAUUUAGGCCAUUACAUUUACACUCGAUCAAAAGCAAAGAUAGAAGGUUAGAGAAAACUUCAAUUGCUGUCAUCUCUUUAAAAAAACUUCCUGGAACAUUCAAAUCAUCACCCAGUUCUAACAACAGAACUUUGAGCCGUGGACAUGCCAAUGCUUCAGGAAGUUUUGUUAGUUUAUUGCCCAAUAACGAAAUUGUUGUACAGCCUUCAACGCUUUCAAUACUCCUUGGCCACUUCUUCAAUACCAUGAAUCCAUAUUCUUCUGAUGAUGCUAUCUGAAUAGCAACAUCACGAACCAAGUCAUGCAUUUUCACAUGUUCUCCAGUUUCAGUGCCCAACAGCAUGCAAGAAUCUUUGAGGUCUUUGAUAGCUGCAUAAACUUGUUCCCUUGCAUCUUCAAUGGAUUUCACAUCUUGAUGUAACCCAUAGCCGACUGCAUAUCUCGUCAAGUCCUCAAUUGGAAUGUUGUAAUCUUCUGGAAAUAAACAGCAUAGCAAGAAACAUAACUUGGUUUCCUUGGGCUUCAAAUAAUCAUAGCUCAACUUAAGACAUGCAUAUGUUCGUCCAUCAAUUUCUCCCAGGUCUGGAAAUUGAGAGUUUUUGAGCAGUUUAGAUGCUGCUUCCCACUCAUAUGCAUCUUUACCUCUUAGAGCCCUUCCCACUGCUACAAGUGCUGUAGGCAAUCCUUGGCAUUGUCUCACAACCUGCUUUGCCACUAUGUUUAAGGUAGAUUCCCCAUCACUUAAACCUGCAAUGAUUUUGAAUAAAGCCCAUGCUUCAUUUUCAGACAAGAGACUUAAAAAAACUUUUUUCUGGCACCCCAUAUCAGAAGAUAUGUUUUCAAGACGUGUUGUUAAGAGAAUUUUACAACCCCUGUGAUCAUCACCAAAUGGGAUCCCUAUCUCUUUCAAGUUAUUAACUUUCCAAACAUCAUCCAGGAUUAUAAGCAUCUUCUUCUCUCUCAGCAGUCUCUUCCAUAAUCGUUCUGCUCUCCCUUCUUUACUCUUUUCAUCAAAAUGCCGAACUAAACUAUCUGCCAUUCUAUUCUGAAUGUCCAUGACAUCUGGAUUCUGCGACACCGUAACCAUCAAAACUUUAUCAAAAAGCUGCGACUCUGUGGCUAUCCUGCCUACUUCUUUCACCAGGGUGGUUUUACCCACCCCUUCCAUGCCGCACAGUCCGAUCACAUUGACAUUGUCAUCUUUGAGAGCUUUCAUAAUCUGUUUGAAAGCUUCUUUUGAUGAUUCUGCUAUGUUUGCUUUGUGGGACACUGUUUUAAACUUUUUGCUAUUGUCUUCAAGAUUUCUAAAAGUCUCCGUCUUCUUUGCCAAUUCCUUGCUUAACUUGAAUUGUCGUAUCCAAUUUGGACACCAAGUAAAGCAUUUGCCAUUUUUUCCUAUUUCAUUUUCCAAAGGAUUCACACCAUUAAUUUCGUUAUUAGCAUCUUCCAGCCAUUUGGUGACGUCUUUCUCAAUUUCUUCAGCAUUCCUUUCAGCAACGUCGACAGCAUUUUGCAGACGAUCUAGUGCUAAAGCAAGGUUCUGCUUUCGUUCAUUGAAUUCUUUAACACAAUUGUUGAAACCGAACAUGUAGCGGAACUGCCUUAUUGCUGGUUCCACCAAGAGUCCUGCUUUCUUAGAUAUAAUGGAUUCAUCAACACUUUCGAUAGCCAUUUUCCUCCCGUCUGAAUAUCAGAGAAAUAAGGAUGUCGACUGUGAGAGUGAGUAAUUACAAAUAAAACAGGCAUUGAGAGAAUGAGAAUAGGAAUUUUAUUACCUUAAUUUGUGAAAAUAUGUGCGAAAAUCACAGGUACUGUUUGCUCAAUAAAAUAUAGCGAGAAACAGAACAAGAAGGACUUCAGCUCUGUAUGGAAUCCAGCUUAAAAAACAAGUAGUCAAGGUAUAAGUAUACCAAUAAUCAAUUAAUCUCAUCGAUUUCCAUCUAUGUCAUGUAUAAAAGCCAUUUAUUGAUAGCAGUAGAUUUUUUCUUUCUUUCUAAUAUGCAAGUUUACGUUAAUAGGUAUAAUUUUCCGGAUUGAAAUUUGAUAAAAGAUUUCAUAAGCCUUGUUUUUUUUAUGGUGAAAAUGUUAAAUCCAUUGGAGUUUGAAAAAGCCUUCAAAUAAGGCCUAGAAGUAAGUAUUCGGGAUUUGUAACAUUUUUCUAGUAUGACACAUCAACUUCACUUGAUGCAACAAGUAGGACAGAGAAAUAUAAGACUUCAAGAGAAUUGUUUCACUAUAAAAUAGUUGAAAGUUCUUCUAUGAAUACUCAUGUUCUGAAGAUAAUCGGUAAUCGUUAUUUUAUAAAGUGUUGAUUUAGUAUUGUAAUCUUAUUUCAUAGGUAAGAAAUUGAGCCAAUUAACUUUGUCAUUUUAUAAAGGGUUGAUUUGGUAUUGUGAUCGUUAUUUCAAAGCUUUUCUUAGUCCAUUAUCAACUAUCACACUUGCAAACAUUUAUCAUGAAACAUAUAAUGUAUGCAAAAUAUAAAGACAACAACAAAUAACACAAAAACUAGUAGGAACACACUCACCUUAUAGUAGAGACAAACGAAUGAUUAUGAAUGGAAGGUUCACGAUCACUUGCACACUCACACACAUGAUAACUUCUAUCGAUCGAUUCCAACCACAAAUAUAAUUUAUCUAAGGAGUUAUGUAUGUGAUGUUACUAUAGUUAUGGUCUCUCAAGGCCUUUUUCAAAAAAGAAAAAGAAAAGGAUGAACAAGGGGACAUUAACGAAAAGAAUUGAAAAGGAGAAAAGAAUUAGUUGAAUGAAGGAAGCUCUCUGCCACUUCCCUAUAUCACACUCAAUGAACAUGAUUUACCCAUAAAGGAAAAAGAGACAUUCCUUACUUCAAAUUUGCUUUGCUUAUGAAGUAGGCUAAGGACAACAACAUCUGCAAGCUAAAGAGGGAUAAUCAUAAGAUUGUGGUUUGGGACAAAAGAAAGAAUUUUUCCAACAUCCGUCAUCAGUACCGGUGAAUAGGAUAGAAUGAAAGACUUCGGCCCCUUCUAUAUCAGUAUUUUUUAGAAGUUAUUUAAAUUAAAAAGCCAAAAAUAAAUGCAUCUACUGUUGCAGGAAUGGACUAAAAAGUCAGUUAAUCUGCAUAAUUAAAUACUGUUACUGUAAACUACUAGGAAAUUCAUGGGUAAAGCCACAAAAAAAAUGUAAAUUAUACAAGUUAACAAUAGCAUUGAGCAUUAAUUCGAUUAAGUUAAAGCCCUGGUGUGAAUAGAGAGGAUCUUGCCGUUUAAAAAAUAACCAUAGAAACUAUGGAACCCACUAUUUAUUAAUCCAUUUCUAUUUACUAUUUAUUUUUAUUUACUGUAUUUUUAUUUUGAUACCCAGUACCAAUAAAAUUUGAGAUUUCUUCAAUUUUUCAGGUGCAUGCACUAGUCUAAUGGCUUCAUGGUAUUUAUCCUUAACUAUCAGGCUAACCUUUACAGGCUUAGCUAGCAAUCAAUAAUUAAUAUUUUAAUGAAUUCAGUUUUUAUUUAAAAUAAGGAAAAGGACAUUGGUGAAUAAAUAGUUUCCUUAGAGGGCUAAUUUAGAAAAAGAUUUGGAUCACUAGAUCAACUUAUGGGAUACCUGGCCAAGGUCAACCUAUGAGUCAUAAAUCAAUCCAUAUCAAUUAUUUUUAUUAAAAUGAUAAUGUUUUGUUUUUUUUUCUUGAUAUUAAUUUGGCUAAUUUUGAUCAAAUCUUACCAAAUCAGCUGAAUCAGUAAGAACUUAACCAAGUCUGAUUUUAUAGAUCAAUAUUUUAUGUAGUUGAAUUAAAAAUUCAAUUCAAUUCUAGCUCCGAACCCUGAGUUUUGUUUGUUCAAUCUAGCAUACAGGUUUAACAAAUAUGCUUCUCACUUGCAGCUGUGGUUUGCUGCGGGCAUUUGGUAAUUGGGAGAGGCUUUAGUUUCGUACCUGUUGAUCGGGAUUCAUAUACACUUGGACCUCUUAUUUUAUUUUAUACUGGUUGGAUCCAAACUUAAUCCAAUACAAAAUUAACAUAUUUAUUAUUUAUUUAAGAUAAAUGAUAUCGCUUUAACAUAUUAGUGUACACUUAAUAUGAUUAAAUUUAAUUUAAUUAAUUAAAAUCUCACCGUAAAUUUUUUUACCAUUUGCAGCAAAAAAACAGUUGACACCUUAUUAAUAUAAUCAAUAUAGUACAAAAAUUAUAGUGAUUUAAAACAAUUCAUUAAAAUGUUCCUAAAUGUUUUUAUUUUGUGACAAGGGUUUUCGUGUUAUUUGUUAUGUAUUGUCACUGUCAUAAUCUAUUUCUAGAUUAUUUCUUAAAUUCCAUAAUUAGAUUUUUUAUAAGCCAAUUUGAUUUAAUCAUUGGUCAAAUUAAAUUUUAAUUAUGUUUAAAAAUUUAUUUGGAUCUAAUUGAAGGAUUUAAUUAGAUGCAAUGACUUAAUUUUACUUUAAAUAGAUCAAAUUAAUUUUAUUAGGUGGCUUAAUUGGUGAAAAAUUAAGUUUGGAAGCCCAAUUUGGGCUUAAUUGAGAAUAUUGGGAUUUUAGGAGACCAAAUUUAAUUUUUACCAAGUCAAUUGAUUCAAAUCAAGGGUAAAAUUGCAAGAAAAUCAAAGUUUUGGGGUCAAUUAAGGGCUAAAUUAAAGAAAUUCACAGCCAAGAACUAUUUUGCAAAAGACGUCAAACUAUAGGAACUCAAUUGAUUGAAAUCAACGGUGGAAUUGAAGAGAAUUGAAAGUUUAAGAAUCAAUUGAGGGUUAAAUUGAAUAAAUCCAAGACCAAUGACCAAAAUGAAAUAGGUGAUGAAAUUCGAGGCUGAUAUUGAAGUUCGGCAAGGGCAAAACUACUUAAAAUUAGAAGUUUAGGGUCAAUUAGGGGUGCAAUUCAAAGAAAUUAAAAGCUGGAGGACUAAACUGAACUUUGACCAAACCCCUAAAAUCAAACCUUAAGAGCCAAAACGAUGAUGUUUCAUUUAAAUGGAACAACACAAUUUGACCAAAACAACGCCAUUUUGACAAAACAGAAUCAAAACAAAAGGGGUAGACCAGAAGACGCAUUAUCUAGAUUGUUCAUCUUCUUCAUCAUUAGCCUCCCAGAAAGCUUCUCAAAUGGCUAAUUUCUCAAAGCAUUUAAUGUCUUGUCUCUCCACCAAAUUUGAAAACAUUUGCACGCAAUUAGUGGCCUAACGUCUGGUGUGGUCCUUUAUGGCCGAUUGAUGCCAUAGUGGUUGUGGCAUCGCCCUAAAGUGGCCAACCCGACCAGCCCUUCUGUAGUAACUUGUCAGGCCAUGAUUGCAACUUUAAAUCAAUUGUUGGGAUCCUACAAAGUUGAAUUAGAGGCCAAGAUUUGAAACCAUUAAAGACAAAAUGCCCCUCUUCCACACCCUAUAAAUAGAGGUGGAUUUCAUGACCUAAGGGAGGAAACAAUCGGGUCCAAAGUUGAUAAACAAUCAGCCUUCCCCCUAGUAUUUUAUAUGCCAUCAUAAUUUUUUUCUUCUUCUUCGCUGUCGUGAACUCGGCUUCUUUAGCCACCACAACCUCACCAACAACGUGACCUUUGGUGGCCCAGCACCCUUGCCACUCCAUCCCCUUGCCACUCCAUCACCUUGCCACUCCUCCCUUCUCCCUUAGACAAUAACCUCCGCAAGCUUCUUCUUUUUCAUCCCAAACCAAUAAUGACCCCUGCACCUUCAACCUCCACUCACUAGUAACAACACCAGCAACUCUAGCAAACCAAUAAUUGCCACCAUUUCAGUUUUGUUCUUCUCCAACACCGGCAGCAGUAGCAGCAGCAGCAGCUCCAACCACGCCAAUGUUUUCUCCUUUUUCUCUCUUCAACAGCCAACACCGCCCACCACCGUCUCCACCAACGGCUCCGACAGUAGUCGACAAAAAGACCAAUCAGCCACUCCUUCUGUAAUAUCCCAAUUUUGGAUUCUCCAAAAUUUUCUUGAAUGUUAUUUUUAUUUCUAUUUUCAUUCAUAAAAAUCCAAAAAAAGUUAAGAAAAAAAGUUUAAAAUUCAAAAAUAUAUUUUUCUCAGGUCAACCACCUUUUCCAUGAAAAUGAGCUUAUUGGGUUAAUACGAGUCAAGCCAUGUUGACCAAGGUAAAAAAUAAGUUUUAGGCCAUUUGGGGUCAAAACAAUCAUUUUCGGUCAAAACUGAGUCAAUCAGGUCAAUAUGAGUCAAACCAUGUCAACCAGGGUAAAAAAUGAGUUUCAGGCUGUUUUGGGUCAAAAGCCAUCAUUUUUGGUCAAAACCGAGUCCAUCAGGUCAAUAAGAGUCAAUCCAUGUCGGUCGAGGUAAAAAAAAGAGUUUCAGACCAUUACGGGUCAAAACCAAGUCCAUCGGGUCAAUACAGGUCAAACCAUGUUGACUGGGAUAAAAAUUGAGUUCCAAGCUAUUUUGGGUCAAAACUGUUAUUUUCGGUCAAAACCCGAUCAAUCGGGUUGAUCCUAGUUGAAAAAUAUUUUUUAAUGUUUGAAAUUAUUUUUCCAGUAAUCAAAAUUGAAUUUUAGCGGUGGAAACGAGUUUUUUCUAAUACUAAUUCGAGUUUUUAGUUUUAUCCAUUUAUAUAUAUAAAAUAAAACAAAUCAAUAAUGCAAAAGUUUUAUUAUAGUAGCUGGGACAGGUCAAAACAUUUCUUCAGGACAGCGCCGUGCCCUCUGGUUAUAAACAUUCGUGUCCCCUCAGCAUCAACAUUGGCUAUAAAAGGCAGUGAAAUUUUACUAAAAAAAGAGAAAAAAGGAGAAGAAAAAAAGAAGACGUGAAUCCGAAUGAUAAUACUAUUCAUGUUUUUUUAGUUUUUUCUUCACACGAGUAAGUUAUUGAUUUUUUUUAAAACAAUUCAAAAAAUACCAAAACUAUCAUGACCUUUAGAUCUAAUAAUAUCUUAUCUAAUACAUCUUAACACACUCGAUGAAAACCCAAAACCAUCUCAGCCCUUAACCAAAUCUGCCCUUGGAUCUAAUUUUUCCACGUCACUAGGUGUACCAACAAUCCUGUGCAGCUAUCACACCGAAGCCAAUAUCUGUCCAUCAGGACCGACUGAUCAAAUUUUGAUCGAGCCAACCAUAGCCGAAGGAUCAAUUUAGAAGUAAUCCAGCGGUCCAAAAGCUUUAGGUGCACCAGAUUACCACUCUCCCCUCUCGCCGACGAUUCUCUCUCUCUCAUCAGAUCUCCCAACUUCGGCCACAUAAAGACUCCGGACCACCACAAAAAGGUUCCUCACCUCUACGCAAGCAAACCCAUGCAUUUUGCAUCGCCUUCGACAUCACAUCUUGCCAGUAAAAGGCUGCGACGUCUUCGGCCACCCGAAGAUUCAAGCUGUCGAUUCUCUCUCAUCAACCAUCAACGGCCAACGAAAAAACCAUCAUCAUAAUCCUCUCUUCUAGAUAUACCAGAAGCUACCCUUUUUGGCUCAGAAUCCCGCCGAAGAAUUUCACUCCUCCAACAGUGGUCGCGCAUAAGCUACACGCGCCACCAGGGUUGUUUUCAUAAUUUCCUGAGAAUUUCAGGGAUAUUUCAGUCUUUUCCCCUACAGUGUAACUCAGGUAAUUUUGGGGUUCCUAGGGAUAUUUUAUUUGUUUUUCACAAGUAUUUAUAAACUUUUCUUUGUAUGUAAAAUACCCAAAAUAAAUAUAAAGAAGAAUGACAAGGCAGGUCCGAGACUUAUUUUAUCCCGUCAUCAUGCGCGGGUCCAAAGACUAAUUCUUAAAUAUGGGUUAUGCCAAUUUUUUUUAGCAAUUAUAACAUAAUCUUCUUUUUCAUGAAUGAAUGUUAUUCGUCAACAUGUCUCCUUUUACAAAUAAAUACCAAUGUUAAAAGUUUAAAAACAAAUAUGAAUUAUGUUCAUUAUGUUUUUUUACAACUUGAACGCAAUUCUUCUUUUUAGGAUUAAACGUCAACAUUUCAACAAGUCUCCUAAUUUUAGGGACUGAUGUCAACCCUCUAAAAAAAUAAAUUACAAAUAAGCUCAAAAGAUCAUAGCAUUUGAAUAAAAUAAAAAACACAAGUAAGGGUAACCUUUCUCUUGAAAAGAUGUUUUGAGGGUGGUGUUUAUCUUCCCUUAAUCAUAAGUAACUCAGUAUCUGAAUUUCUUGGACCAAUGUCUAAUUUGAAAUUUCUAGUUUCCCUCAAAUUAUUAGAAGGUGACUCCAAUAAAAUCUUCAUUUCCUCAAUUAAUCUUUUUAUUAAUAAAAAAAAUGGAGCCACUGUUUUCACGUCAUGUAUCGAUAGAAUACCCAUUGAUCUAUAUAAAACUAAAGAAAAACUUAUUCAAGAUCAUGUUAUAUUGACUAUGAAAAGUUGACAUGGGCCAAUUAUUAUGGGAUUGAGGGAGAAAUAAAUACUAAAUUCUGGGAAUUAGGGUGCUUAAGUAAAAAAAAAUGAGCAAAAACUUUCAUAGAUAGGUAAGAAUGAAAUUGCCUAACUUGUCCAAAACUAUUUAUGACAAGCUUGAAUACCAAGAUACUCUAAAGCAAUACAACAAAACCAUACACAUUUCUAUUUUCUUAAUUUGUAAUUUAGCAAUUAGUGGUAUCCUUGGCCAAGCUUGUGCAAAUCAAGACAACGUCCACCUCCCUAGUUUGGUCUAAAGCAUACAAUCUAUGCUAGGACUAGAGGUAUCAAGGGGAAAUAAAUCAUCAUAGCUACUAGUUUGGUCAAAAACAUACAAUCUAUGCUAGGACUAGAGUUAUUUGACUGCAAUUGGAACGCUGAUUAGUACUUAAAACUGUAUUUUUAUCAAGGUUUUAUAUCAUCUUUUUGCACUUGAAGUAUCAAUAACUCCUUAACUAAAGCAUGUUUUAUAAUAACAUAUCUAAUAAUAUAAGAUAGCUUUAAUUUAUGGUAAAUGUUCAUCCUAAAUUCAGGCCUAUCACAUAAAUAAAAGGAUUGAUUGAUGAGUUUAAGUAUUGAAAUUGAAAGGACAAAGAGAGGGUCAAACUUAGAAAAGAGAUGCUGGUGCAAUCCAAACUGGAACACUAUUUGGAAAUUAGGUCAUAUCUGGAGCUGUAGAUCUCGGAUUUAGGUCCACUUUAUAUGGAUGGAAAGGUAAGAAAUGGGCCUACAACUUUCAUGUGGAGCCCAAGAUUUAAAAAAGCCGUUUUCAAGUGCAAAUUAUAUCAACAACGAAGAAGUUUGAAUCUGUCUUGCAGCCUAAACACUGUUCAGUGUUCAGCCCAUAUCUUGAGUUCUAGAAGUCUACAUGACCUUAAUUUUUUUUCCUGGAAAGCUGAGACAAUUUCCUAGAACUUUCAUGAGUAAAGUUGGUUCAAAUUCUGACAUUAUCAAUGAUGUUCUAUUCAGACAAGAAGAUAAGGAUUGUCACCAAGUCAAGAUGUGGCCACCCACUCAUCAAUUAUUCAUCAAAUCAAUAGUUCCAAAUUUUGACCUAUAAAAGAAGGCAUUUACCAUGUAUUUAGGCAUCUUGGUUUUCAGAUCAAGAUCAUGCUCUUGCUUUCUCUCUUUGUAUUUUCGCAAUACUUAAGUUUUGCUUUCAUUAAUAUCUAGUUUAUGCUUUUCAUUUCCUUUCCUUUACUUAGUUAACUUUAUCUUGUUUAUGCUUUUAUCUUGUUCAUUUAUGUUUCUUUCUUUUAUUAUGUUUAGCUAAGUUUAUUAUGUCAAGGUUAAAAGGUUACACUAAUGGUGUAAGAAUAAGUAUAGUGUAAACUCAUCAUGGACUUUAAUGUUUGAUACUAACAUGUUUUAUAUUUGUUAUCUUGUUCACUUUUAAUACUUUGCUUGUUAAAUGGUCAAUCUAGAUUUAUGUUAUAUAACCCUUGGUACAACAAAUACUUGGCACUUUCAUUGCCCAAACCGUAUGGUAUAAUCAACACCUGAGCUAUGAAAGGAACUUGAUUUGUUGUUAACAUAAGUUAUAAUCAUGAAUGCCUAACAACAUUUACAAAUAUUAGCAUUAUUCAAAAAAGAUAACUAAUGUAAUCAUGUUAACAAUUUAUAAUCCGAUUGGAACCUCCUUUGUGUGUGGUUUCCAGUUGAAUAAUAAGAGUUUAUACUAUACUUGUUUGAAAUACCAUUAGUGGAUCCUCUAACCUUGACAAUUAUUUUUAUCAUUAUUUAGUCCUCACAUUAAUCUUACAUCUCAAAGUUCUCAUCAACUUCUUCUUAUUCUUCUUCUUUAUUAUUAGUAUUAUUAUUAUUAUUAUUAUUAUUAACAUUAAUAUUAGUAUUAUUGUUGUUGUUGUUGCUACUACUGUUGUUGUUGUCGUCGUCGUCUAUAAUUUAUACAAUUAACCUCCCUGUGGUUCGACCCCGGUCUUGCCGGAUUAUUUAUUACUUCGACACUCCUGCACUUGGGAGAAGAUAUCAAUCUUUUGAUCAUGUCAAAAGCUCAUAUUAAUUGAUUUAUGGUGCUAAGAUACAUAAAUUAUAGUCACUAUCACCAUCAUUAUUAUCAUCAAAUUUAUAAUUAAUUUCAUUUUUCAGUAAAAGAUAAUAUCAUCUGUAUCCAAUGAUUGCCAACUUCACCACAGAUUUAACAUUUCUAUAGUUAACAUUUCUUUUGCAUGUUAGGAUUUCAAUACUAAUGAGUGUAUUUUCUAAAGUUGAAAUAGUGCUACCCAAUCUAGGUUCAAGUGGGAUGAUGAAUUAAAGAGCAGUUGUUAUUUCAAUACUAAUGGCUCAUAUUUGAUUUAUGGAGCUAUGAUUAGGGAAUCGUGCUUGUAUCACAUAUAACAAUAUUUACAUAGCAACAAGCAUUAUUAAAGAUGAUACACUAGUAAGUUUCCAAAUGCUAUCAACAAAUAUUAUAACCUCUUAAUUUAUAUAAGGAUUGAGCUAAAUUGCUUUAUCAAAUAUUUUUUUUUUUUGAAAUAUUAUAUAGACAUAGAAUCAACAAGAUUAUGUGACAUUCUAUAUUGAUUUUGUGAUAUAACGCAUAUUACAGUGCACAUUGAUAGAGUGAGUCUGGGUGGACAAACUUUUGGUGGUACACGUGGUGCUUAAUGAUUUGACGGCUAUGGAGAGAAGUUACAUGAGGGAAAUAAGGUGGAAAAAGUGGCCUCUCUAGAUUUUGGAAAUGUUCUCCGAAGAAAGAAGGAAAAUAAUUUCAAAGGUGGAUAAAAAUGGGGUAAUAUCAGAUUUGGAACAUAAUCUUGGUUGGUGAAGAAUAACAUAAUCUAAGGAGAAAUCUAGGGCAAGUCUGGUGAGAUUUGAGCUUAGAUUUUGGACCAAUUUAUAGGUGGAUGAUACCAUCAUGGAUGAUGUCCAGCUGAUAAAUGUUUAGUUACUUGCAAUUCUAUCAUAAAGUUAUCAGAUUCUGUGUGUGUGAGGGUGCCAUAUGUUUCUUUCUUCUAUGAUGGAUAAAAAACGCUAAGCAAUGAACCAUUUUGUCCAUCUGAGUAAAAAAGGUAUUAUGGUUAUGAUGAGAACUCUACAGCUGUGAUUCUAUUUUUGAAGGUAAUAUUUAUUAUAUUUAUAAUUAUAAGAAUCUUUAAAAAAGACACGGGUAAAAUAUUAUUCUCACAUCACUCACUAUUCACUGGUGUUAUAGGCUUAAAUUGAUAGAUAAUUAAGUAAAUUUGUUGAGGAAAAGAAAAAUUUAAAUAUAGAUAACCAAAGUGAAAAAAAAAAGCAAAAAAAGAUGGUAGUUUCAAGAUCCAAAAAUUCACUUUGAUUCUCAUAAUUUUCAAAUAAUGACUUUUUGGUCCCUUAAGUUUUCCUACAUUUUAUUUUUUAUCCACAACUUCAUUUUUCUAUUUUCUCAUUCCCUAAUUUGAUAGAGGAGACAUAGUUUUGAAACCGGCCCGGCCUGGUGAGUCGACCCGGGAACCGGCUAACCCGGGGCUGGAACUGGGCCGGGUUGAAGAAAAAACGGGGGAAGAAAAAACCCGAUGUGACCCGGCAAGACCUAAUUGCAAACCCGUUGAUUUUUUUUUUUUGCUAAAACGAUAUCAUUUUGAUUUUUUUUUAAAAAAAUAAUUGACCCGGUCGACCCGGUAACCCGGUCAAAACUCGGAACUCGAGCCAUGGACCGGGCCGGGUCUUAAAACUAUGGAGGAGACAAAAAGUCAUUGGAUUACAAUGCUAGAGAGAGUCUCUAUAACAACCUUAACAUUUGUAUUCAAAACAAAAUGUAAGGACAUGAUGAUUCAAAUAAGAUUAGGGAUUUUUUUUAAUCAAUAAAAAAUUCGGCAGAGUUUCUUCUAUAUUUUUAGGUAUCAAGUUAUCAACUUUCAUCCACAAUCCCCAAUUAUCAAAUUUCUUAUCCUAUCAUCCAGGACUUCCUCCUCUUAUUAUAUCACAACUUCUCAAUAAUCAAAUUUACACAUGUCUAAACAAUUCAAUAUCAAACAUUAACAUGAAUGCAAUCCAAGGAAUUAUUCUACAAAUUAUAACUGAAGUACAUUACACAAUUCAAAGAUUUACAAAAAAAGACCAUUAACAAAAUUAUAAUCGAAAUAAGUACAUAAUUAAAGAAGAAAUUCAUAAUUAAUAUUAUACUACACAAAAGGGUUUUCGAUAAACUGUUGACGCAUUAUAUUACAUAACAAAAUGAUAAAUUCAUUCAUUACAAAAAAAUAUCAAACAAAAUAUAAGAAAACUAAUCUAUUGUUCAGUUCGAUAGGGAGAUGUACCUAAAAAUUGAUUUAAUACAAUAAUUCGAUUAGAUAGAUGAAGAAAAGAUAUCCAUAAAAUUCUUUCUACUUUCUUUUUUUCUUCCUUUUUUUUUUUUUGAAAAUUUAGUCAAAAGAUCAUUAAAUUAACUUGCACAUCUAGUAUUAUAUAUAUUAAUUAAAUUUAAGAAUAAUCUAUGAGUUUGUUUUCUUUUUCUUUUUCUUUUUUAACAUCAACCAAAAAUAUAAUUAUUCCUAUCGCCCAAUUAACCUAGCAUUACUUUCACUAAUAGAUGAUUAAUUUUCCACCAGUCCAUUCAACAAGCACUAUUGUCAUCAAUCCAAAAAUUAGUUUAACGUUUCUUCCAUUCAUCAGGGUAUAAAUCCCAUUAACCAGGGAAAUUAAUUCUUCAUCUCGCCCAUUUAUCAGGGCACUAAUUCUAUUAAAUCAGGAAUUAGUUCAACUAUUUACCCAUUCAAUAGGGUAUUAAUCCCAUUAACCAGGGACUUAAUUCCUCAUCACGCCCAUUCACCAGGAUAUUAAUCCCAUUAAUUCAGGAAUUAGAUCAACAAUUUGCCCAUUCAUCAGGGUUCUUGUAACAGUCCGCCUAUACGACUUGCUCAAUGUUAAAAGAUCCCAACAUAUCAUCUUUAUUUGAGAGUAAAUUAUAUAUAUAUAUAUAUAUAUAUAUAUAUAUAUAUAUAUAUAUAUCCUACGAGUAAGUUCAAUAUGAACAUAGUCUACAUAACAUAUCAUAAAAUUUUAAAGAAAAGGAAUACUAACAUGUAAAGAAAGCAUUUACAACAUAAUAAGUGUUCUUAAACAUUUCAAAAGGGUUAAUUACAAGAUAACUAAAAUACUACAUUCUAAGCUGAACUUUUAUAAAAAUACAUCAAGGUUUAUGCAAAAAUAUACUACAAAACCGCGUUAAUUCCCUUUAGUUUAAGUUAAAUAUUUACAUAAGCUUGACAAAGUAGAGUUUUAAACUAAUGAUCUCCCUGGAUAUUUGAUGGACCUGAUACAUAAAUGACAUACCAUUAUGUUGAUAAAGAAUAUAUAUAUGCUCAUGUAAUGUAUAUGAAUGAAGUAUUAAUUUUCUAUCGGGUCCAUAAGAAUUCUAAUAGAGAACUUAUAUAUAUUGCUUGUAAAUCUUUUAAACCUAAUUAACACUCAUUUGCAUACUCUUAAUUUGGAUACUCUUGUUUACUUGCGUGAACUGGGUGACCUUGCAAGUCUAAUCUUGAAAUUCAUUUCCCAGCAAUCCUAUCACGGAUGUCAUUAGCCGAAGCUAAUAUUGUAAAUCAUCUCCAGACAUUCCUAUCACGGAUGCCAUUAGCCGAAGCUAAUCUUGUAAUUCAACUCCCGGUAAUCCUAUCACGCAUGCCAUUAGCCGAAGCUAAUCUUGUAAAUCAUCUCCCAGCAUUCCUAUCACGGAUGCCAUUAGCCGAAGCUAAUCUUGUAAAUACACUAGGCUUUAUUUACAUUGAACACGAUAUUUAUUAUAAUUACAUUCACCAAAAGAAUUUUGAAUUGUAUAAGUGCAAAUAGGAGGGAAAGUCACGCACCUGCUUCGCCUGUCUUGCGACUUCCCCUAACAGGAGAUCCAAUCCUGGUUGCUCCCUUUGAAUCACAAGGAAGUUUUUGGUUAUGAUUCCUUCAAGCUGAUAUUAUAGAGAAUUCAUAUUCAUCCAUUACUCAUAUGUUACUUUCUAUGCAUGUUCAUUUCCUCAUAAUAACAUACAUACAUAUAUCAUGUAUAUUUUCAGAAUUAGUAUCUCAAUGUGCAAAUGUUCGUAUGACUCAAUUCUUUUAUAUUCUUAUAUAUGGUAUUCACAUGAAAGUCUAUUGUUACUGUCUAACUUUGAACUGUUACUGUUUAUACAUUUAAACUGUUACUGUCUAACUUUGAACUGUUACUGUUUAUACAUUUAAAUUGUUACUGUCUAACCGUUAUUGUUUAACUUUGAACUGUUACUGUCCAACCGUUACUGUCUAACUUUGAACUGUUACUGUCUAGACAUUUAAAGUGUUACUGUCUACACAUUGAACUGUAUUUGAAGUGUUACUGUCUACACAUUGAACUGUUACUGUCCAACCAUUAUUGUCUAAACAUUUGAACUGUUACUGUCUAAACACUUAUCAGAUUUUUAACUAUAUCUAAAGUUCUAAAACUCCAUUUUAAGUGAGAUUGAUCUCGUUAGAAAGCUAAGACACGAGGCUACCAGUUCUCUAAGGAAAGAGAACCCAGUUUUGCCUCUAAGAUAGUCAAAAUUGCUCAUCAACUAAUCAAUCCUACUGCCCUACAUAAUCAGUCACGACUCAGUCUCGAUUGGUAACCCAUAACUGGAGUUCUACAUCUCCAAAUUGAGUAAGACCAGUUUUCUUGGUUAGUUAACAUUCAAAUUUACAAUUUCUAUGAGGAAUCUGAUCCUAAUUUCCUCAUCCUCCUACCUAAAAUCUCACCGAAAUUCAGGAGACAAGCUGUCCAAAUUCGUCUCCCCCUCCCCUUCACACAAUACUUUCAUAAACUACAUACCACACACAUGAAUUAACUUAAUCUUAACAAUAAGUACUUUUUCCCCAAUUCAUGUUUAAGAACCCUAACAUAUGAUUCAAUAUCAAGGCAUCAAUUCAUUAUCGAAUUUAAAAUGAAUUUUUAAGAUCAUGUUUAGAACACCUUACCCCGUACGAAUUAAGAUUUUGAUCUUCAACCAGUUGAAGAUUUUUAACUCCCUCCUUUCUUUUCUUCUUGUUCAAUUUCUUGAUAAUCCUUUGCUCUCAAGUGUUUAUCCCAUCUAUAAACCCUUAAUCUUGGAUGGGUUCUUGAAAUUUUAGUGUUUCUCUCUUGAUUUCAUAAGAAUAGGUAUAAAACUCUCUAUUUUCUUUCCUUAUGGUUCCUGCAGAUUUUUGGUGAGGAGAGAGUACUUAUACUCUAUAUUUUCUCUUAUUUGCAUUUAGACCCCCUUUUCCUUUAAUUGUAUUAUUCUCUUCAAUUAAAUCUAACCCUCAAUAGUACCGGGUUUAUUAUAAUGUUCGAAUUAUUUCACCCGGAAAUUUAUAUUAAAAACUUUCUGAAUUCCUGUUUUUAUUUAACCAUAUGCAUGAAUUUCUUCACUUUUAUUUAUUUCUUUUUCCGGGGUUUACAGUUCUAAUCCUAUUAACUAGGGAAUUAAUUCCUUAUCACGACCAUUCACCAAGGCAUUAACCCCAUUAGUUCAAGAAUUAAUUCAUCACAUCGCAUUUCUUGUUUUCUAAAGUAAACAAUAUAAUAAUUACUAAUUUAUCAACCAUAAUUAAUCAGAUAAAAAUACAUAUUGACCAAUAAUAAAUUCGGGCAUCGUAUAAUUACCGGACGACUAAGCUCGAGCUGAAAUUCUCUACUGUGGUGUCGGCCUGACAACCUCUUUUGAAUUGACAAGUAUAUCACAUCAUUAUUCUACUUUUCAUAUUGACACACUCAAUAAAUAAAAUCAUUCCAAUUAUCCUUUUAUUUGCCAAAAUAAAAUCAUUUUGUAAAUUUCCUUCCAAUUUCCACAUUAUAACACAAUUCAUUUCAUCAUUCAAAGCAAUAUAUAUAUAUAUAUAUAGUCUUUAAAUUUAUUUAUUUAUUUUUUACCAUAAUUUAAAUCAAAGAAAAACAUAAAAAAAUUUCAUGAUCUAUUCACUCUUUAACAUUAAUAUCAUCUCUUUCUUACACAAUCUCAUCAUCUUAUUAAAAAUCUUAAAUUUUUAUUUUUCUUAUUAUUAUUUUUUCAAAAAUCCCUUCUUCAAGAACACCUAAAAUUUUGCUUUAAUUACCAUAAUUUCUUACUUUCUCUACUCACUUCAAUAAUCUUAACAUAAUUUCACAAACAAUUGUAAUUUUCCCUAAAAUUUAUCAUGAACCUUAAUUCCUCAUUUCACAAAGUUCAAUCAAGUUAAAGCAUAAAUUCUUUAAGAAUCUGAUUUAAAAGUUUGAGGGCUCAUUACCGAGUAAUAACCAAAGCCUUAACACUUUUAAAUUAAGAAAUUUUCCUUGCUUGAAUUUGUUUUUCCUCUCCUGACCGAAUGCUUCCUUCUCUUUGAAAAAGCAAGUUUGUUCUUUUUUAUUUGUUUCCUUACAGCACACACUCACUUGUCACUAUAUAUAUAUAUAUAUAUAUAUAUAUAUAUAUAUAUAUAUAUAUAUAUAUAUAAUAAACUUUUUUUAAAAUAUCUUCCAUGUCCCUCAAUUUUUUCUUCCGCCAUACACACUCACACUUACACACCUAUAAUUACUUAACUUUUUAAAAAUGCCUUCUAUAUCCCUCAAUAGUAAAUUUUAUAAUUUUUGAAUAACAUUUCAUGAAUCCUGACGCUUGUUUAUACCAAAUUUUACCCGGGUUAUUUGAAAUUUCACUCAGUUACUCGUUAGUACUUUCAGUUUCAUGAAAUUCACUUCCAUAAAAAUUUUAUGCACAUUUUUGUGUUUAUUUAUAUUUAUUUUUAAUAUAUAUUUUAACACCUGAAUAAAACAUUUCACUUCAGAUUCUCAAAUAUAUCAUCAUUCUUAUAAUUUAAUUUAUCACUUUCUCUCAUUUUUUGUAAUCUUGACUUUUAUUAAUAUCAAUAAUAUUACCUGGGGUUUUACAAUCUCAGUUGGCACUGUUUUUCACUAUAAAAAAUGGUCGAUUUUGUUUUAAUGAGUUUUAUUUGAUGAAAAGAGUUCCAUUAAAAUGUUUUUUGCCCUUGAAAUUGCCAAAAAGUUUAUGGUUUUUGGGCUUUUUUAUUGGUUUAUUACAUCAUAAAGACCUUUUUUAGGUUUUUUGGUGUGAACAUUGUUUAAAUUUGCAUUUUUGGGUCAAAAAACACCUGCUUAAUUUUCUAGUCACCUCUCCAAUGGUUAAAAAGGGGAAAGUCUCGGUAGGUGACAUGUCGCUUUUCUUUAUUUUUUUUUCUCAAAAACAUUUGGAGCAUUUUCAAAUAAAAAAAGCCCCAUACAUACCAACCUUUUUUAAAAUGGCCUUGAUGUGUAGGCCUGACUUACUAGGCCUAAAAGCACUUGAAAUAUUUCUAUUUUUUUUUCUAAUUUUGUUUUCUUAAUUGAUAUUUUUUAAUGUAUUUUUAAUAAAUUUUUGAAUUUAUAUUUAAAUUAAUACUUUUCUCUCUAAAUAUUUAGAUUGUUUAUUUAGUUUUUUUUAAAUAGUGGUUAUCUUUUACUUAUCUUUUAUGUAUUUAAUAUCUAGAAAACAUUAUUCCAAUUCAUUUAUAUGUUUUUUUUUAUUUUAUAUGAAUAAACUUUAUUUUCAUGACGUGUUUAUAAAAAUAAGAAUUAUUUGUUCUUGGUAAGAAAAAGUGAACUUUAAGAUAUAAAAAAGAAGAAGGAGAAAAGUGUGCAUGAAGAGGAAAGUUAAGGUUAAGUAUCAUAUUUAUGUAUUUUUUACUUUUAUGAAAAUGAUUAUCAUUUUAUUUUAUAAAAUGAUUGGCAUUAACAACUUUUUAUUAGUUUAUUAGUUCAUAUUUUUGUAAGAUUUGUUUUUUACAUUUCUUAAUUAAGAGAAUCGUAAUACAAUGAAAUACAUUUGAAAUAUUGUCCCAUUUUUCUACUACAUUAAAAAUUAACUUAAGAUCCUAUAUGUGGCAGAAUGUGUUAAAAAUUAUUUUUUGUAUUUAUGAACACUUAUGGUCCUUACUUUAUUUUUAUUAUAUGUAAACAUCAACUUUUUUAUUCACAAUUAUAAUUUUCUCUUGAUUUUUAAAAAUACGUUAACGACAUUUAUACAUUUUUUCUUUUGCGUUCAAAAAAUUAUCUAACUCGUAGCAAAGUGAAUUAAAUAAACGCGUCAACACUUUUUUUUUUUGUAUUUAUGAUUAGGAUUUGUUUUUGUUAAAAAUGCAAUUGAUAAGCAUACAAAUUUAUUUUUUUGCUAAAAACAAUUUUAUGAUCCAUAUCGAAGUGCGAGUUAAAUAACUAUUAAUAUGGCUAUAGUAAGUCUUUUAGUAUAUGUGGAUGUAGGAAGCAAUGUGUUAUAUUAUUAGUUAGAUAUAACUUACCUAUUCAUUAUUAAAAAAAACAUAAAAUAAAUUAAUUAAUUAAUAAAAACCUAAAAGAGAUCGACUGAAAUAUAAUAUUUUUGUCUUUUUUUUUUGUUUCACAUUUCUCAAUUAAGAGAAUCAUGAUACAAUAAAAUGCAUUUGAAACACCGUCCCAUUUUUCUACUACAUUAAAAAUUAACUUCCUACAUGUGGCGCGUUGCGUUAACAAUUGUUUUUGUAUUUAUUAACAUUGUUGUUACCCAUUUUUGGGUUCCCACAAAAAUAUAAGAAAAUACAAAAAACAAUAUAUCAAAAAAAUAUUCAGAAGAAAUCCAAAAAAAAUAAUAGGAGCGAGAAAAGAAUGCUGGAAUGUUGAAAAAAUACCAAAAUUGGUUGAGGAGAUUAAAAAAUACAAAAGGUUGAAAUUUAACAGUAUAUUUUUGACUGAUGAGAGCCUUGGGGAUAAGAAAAAUUCAAUUAGAGAAAGAAAAGUUCAAAAUCAGAUGUUUAUGGACUCAAUUAAAUUUUAUCCAAGGUUUAAUUGAAUUUAUGGAGGGUUUGAUUGCAAGAAAAUUUAUUUUUUAAGUCAAUUUAGGUUUUUAUUGGAAAAAAUUAAAGUUUUAGGGUCCAAUUAUAAUUUUAAAGAGUUGAUUUGGUCAAACUAGAGGCUUAAUUGCAUAAUUCUUGAAGUUUGAUGGUCAAUUAGGGACUUGAUUGAAAUAAUUCAAAACCAAGGACUAAACCGAAAACGGCGCUAAAAUCAAGGAAUCCAAUUACAAUUCAUCCGGGGGCUUGAUUACAAAAUUGUCAAAACAACCAGGGACCGAAUCGGAAAUAUUCAUUUGAAUUGUGAAACGGCGCCGUUUCCUUAGACACUAUUCAUCACCAUCUUCAAAGCAGCCGUUUCAGCAUACAGGAACCGUUUUCAGCAACAAAUGCCACAGAUUAUGGGAACGUUUCACAGCUACCAUUUCUCUACCGUUACCACUGCAAUAAUGGUUUUGAACGUUUUCAUUAUAAAAAACGCAUGCAGUUUUGGCUAUAAAAGAGGAGAAAAGAAGGACAAAAAAGGGAGGGGAAAAAAGACAGAGAGAGAGAGGAAUGUAAGGGGGGAAAACAGAGAUGACCUGAGGAGAACAGAAGAGAACUGAAAAAAAAAAAAAGAGGAAACGAGAGGGAAAACCAGAGGGGAACGACAGAGGAGAAAAAAAGGAGGGGAGAGAGCCGCACCAGCAUUGCCAACGCCAUCGUCAGCUCAUCAUCUUCUUCGUCCAGCAGCCACUGCCAUUCUCCAUCACAACCGCACCAGCACGGCACAACGGAAAGGAGGAGAGGAGAGAAAAAACGACAACGAGACAGUGAGGGGAGAGAGGACAGAGGAAAAAGAGAGAGAACAAAAGGAGGAAAAAGACGACACAGAGAGGGAAAGAAAAAAAGAACCGGGGGCAGAAACACAGAAAAAAAACGAGAUAAGGAGGAGAAACAGAAGCACGCAGAAGGCAGGAGGAAUACCACCACCCGUCUUCCUCUUCACAGCAACCAGCAGCACCGCUAGCACCAGCAGCAACUCCACAAAGCCACUGCAGAGAGGCAAGAACACUGUUGAUGGGAGAAACGAAAUACAGAGGAAACAAGCAGCACGGCGAAGCAGAGGUGAGAAGAAAGAGAAGCAACGUCUGCCACCACAGCCGGCUGCCGCGACAACAACGCCACCGUCAGCUUCUCACCAUCUUCCUCCCCCUGCUGCAACACCCGUGAAGAAGAAGAAGAAGCCCGCGCCUCUGCACAGACGGGAAGAACAGCAGCAAACACUGCCCGCCACCGCAGAGAAGAGCCAUCGUCUGCAGCCACCAGUGCCACCUUAAGCCACCAUCAACCACGACAUCUCCACCAUUAGAAGCAGAAGAAGAAAAGGAGAAACAGGAGACAGAAGCGGGGAGAAGAAGGAACACUGUCCUUCUGCACGAGUACCGACGGCAUUUCCGACGGAUUUGCCAACGGCUCGAAAAGUUUGGCGGGAUUUCCGGAUUUUUUUGGUGUGCAUUUCAAUUAAUUUCCGACGGAAUUACCGACGAAAUUUAAUUCCACCGAUAACAAUUAAUUUCCAUCGGUAAUUCCGUCGGAAAUAUUGCUUUAUAUAUCGCCAUCCCCCCCACUUUGUUCAUUUUCUCCUCUUCUCCCUUUCUCUUCUUCUCUUGUUUAUAUUUAGCUUUUAGAAGGAUUUUAUUGUUUUGGUGGUAGUUUUAAAAGGUAUGUAUUUUUUUUUCUUUAUCUUUGUAUUUUUUUUUAAUUAUGAUUAUUUUUUUUGGUGUUCUUUGUUUUGUAUAUUGUUUGUAGAUAAAAUCUUAAAUUCAACACAUUAUUAAGGUAAGCAUUUUUUAUUCCCAAAUUUAUUUUGAAUUGAUAUAAUGUUUUUUAGUUUUGUGUAUUGUUUGUUUUGUGUUUAUGUUGUGUGUUGUGUAGUGUUUUUUAGUUUUUUAAUUUUAUUUAUUAAUUUUAGUUUUUUAGUUUUGAUAUUAUUGUUUGUAUUGCUAUAAUUGUUAUUGUUGAAUUUAUGUUAAAAAUGUUAAUUUAUAUAUAUAAUUGUUAAUGUUGAUUUAUUUUAAAAAUGUUAAUUUAUAUAUAUAUAAUUGCAUUUAAUUAGUUUAUCUUAAUUUAGGAUAUUAUUGUUUGUAUUGCUAUAAUUGUUAUUGUUGAAUUUAUGUUAAAAAUGUUGAUUUAUAUAUAUAAUUGUUAUUGUUGAUUUAUUUUAAAAAUGUUAAUUUAUAUAUAUAGAAUUGCAUUUAAUUAGUUUAUCUUAAUUUAGGAUAUUAUUGUUUGUAUUGCUAUAAUUGUUAUUGUUGAAUUUAUGUUAAAAAUGUUAAUUUAUAUAUAUAAUUGUUAUUGUUGAUUUAUUUUAAAAAUGUUAAUUUAUAUAUAUAUAUAUAUAUAAUUGCAUUUAAUUAGUUUAUCUUAAUAAUAUUAAUCCGUAAAUUAAAAUGUAUGACUUUAAUCUAAUGUUUGUAACUCUAAGUACCAAUUUAACAAUGAAUGUUCAUAGUUGUAAUUCUAUAUGAUGUUAUUGAAUAAAAUGUUGUGUUGAUGAUGAUGAGUUGGGUUGAGAUCCAGGAUGAUUGGAUUGGGAUGUGAAAUAAAAUUGGAAGUGUAAUAUGAUUUUGUCGACAACUUGGGACCCCCCUAGUACAGGGGAGACUCUGUCGAAUUUUUUUUAAAAUAAUCGAAGUUAAUUAUGUAAUUAUUCGUAUACAUUUGUGUAGAUGCGUAGAAUGAAAUCUACAGCACGUCGUCAGAAGACGGUUGCAGCUAGUUCUUCUAGCAGCAAGGAGGACGUAUGCUUAGGUGAUGAUCACGGCAAGGAAUCUACGCCAACUUGUGAUGCUGCCUCUUCUAGCGCGGUUUCACAGCGCAGAAGCGGUGUGCCUUCCCAGCGGGGUCAAUUCACCCGCAAGUACCAGGCACAAUGGAAGGAGACCUCUCAAUGUAAGUUUGUUUAGGUUUUAGUUUUUUUAUAUAUAUACUUAUAAUAUAAUUUAUGAACAACUAAUUAAUAUUAAUUACUACUUUUAUUUAAUUUCAGGUUCACAAACAUUGAGGCUGCAAGGACUAUAACAUUGGCGUUUAAAUCGUCGAUGGAGAUUCCAUUGUUUCAAUGGAGCCAAGUUUCCAAACAUCCUGAGUGGAAACCUAAUAUCGAUGCAUGGUUUAAGCGAUUUCAGGUCGGUGUUAAUUUUUAAUUUCCAGCUUAUUUUUAAUAAAUGAUUUUUAUUAUUUUAUAUCUUGUACUAUUUUUAUUUUAUAUGCAUUAUUUAUAUACACAGAACAAAUUUGAGUGGGAUAGGGCGGACAACAAUGUUGUGAGGAGGGUAUGGGAGAAUCACGCGGCAACUAGGUAACAUCGAAAAUAAUAUUUAUUUUUGUUUUAUAAUUUUAUGUUUUAAAUUCUAAUUUGUUACUAUGGAAGUAGGUUGCGUGAUUUUUGGUAUGACACCCAAAAAAAAUCAAAAAGACAUGCGAGGGAUAACGGUCUUGAAGGAUGGAAUGAGGUGGCGGUUUGGCAGGAAUUCAAACCGCCAUUCAUCUCGGGGGAAAUAUGGACGGCAUAUAUUGAGCACGUGACCUCAGAGCGGUUCUCACGGCGCUCACAGUCCGGCGCCGACAACCGGAACCGGCAAAUUCAUGAUUCGGUGACCACGCACACUGGCGGAUCCGUCCCAUUCAGCACACAUGCAAAGCGGAUGGUAAGAUUAAUUUUAAUGAAAUAUAUCGUUAAUUAAUUUGUCGUUCCUUAUAAUAUAUUUAACUUUCAACCUAUUUUUUCCUUACAGGCUGCGUCUCUUGGAAGUGAACCGAGUCCAAUAGAGCUAUUUCUAGAGACGCAUGUGCGGAGUCAAGACCGCCAAAAAGGGAUGCAGCAGUUCGUGGACAACCGUGCUCAGCAGUUCGUGGUAUGAUUGUUCAUUCAUUUUAUUUUGUAAGUUAUUAUUUUCUUGAAUUGCAUCUUGAAUUGCAUUUGAUGAUUUUUUUACCGAUGGAAUUUUCAGGAGACCUAUAAUAGCCGGUUGAGGGAGAGAUAUGGGGACAAUCCGUCGACCCAUCCAGAUUUCGAUCCAGAUUUGUGGAUGGAGGCGGGAUCGUCUGGUGGACCCGAUAAAAAUAGGGUCUACGGGCUCUCCAACACUACAGCUGACAACUUGCGUUUGACUCGUAGUGUCUCAACUGUUGGAAGCUCUCCAUCAGUAUCGAACACCCAGUCUGAGGAGUUCAUUGCGUUGAAACAACAAUAUCAACAACUCUCGACGAAUUAUGAUGAGCUCCGUCAAAUAGUCAUGGAGAUGAGAUCAAAGAUGGAUGACGAUACUUGUGCAGCUUCUUUUUGGUCGUAUGGUCCCGGGAACAACCAGCCUCCUCCUCCUCCGCCUCCUCCUCCAGCUCCGCCGCUAUUCUAGUUUAAUUUUUUUUAAACACAUUAAAUUUGUAAUGAAUAUUAUUUAACAUUACUUUUUACAUUUUUAAUGUUUAAUGCAUUUUUAUUUGUUUAUUAAGGUUUUUUACAAUUAAUAAAUUAUUUUUUAUAUAUAUUUUAAAUACCAACCGACAGAAUUGCCGACGGAUAUUAUCUGUCGGCGACUAAAUACCGACGGCAUUACCGACGGAUAAUAUCCGUCGGUAUUACACAGAGAGUUGCAACAAAAUUACCAGCCAUGCCAUCAUUACCGACGGAUAAUAUCCGUCGGUAUUACACAGAGAGUUGCAACAAAAUUACCAGCCAUGCCAUAAUUACCGACGGAAUUUCCGUCGGUAAGGACGUCGGUAAUUACCCUUGAAAUUUCAGACGGAUUUAUUCCGUAGGUAAUGUUCCCGCGGGAAACUUUUUUUUGGCGCGCGCGUAUCCGUCUGUAAUACCGUCGAUGUGUCCGUCGGUGGGUGUUUUUUUUUGCGACAGAAUUAGCGACGGAAAUGGGAUUUACCGACGACUGUUAUACCGACGGACGUGUUCUAUCGGUGAGUCCGUCGGUAUGUUUUUCACCGACGGAUUUCAUCUCUGUCACCGACGGAAUGAGUCCGUCGGUAAAACUGGAUAAUGUUGUAGUGAUGCAACAGUUUCAAAUGAGGUAUUGGACCUGAAUAUUCUAUCAUUUGAUUUGAUCAAUCUCAAUUAAGAUUGAUCCAAAAAUUUUCAAUUUUAACUAUCAUAUUUUAUUUUCACAAUAAGAUUUAUCUCCUUGUUGUGAAAAUCUAAUAUGUUCAAAUCAAAUUUUAGUCGAAAAUAUAAAACCCUCUUAGUCAUAUUUUUCGAGACAUGCCCACUUGUUUCAAAAGUAAGUCAACUUGUCUUGAGGGGGCAUUUGUAGAAACACAAAUUUUCUAUCAAUCAAAUUUCACCAUGUGUUAUUUUAUUCUUUAAAAGAAGGGAUAAAUAAAAUUGAAAUAAAUGACAUGAAAAAUAAAUGAGCCUUCAUAUAUUUCUUGGCCAAUGAAAAGUUGACACUUGGGAUGAGAUAUUCAAGAUAUCUUGUCAUAAAUACAAGAUCCCAUCAGAUAUCUCUUCAUAAAUGUAAGAUCCCGUCAAUAAAUAUCAACCAAUAAAAUUAUGUCAUGUGGCAUUGGAAAAGAACCUGAGAGCCCCUACAGAUCUCUAUAAAUAGAGGGCCUCAACCUAAAGGAGGGGGAUCCCGGGAGAUACAAAUUUCCUUCAAGACAAGCUCUGCAAGCAAGGAAGCUCUCGCUCUCUCUCUCUUCAAGCAAGGAAGCUCUCUCAAAGAGUUCUCAAGCCUCCUUCAUCGACGCUUGAAGUCUACAAAGAAUGAAGCUCUGUUGGAUCAAGCCUAAACGCUCCAUUAGAGUUCUUCAACAACACUUUGAAGACAAAUCAAAGGUACUCUUCAAAGCAUCAAAUCACCAGAGGAUUCCGGGAGAUACAAAUUUCCUUCAAGACAAGCUCUGCAAGCAAGGAAGCUCUCGCUCUCUCUCUCUUCAAGCAAGGAAGCUCUCUCAAAGAGUUCUCAAGCCUCCUUCAUCGACGCUUGAAGUCUACAAAGAACGAAGCUUUGUUGGAUCAAGCCUAAACGCUCCAAUAGAGUUCUUCAACAACACUUUGAAGACAAAUCAAAGGUACUCUGCAAAGCAUCAAAUCACCAGAGGAUUCCGGGAGAUACAAAUUUCCUUCAAGACAAGCUCUGCAAGCAAGGAAGCUCUCGCUCUCUCUCUUCAAGCAAGGAAGCUCUCUCAAAGAGUUCUCAAGCCUCCUUCAUCUACGCUUGAAGUCUACAAAGAACGAAGCUCUGUUGGAUCAAGCCUAAACGCCCCAUAAGAGUUCUUCAACAACACUUUGAAGACACAUUAAAGGUACUCUUCAAAGCAUCAAAUCACCAAAUCUCGCUUCGCAAUAUACGCUCAAAUUCGUGUUCUUGCAAAGCACAAAUCUUGGCUUGAUUACUCAAAUAAAUCAAGUCGCCAUACAUCAAAUCCAAGGGAAGAAUCAGAGGAUUGUCAUAUUCUUUUGAAAGAAUAUAUUACAUAGAGAUUGUACCCAUUCAUAUAUUUAAUAAAAUCAUACAUUUGUACACGUGUGCUUGUUUAAUUUCAGGUGCUCAAAAUUGUGUCCACAGUCACUUAGCAAUGAUCUACUGCUUUACUGUCUAUCUGCUAAUGACAGCAGUAUGAGCAUUAUCUAGAUUAGGAUGUUUUUCAAUUUGUUUUAAGUUUAUCUAGGAUUAGACUAGCUUGUUAUAUAACUCCUUAGAUAAAAGAGAUGAUAGCUGGUAUGUCUCUUUAGUUUUUCACAAUUUUGCAAUGGUUGUUUCCUUCUAUAAAUAAACGACUAGGGAUAGCAGUAACCUAUCGAGACAAUUCUACUCUUUGUUCUCUCCACUGCAAAACUCUGUUCUUUGUUCUUUGCUCUUUUUCUUAGUUCAUUAACUAAAGUUUGUUCUUUAUAUCUUAGUUAUUACAACAAUUGGUAUCAGAGCUUCUUUAAUCUUUGAAGGGUUUAUGAGUGAAAACAUGAGAGAAUAGUAAGGUUAAAUCAAAGCUUUAUGCUUUGAAGGGUUUGUGAGUGAAACACGAGAGAUUAAGUGAGUUUUUUUUAAGCAAUGGAUUCUGCAAAUUUUCCAGCAAAAACACCAGUGUUCACAGGGCAGAAUUAUAGUGUGUGGGCUGUAAAAAUGGAAACGUAUCUCAAAGCUUUUGACUUGUGGAAGAUGGUGGAGAGUGAUAGGCAACCAACUCUACUAGGUAACAAUCCUACGAUUGCACAGAUGAAAUUUUUCAAUGAAGAAAAGGCAAAGCGAUUCAUAGCUUUUACCUGUCUUCAUGAUGCUGUGAGUGAAGAAAUCUUCACAAGGAUUAUGGCUUGUAAAUCUGUCAAAGAAACGUGGGAUAAAUUAAAAGCAGAAUUUCAUGGUGAUGAGAAGGCAAGGAAGAUGCAAGUUUUAAAUCUCAGAAGGCAAUUUGAAGGUCUGAAAUGAAAGAAACCGAUACCUUCAAAGACUUCUCUUCUCAAAUUUCAAAACUUGUGAAUCAAGUGAGACUUUUGGGGGAAGACUUUCCAAACUCAAGAGUAGUAGAGAAGGUUCUGGUAAGUCUACCAGAGAAAUUUAAACAUAAAAUUUGCUCUUUAGAAGAUUCUAAAGAUUUCUCAAAAAUGAGUCUGCAAGAACUAGUAAAUGCAUUGCAAGCUAUGGAGCAAAGACAAGCUUAUAGACAAGAAGGAACAAGUGAAGGAUCUCUUGUUGCAGUUUACAAGGAGAAGAGUCGGGCUAAGAAUUUUUACAGAAACAAUCAAGAAGGAAAAAAAAGAGAAAGGGAAAGGCUGGUAAUCCAAUAACUGGCAACAAAACAACAACAACACCAUCACUAGAGGAAAAGAGAAGAGAGAAGAUUUUCCUCCUUGCAAAUUCUGUCAGAAAACAAAUCAUCUUGAAGCCUGGUGUUGGCUCAAUAAUGCACAAUGCCGAAACUGCAAGCAAUUUGGUCAUAUCCAAAGAUUCUGCAAAAACGAAGCAAAAACUGUAAAACAAGCUCAAGUAGCUGAGGGUUCAAAAGUGGAGGAAAAUCUUUUAUUCAUGGCUACAAUACAGGAGAUGUGUAAUACAGCCAAGGCAAACGACUCAUCAUGGCUUAUUGAUAGUGGCUGCACUAAUCACAUGACUGUAGAUCUAGCUUAUUCAAAGAUUUGGAUAAAAACUAUCUAUCUAGAGUCAGAAUUGGGAAUGAAGACUAUGUGAAGGUCGAAGGAAAAGGCGCAAUUGAAGUGGAAACAAUGUUAGGUACAAAAACUCUAAAAAAUGUUCUUUGUGUACCUAAGAUCAAUCAGAAUCUAGUUAGUGUGGAACAAUUAAUUGUUUAAUGAUGGAGUGUGUGACAUUAAAGAUAAAAAGGGAAUGUUACUGCUCUCUGCUAAAAUUAUGAAUAGAAGUUUUAAUGUUGAUUGGAAAGAAGUAUGUUUGAGUGCCAACACUUGUGAAGACAAUAAGUCUAUUCUUUGGCACAAAUAUUUGGGGCACUUCAAUUAUUUAAAGAGAAUGGUUAACCUGCAAAUGAAUAUACAGGAACAAUAGAGUAUUUGUGAAGCCUGUCAGUUAGGAAAACAAACUACAGUUGUUUUUCCUAACAAUGCAUUCAGAGCACUGUCAAAACUCUAGUCGGUACACACAGAUGUGUGUAGGCCGAUGCAUAAUGAAUCAUUGAAUGGUUCAAAGUAUUUUCUUCUAUUUGUUGAUGAUUAUAGUAGGUUCUGCAGGGUUUACUUUCUGAAAUCAAAAUCUGAUGUGUUUGCUAAGUUUGUUAAAUUCAAAGCAACAGUUGAAUUAGAAAAAGGAAACAAGCUAAAGAUAAUGAGGUCUGACAAUGGAGGUGAGUAUACCUCUCGUCAAUUUGAGGCAUACCUGGCAAAAGAGGGGAUCAAACAUCAUCGGACUAUACCCUAUACACCACAGCAGAAUGGUGUCAGUGAGAUGAGAAACUGGACAUUGAUGGAAAUGGCAAGAUGUUUACUAUAUGAGAAGAAAGUGUCAUUGAAAUUCUGGGCAGAGGCAGUGAACACAACAUCAUAUCUUCUAAAUCGAAUGGCCUCAAUAGUUUUGGGAGACAAAACUCCUUGUGAAAUCUAGUAUGGCUUUAAACCCAACAUUGAUCAUUUAAAAGUGUUUGGCAGUCUUUGUUAUGUUAUGAAACCUGAAGUUAAAAGGAGAAAACUUGAUCAAAAGGCCGAUAUAGGAAUUCUUAUAGGCUAUAGCACAACAUCUAAGGCCUAUAAAAUCUAUGAUCUGAAUUUUAACAAAGUUGUGAUUGCUAGAUAUAUAAAAGUUGUAGAGAAUGCUACAUGAAAUUGGGAAAAUACAUCAAUUGAAGGGUCAAAACAGAUGCAACAAACUGAGUUGGAUGCUGCAAAAAAUGUUGAUGACCAACAAGCUAAGUUGGAUGUUGCAGAAAAUGUUGAUGAUCAACCAGUAAGGGGGACAAAGUUCUUAACUGACAUUUAUAGCAGGUGCAAUGUGGCUGAGGCAGAACCAAUAGGUUUUGAAGAGGUCAUGAAUUCUCAAGUUUGGAUAGUAGCAAUGAAGGAGGAGCUUGCGAUAAUAGGAAAAAAAUCAAACAUGGAUACUGGUUGACAGACCAGCUCAUAAGAAGGUAAUUGGAGUGAAAUGGAUUUUCAAAACCAAAUUGAAUGUAGAUGGUAAGAUCAAUAAGCACAAAGCAAGACUUGUAGUGAAAGGAUAUUCAUAAGAGGCAGGCAUCAAUUUCACAGAAACAUUUGCUCCAGUUUCCAGGCAUGAUACAAUGAAGCUCCUGCUUGCUCUAGCAGCACAAAAUGGUUGGUAUAUCUUUCAGUUGAAUGUUAAGUCUGCAUUUUUUAAUGGUGUUCUAAACGAGGAGAUUUAUGCUGAACAACCUGCUAGGUUUGAAAAACAAAAUUCAACAAACAAAGUGUAUUUAUUGAAGAAGGCAUUAUAUGGACUUAAACAGGCUCGUAGAGCCUGGUACACCAGAUUGGAUAAUCAUCUCUUAAGCUUAGGAUUUAAAAGGAGUAUGAAUGAGGUAACUUUUUAUGUAAAGCAUGUUGAUGGGCAUAAACUUAUCGUAUCAGUCUAUGUAGAUGAUUUGCUGAUUACAGGAGACAAGGAGCAGCUUGUAGAGGAGUUUAAAACCAACAUUAAAGAUAAGUUUGAGAUGAAUGAACUUGGUUUGUUGACAUAUUUUUUAGGAAUGGAAGUAACUCAGUCUGAUCAAGGUUACUUUCUCUAUAAAAAAUGUUUUUCCUUGAAAAUACUGAACAAUUUUGCAAUGGCUAAUUGCAAGCCAGUCAGUACACCUAUGAUACAGGGACAAAAGCUAAUAAAGGAGGAUAGAGCACCAAAAACUGAUGGGAAAGCUUACAGGAGUCUAGUUGGGAGUCUACUGUAUUUAACAGCCACACGUCCAGAUAUUCUGUUUGCUGUGAACUAUCUCUCAAGGUUCAUGCAAAAUCCAAGUCAAAUCCACUUUCUGGCAGCCAAGAGAGUUUUGAGAUAUCUGAAAGGGACUGUAGGAUUUGGCAUGCAUUUUGUGAAAUCUAGCUCUGUCAAUCUUGUUGGUUUUUCUGACAGUGACUGGGGUGGAAGUGAUGAAGGAAUGAUGAGCACCUCAGGUUAUUGUUUUGCUAUGGGAAAUAGUGUGUUCUGUUGGAAUUCAAAGAAGCAAUCAGUGGUGGCACACUUCACGGCAGAGGCUGAAAACAUAGCUGCAUAUGUGGCAGCAAAACAAUUGAUUUGGCUAAGAAAGAUGCUAAGUGAUCUAGACUGCAAUCACCAAAAUUCCACAGUACUGUUCUGUGACAAUACAUCAGCUAUAGCCAUCUCAAAAAAUUCUGUCUUUCAUGACAUGACCAAGCAUAUGAAGAUCAAAUUCCAUGCAAUCAGACAAUUUCAGCAAGAAGGAGAACUAGAGCUACGUUACUGCACCUCUGAAGAACAGCUAGCAGACUUGUUUACCAAGCCUUUAGCCAAAAAUAUAUUUGAAGAUCUAAGAGGAAGAAUUUGAAUGUGUAGCUUUGGAACCAAUUGGAAUGUGUAGCUUUGGGACUAAGAAGGAGUGUUGAAGUUAUGGUACCAAAGCUGGAAAAGGUCACUUAGCAAUGAUCUACUGCUUUACUGUCUAUCUGCUAAUGACAGCAGUAUGAGCAUUGUCUAGAUUAGGAUGUUUUUUAAUUUGUUUUACGUUUAUCUAGGAUUAGACUAGCUUGUUAUAUAACUCCUUAGAUAAAGGAGAUGAUAGCUGGUACGUCUCUUUAGUUUUUUACAAUUCUGCAAUGGUUGUUUCCUUUUAUAAAUAAAAGACUAGGGAUGACAGUAACCUAUCGAGACAAUUCUGCUCUUUGUUCUCUCCACUGCAAAACUUUGUUCUUUGUUCUUUGCUCUUUGUUUUUUUUCUUAGUUCAUUAACUAAAGUUUGUUCUUUAUAUCUUAGUUAUUACAACACAGCUACUGGUUCCACCAUGAGUUCUGCUAUCUUAGAUAUAAUGGAUCCACCCACACUUUCGAUAGCCAUUUUCCACCAGUCUGAAAAUCAGAGAAAUAAGGAUACAGAACGUGAGAGUGAGUCACUACAAGUAAAACAGGGGCAGAGAAAAUGUGAAAAAUAUGUGCGAAAAGCACUGGCAAUCAAUGAAAUAGCGGGAGGAAGAAAAGGAGAAGGCCUUUAGCUCUGUAUGGAAUCCAGCUUCAAAAGCAACAAGACAAGGUAGCAGUGAAGAAGGACCUGAAAUCAUGGCAGCAAAUAAGGAGAGAAAAUAAAGAGAAAAAAUAAUUUUAAUAAAGAAAAUUUUAAAUUUUAAAAAACACGGCUUGCACAAUAUUCCAAACGGUGUCAUCACGGCCAGUGUCACGGGGUUAAUUUUUCGCAACUAAACUUAACCCAAUGCGGCAGUCUAGCCCCAACUAGACUCAGCCUUGCCUCACCCUUUCACUCGUGUUUUCCUACGACUAUGUGUUUCGCUCACUCAAGGAGGUUCUCACACUCGCCUCGUCGUAGACAACAAAUAAACACAAGCAACACAAGCACACUAGAGUUUUACAAGAAUCCCUCUCAACCUUUAUUUAUCUCGUCAACAAAGGAAUACACAAAAAUGGUGUGUGCUAUGCACAAAUCGCAUGCUACACAGCAGAGGCUUGGCAGCCUAUUUAUAGCCAAAUGUGAGAUUCCAUCCUCACCUAUAAUCCCCUAAUUUCGGGGCAUAGUGGAGCAUUAUCUCCCCCAUGAUCACCCUUUACAUGGACUAGUGGAGCACUACCUUCCCCAUUAUCCUUAGUGGGUUGGUGAAGCACUUUGUCCUCCAUUAUCUGGCCCCUCCACCCAUGAUUCUGCCUGCCCUCAUGGCAGCCCCAAUUGUCUGCCUUGCUGUGUCAGCUGCUGACUUAGAAAGUCCAUUGCCUAAGCCCCACGUCCAUGCCAAGUCGCCAGCUCAAAGACUUGCACAGACCCUUGCACGCUGCCUGCCGAAUUCGUUUCUGCCGCAGUCCAUCGCUGCCGAAUUCUAGGCAAUGUGCCUUCGUUGGCGCGCCCCGCGCCUAGACCUCUAACAGCCAGUCUUUAGAAAGUUUGAAAAUUAGCAUGAAAAAGAGGAUAAUAGAGUAGUUAAAAUCAAAACACAUAUAAACAGAGGACAAAAACAGGCAGAGAUGCUGUUUGUUUUUUUAACUGUGUCUGUUUUUUUUAACUGUGUUUGAGUGGUUUAUAAAAUUAUAUUUAAUUUAAAAUUAUUAAAUUAAUAUAUUUUUAGUGUUUUUUUUAUUUUAAUAUAUAUAUAUAUAUAUAAUAUUUUAAUAUGUUUUUAAAUAACAUAAAUAUUUUUAAAAAACAUGUAUAUACUAAAAGAGAAAGGAGUUCUUCCAUUUAUUAUUGUUCACUUAAAUUUAUUUUACUUGUAUGACAAUAGUUUAACUUUUCAAUUUAAUACUUUAUUAUUAUUUAUUUAUUGUGUAUAAUUGUGCUUUUUUGAACUCAAAUUAGAGUUUAAUUACGUAUUUUUUAGGGGUGAGAGUUGAAUUAAAACAUAAAUAACUAAAGUGAAAUACUCGGGUAAAAUAGUUAAUAGCUCUGCAAUUUGGUUGCAAAGUUUGUUUUAAUUAAAAAUUAAAAAAUUAUGUAUCAAACAUUAUUAUAAUAAAUAUGAAAAAACCUAAGAACCAUAGAUUUGAGAAAACUAAAUAAAAACUUAACAAUAUAUAAAUUAAAAAAUAUUAGAUAUUUUAUCCUCAUUCAAUAUUAAUAAGCAAAUCAUUUUAGAAAAUUUAUCUAUUAUAAUAAUACAUAAUUAUUCAUAAAAUAAUUAAUAAUAUUACAAUAAAAAGCUUAAUUUUCUUGAAAACAAUAAAAUAAUUAAAUAAUUAUUUAAAUAUAUUUUUUUUAAUUUUAUCCUUCAAUUUAACCACUUGGGAAUGAGACCUCAGCUAUGACUUUAAAGGCUUUAAGUUUUUAUAAUUAACCUAAGCUAUGAUCGGUCAAUGUUUUUUUCAGUUUUCUUUUCUUUUCUUUUCAAAAAAAAAAAAAACAAAUCAUCAAGGGAAAAAAAUAAAAAGACUUGCAAAGGAGUACAAUUAUUGGAUUCGGAAUGAAUCAACGAAAGAUCAAACUCAACCGAUUAUCUAUGAUGAAUAUGGUGAAGUUUCUGUUGUUUCUGUUGGAGUUUUAUAGAGUUUCACAUAUUAUCUCACGAUUUCAUAUUUCAAUAGCUUUCCUAACAACAAGCGAUAGGAAGAGGGCAGCCUUUGUUCUGCUGUUCACACAGACUAAGAACUCCUACCAUUGGAAAAUCAUAUAAUUAAAACACAACAAUAUAUAAAAAUGUAAUAAGCAGCUGAUUAAUGCUGUUGUUCUUUCUUCUUGUUUUGCUAUUUUGAUUUUAUCAUAUUUUCUUAAGAAAUUAUGAUUGUGUUAUUUUUGAAUCGGACUCCCAUAUAUAAUGAAAGUAAGAACGUUCAUUCCUUUAUAAACAUUGACUUUGAUUUUUCCUUUAUAAAACCAUAAACCUGCAAAUCACGAAAAACUAGAUCAACAUGAAGACUUAUCAGAUCCUAAUGAAAAGCUGUCAAAAUCCUAUCAGAAAUUAAGGAAGAUGACGUUAACUUCAAAUCUGAGGAUUAAUUGUAGCAGAUCUUAUAGAGUUCAGCUGAUUGCUUUACUUGUUUAAAUAAUUCUCUUGUAAGCCUAAUGGUUCACGUCUUCCAUCAUUGCAAACUUUUUUUCUGUGAUUGAAAAAUCUAUAAUAGGAACCUGCACUGCAUCCCUUCUAUGCUGUUGUUCUUUCUUCUUGUUUUGCUAUUUUGAUUUUAUCAUAUUUUCUAUGAUGAAAGUUGAAGAAAUUCUACUUCGAAACUCAAGACAAAGUCUCUCGGACUGCAUAUUAGUGGGUUGCUCAUUGGGAUUUCUAUAAACAACUGAUUCUAAUAUUGCAAAGCAACAUUACGAAAAACUGAAUAUUUCACACAUAGUCUAAUAAAAGUAGAUUCCAUUGUCAAUUCCUUAACAUCUUCCAGACAAAUCCAUGCUCCUCUUGCCAUUCCCUAAUUGCGUUGAGCCAGUUAAUCUGGAUGAAAGAAAGGACUUCGACCUUGAAAUUAGCAUCAUAGUCAUGGAACCUUAAAGCAGACCCAACUUUGUAGCUCAUUACCAGUUACGUAAAAGUUAUCAAUAUCUGUGUAAAUCAUUGAAACUGCCACAAAAUUAAGCAACCCAAAUUAGUUUUGAAUUGGAUUUGAUAAAGGAUAGAGGGAAAGAGGGGAAAAGACAGAUGAAGAUCUGCGCAGGGCUACCUGUUUUGAGAAUUAUGGAUUUUUAUCUCUAACUCAGAGCGGCACCAAUUAUAAGUUCAAUAAAAAAAAUUUGUAACACAACAGAUGGAAAAACUCGAAACAACUCGGCUAGAAUUUAGGAAUGAAAUUCAGAAUGAGCCAAGAUUUUAAGUGAGAUGAAACUCUUUGAAAAAAAAAAUUAAUAUGAAAUAUACUUUUCAUUUUAGUGAAACUCGAGUUUAUUGUGUCAAAGAAAAUGUUCUAAAAAAAGGUUUUGAGCAUUAACAAAAUCUAGUUGUCUAGGCAAUCGACUAUUGUUGCUGUUACAGUUGGUGCAUACUCAAUGACACCAUGGAUUCACAUGGUGCAAUUUUAUUUUUAUUUUUAUAAAAUAUUUCACAAACUCUUAAAUAUACGAAAAACUCUACCUCAACUAAAAUAUAAAAAAAAUUGCAAAGGAAAGAUGCAUAACAUCCAAAAUAAGCAAGAAAUCUAAAAAUAAUAUGGAAGAUCACAAAAAACUACAAAAACUAGGGGUCUUAGCAUGAUUUUUUAUAUCUAAAGAUUCGACAGUCGGUGUGAGAAUUUGAACAUGAUCUAAGAAUUAGAUAAAACAUUAUAGUCCUUUUGAGUUAUUAUUUUGGUCUGACGCGAACAAACCUUUUCUAUUGAUCCAUAAAUUUAAUGCCCCUACAUAUAAAAAGAAAUAGAUAGCUGCUUAACUGAGUUAACACGUUUUGGUUCUUUUUUCAUGAUUCAAGUCGUAAAUUUAGUAUUUUUCCUAGGUUGAUUGUGUGUGAUCUUAUAUAUCAACAUCUUAAUAUUAAACAACAAAAAAUUUCAAGAUUGAUUUUUUUAGGCUGAUCUAUAUUUUACUAAUAGUCUGAGUUGUUUUUGGGUUUUUCAAAUAAAAAAGGAGUUAAACUUAAGAAAAACAACUUAAGAUUAACACUUAAAAUUUAAAAAUUUUAAAAAAAUCAUAAUAAUAAAAUUCUUAAUUUCUGACACCACAACAAGAUGCUUAGAAAGAAGCUAUCUAACAGGAGGGUGGGGCUACUCUUAGCCAAUGAAAACAGCUUCACAUGCAACACAACAACGUCAGCCUGUUUUCUCUUUAAUGAACACCCUCUUGGAUUCUCUAGCAUUAGCCAACAAGGUAUCUGCUUGGAAUUACUUCCACCAAUCUAAGACAUAUCCGCAGCUCCACAGCUCAAACAUGAAUCUCCGUGAAAUCACCUAAGGUCGAGUUGAUCAUGUAAUAGGUAACCAACCUUGCCUGAUGCAAACAUGAAGAACAAAGACCAUCCAUGCAUAUCGCAUACGUUGAUUUAAUUGAACCAUUAAAAGAAGAAGGAAAAGGAGAGCAGACAAAUAAUUGCAGCCAUGUCACCUGGUUUGGGCAAGAAAGAAUUAUUAGACUACCAAUAACCAUCAUCAUCAUCAUCAUCAUAUUACUUCAGCUGGUCCACUCUCUAUUAGUGCUUGAAUCUUCAGCUGGUUGAGAUACCUGUAAACCAAUUCAAGCACGGCAUAUACAUUCUAAAUUGUAAAUCUUAUUAUUGAGCGAAACAAGAAACAAACACACUAAAAGAGAGGCAAGAAAUGAAGUCAAAUCAGCAGCACCUCUGAUUGAGCACUCAUUGAACCACCAUUUGGUGUAAUAGCAAAUUUUAUGGUCAACUUUGAGCAUUCAUACACCUUCAACUUCUCCAAACGAGGGAAUAAGAAAUCACAGCAUCCGAAACUGAAGCAGACAAUACUUGAUAAUUGUUCUAGAGACAACUUUUUUAGAUUAGGAAGCACCAUCUCCUUCUCAACGUUGACAGGUGAAGCAUGAUCAUCCUGCCCAAAGACUCCCAAUAAUUGAGAGGCUUUUGUUACCCUCAGUAUUUGGAGAUUUGGGAGACCUGAAGCCAUGGCUAAUGGGAAGAGACUCUUCAACUUGUUGCAUUCUCUAAUCUCAAUUUCAC